UUUGUUCUCAGGUCAGGUUCUAUAGCUAUGGUUCAUACUCCUUUGCUCUUGCAUCAUUGUAUUUACUCAUACCAACUAUUUUCAAAUUUGAAGGAUGGAAUUGAAACUCCAAUGGCGCAACAGGUAUGUUUUAAACUUGUUUCUUUAACUGGUUUACUGUUCUAACUUGCUCUAUGUUGAUUUCAGUUUCAAUUGAAUAAACAGUUAUGUUCUCAUGUCAUGCACAUUACAAGUGUUGUUAUUUCUCUAUAGUUUCCCACACUUAUAUUCUAUCGAUUCUGCUUUGUAUUGAACAAAUAUUAUUUGAACUGUGUCUCUAUCUUGAUUUGGCAACAAAAACUAGAAUGAUAUAGAUCAUAAAGUGACCAUGGUACAUAGAUAUAUGUUUGUUUCAUGCUAUUAUCCUGUCCACUUUACUACUGAACUGAUUUACCAAAAUGAGUUUCAUAUACAACAUGGUAAACCUGUGAUGUGUCUGCUUGUUUCUCUUUUAGAAUGCGGACAAAAUAUAGGAGAAUAGUACCCCAUUAUGCAAUGGUAAAGGAAGUAAUGCAGAUAAGGUUCAAGAUAGUGAGACAUCCCUGUUGGUCUCCAAGAAAGCUGAUAAAAACUAUCUUGACGACAGUGAGAGAACCCAAAAGUCCUGUCUUGAUGUAGUGUUCGAGGUACUGGCCACUAAUGCUGGCACAAGCUCUUCGAACUCGCUGCCUGAAUCAGUUCGUCUUCUUAAGUCUCAACUUCAAGUUGAAAGACAUCGAUCAAAUGUGCUGCGACAGGAAGCUGAAGGACUGAGGAAGUCCCUGCAGAAUUCAGAUGCAUAUAUACUUUCUGGUGCAACAGCAAGCACUGGAGGAUUUAAGUGCCAAACAAGAGAAAGUUAAUAAGCUUGCUAAGCAUCUUGCCAACAUUAUGGGUACCCAGGAUAUUGUUUCUUGGGAUCUUCUGAAGUGGUUGCAGUUCUGGACUUCUUUUGCUGUGGCAUUUAUUUGCACUGGUCGCCAACUUUGACAACCAGUGUAUAUGAUAUGUUGCUUUGUUCCCUAUAUUUGCACUAGUGGCGAACUUUGAUGCCCAAUGGAUGUAAUAUGUGUAAUAGUCGUGAGAGCCUAGCGUAAGUUGCUUGCUUAUUUAUUUCCUUGUUGUCUUGUUUAUUUGUUUGCUUGUAGUCAGUGCAGUUCUUUUUCCGCGGUUUGCUAGUGGCUGCAAUAACCUAUUUUUUAAAACUAGGCCACAAUAACCAUGGGCUACAUAUUUACUGUAGUGACACUGGGCCUCCUACGGGCCAUAGACACAAUGGGCCUCCUAUGGGUCGUAGACACAAUGGGCCUUCUAUGGGUCGUAUCAUCAAUGGGCCUGCUAUGGGCCUAUGAUCGAUUGGUCAAACAGGGGCCAAUAACAGACCGAGUUAUGGUCGUAAAUGGGCUAGAGUUGGAAUCGCCCGUUCAUGGGCCGACCAUAACGGGUUGUCGUUAAUCGGCCAUAUUUGAUGACGCUAUGAAAACGACCCAACGUAUUAACGGGCCACAAACGGGCCGAUUGUAACCACGGGCUGAAUUUGGCCCACAAGCAGAAAAUUACAGUAACGGGCCAUAAGUAACCAAAUGCUGGAAAUGAGCCCAAGAAUAAAUGGGCCCUGAGAAGGCCGAAAGAUAACACGGGCUGGAAAUGGCCCAAUGGAAUAAUGGGCCUUUAAUGGGUAUAAAGUGAUACACUGUUCAUUAUAGGCCAGUUUCACCACGGGCCGUUAAUGGGCCAAGAGUUACAAAGGGCCUCAUAUGGGCCAAAAGACGUCAUGGGCCAUACGUGGGCUAGAAGUUAAAACGGACUGGAAUCAUAUUGGAUGUCCCAAAUGAUGCUACUGGGCCUAAUUCGGAUAGGUCAUAACGGGCCCUGGGUUAGCGGGCUGUAAAUGGGCUAUAUGCGAACAGGUCGUUAACAGGCUUUUCGUGGGCCGGCCUUUUCACAGGAAUGGGCCUCUGUUGGGCCGUGCCACGUGUUGACGUAUCAUAGGCGCCUUCGGUCCAAUGAGUGGAUGACAUCUGUCCCAAUGGUGAGCCGACACGUGUUUCCUCCAGCCAAUGAUGAUUUUACACGUGGAAAAUCCCCAUUGGUCGGGGCUGUUAACGGGUUAUCAGAUCCAAAACUGGACCCGAUAGCUUAACAGCGAGCCGUUGCAGUGGAUGCCACAUGUCGGUCACCCUUGACAAAAGCACUUCUAUGACGUGCGAUUUAUCGUCAUGGAAGUGGACACUUCCGUGAUGAUAAUUUUGGUAAUGUCAUGGAACACUUCUACAAUAGCACAAGUAUGACUAUCUUGAUUCUGUCAUAAAAUUGUCAUGGAUGUACAUGCAUGACAGAAAACGUGACCUACUGUGAUAAACAUGUAUCAUCACGAAAGUGUAUUUGUUUUGUAGUGUGUCUCUAAUGCAUAACCCCAAAACGAUAGUGGUAAAUCGGUAAGAGACAUCAUAGAUCGCACCAUAUGGUAGUCAGAAUCCCGACUCGACUCCUAGGAUCCUACGACUUCAUGACCCUACGGAAGCAUGUCAAUCCAAGUCCCACUAUGAAUCCGGAUCAGAUAGAAUCCAUGUUGAGUCGCGAUCCAAAUCAUAGAAUCAUGUACAAAACUGUAGGAUCCCGACUAUGCUAUGGACUAUGUCCGAUUCUACUAAUUUAUCUAAGCCAUUUGUUUAGUUGUAGCAGAAUAGUAUGCCAUCAUCGAAACCAUUUUCACAUGCCUAAUGGACCUUUAUUCCCCUCCCAAGCCCAAACGCUCACCCGUCGACACCUUUGAUCUGGCUCUCAGAACCUAGAUCAAAAUUGAGGAUUAGACUUGUCGACAUAUGGAAUUAGCGUGGGAAGGAGGAUGCGUCAAGAUUGAUCGGAGAAGGAGAGCAAUACCCUUCAAGGUUCGGCACUGCAGGGCAGAUAUACAAGUGAUCGGCUAUUCACAUAUUCUAAAAAACCUGUAAGUAAAUUUUGUGCGUCAAAGAUUUCAAUGUUCUAUAUAUUUUCCUCUCAUAUAUGUUCCAUACAUGCAAGCUAAUAGUAGGUUAGACAUAAAAAGAAGUGGAAUAGAACUAGCAUUGAUGUGUACAUCUUUGCUCUAUAUUUAGUGUCAAAACUCUAUAGAACCCAUACGAAUUUCUCCCGUGGAUACGAAAUAUCUUAUUUGAGUAAAUCUAGUAAAAUCCUCGAUUCAACGACUUGAUACUACGACUCGAUUCUGGCUAAGGAAAAUCGAUCCGACUCCGAAUCCCAACUCUGACUACCUUGCCACCAUAUCUAAUAAAGUACGGUUAUGACGUUCGGACACACCAUUACGCUGUGAUGUUCCAGGUGGCGUGAGUUGUGAAAUAAUUCCACAUUGUUUUAAAUGAAGGCCAAACUCGUAACUCAAAUAUUCGCCUUCGCGAUCAGAUCGUAGAAACUUUAUUUUCUUGUUACGAUGAUUCUCCACUUCACUCUGAAAUUCUUUGUACUUUUCAAAUGUUUCAGACUUGUGUUUCAUUAAGUAGAUAUACCCAUAUCUUCUCAAAUCAUCUAUGAAGGUUGGAAAAUGACGAUACCUACUGCAUGCUUCAACACUCAUUGGACCGCAUACAUUGGUAUGUAUUAUUUCCAGUAAGUCAUUAGCUCGCUCCAUUGUUCUGGAAAACAGAGUUUUAGUCAAUCUGCCCAUGAGGCAUGGUUGGCAAGUAUCAAAUGAUUCAUAAUCAAGUGAUUCCGAAAGUCCAUCGUGCAUGGAAUUUCUUCAUGCGCUUUACACCAAUAUGACCUAAACGGCAGUACUACAAGUAUGUUGCACUAUCAUUAUCAACUUCGCAUCUUUUGGCUUCAAUAUUAUGAAUAUGUGUAUCACUACGAUCGAAAUUCAAUAAACCAUUUACAUUGGAUGUAUGACCAUAGAAGGUUUUAUUCAUGUAAACAGAACAACAAUUAUUCUCUGACUUAAAUGAAUAACCAUAUCGCAAUAAACAUGAUCCAAUCAUAUUCAUGUUCAACACAAACACCAAAUAACACUAAUCCUGAAGGUAGAGGGAGUGUGCGAUGGUGAUAUUAUCAACCUUCGAAUUACUUCCAACACACAUUGUCACCUCGCCCUUAACUAGUCUCUGUUCAAUUCACAAUUCCUAUUUUGAGUUAUUAAUCUUAGCAACUGAACCGAUAUCAAAUACCCAGGGGCUACUAUGAACACUAGUAAAGUACACAUCAAUAACAUGUAUAUCAAAUAUACCUUUGUUCACUUUGCCAUCCUUCUUAUCCGCCAAGUAUUUGGGGUAGUUCUGCUUCCAGUGACCAUAUCCUUUGCAGUAGAAGCACUCAGUUUCAGGCUUAGGUCUAGCUUUGGGUUUCUUCAUGGGAGUGGAAACUUAUUUCCCAUUCUUCUUGAAGUUCCCUUUCUUUCCCUUUUGCCCUUUUUCUUGAAACUAAUGGUCUUGUUAACCAUCAAUUUGAUGCUCUUUCUUGAUUUCUACCUUCGCUGAUUUCAGCAUCGCGAAGAGCUUGGGAAUCAUUUUCAUCAUCCCUUGCAUAUUAUAGUUCAUCACAAAGUUCUAUUAGCUUGGUGAUGGUGACUAGAGAACUCUGUCAAUCACUAUCUUUUCUGGAAGAUUAAUUCCCACUUGAUUCAAGCGAUUGUACUACCCAUACAUUCUGAGCAUAUGCUCACUGGCUGAGCUAUUCUCCUCCAUCCUGUAGGCAAAGUACUUGUCAGAGACACGGGCAUGAGUCUGAAAUACCAAUUUCAGCUCUUGGAACAUCUAUGAUCCAUUGCAUUCAAAACAAUUUUGGAAGUCCCGGUUCUAAGCCCUAAAGCAUGGUGCACUAAACUAUCAAGUAGUCAUCAUAUCGAGCUUGCCAAACGUUCAUAAUGUCUGCAUCUGCUCCUGCAAUAGGUCUGUCACCUAGCCGUGCAUCAAGGACAUAAUUCUUCUGUGCAGCAAUGAGGAUAAUCCUCAUAUCACAGACCUAGUCCGCAUCAUUGCUACUGUCAUAUCUCAACUUUGCUUUCUCCAGGAACAUAUCAAAAACAUAGGGGAGCUACAACGCGAGCUAUUGAUCUACAACAUAAUUUGAAAAUACUAUCAAGACUAAGUUCAUGAUAAAUUAAAGUUCAAUUAAUCAAAUUACUUGAGAACUCCCACUUAGACAGAUAUCCCUCAAGUCAUCUAAAUGAUAUGUGAUCCAAAUCAACUAAACCAUGUCCGAUCAUCACGUUGGAUGGAGUAGUCAUCAAUGGUGAACAUCUCUAUGUUGAUCAUAUCUACUAUAUGAUUCACGUUCGACCUUUCGGUCUCCAGUGUUUCGAGGCCAUGUUUGUACAUGCUAGGCUCGUCAAGUUUAACCCAAGUAUUCCGCAUGUGCAAAACUGUCUUGCACACGUUGUACGUGAAUGUAGAGCCUAUCACACCCGAUUAUCACGUGGUGUCUCAGCACGAAGAAUUGUCGCAAUGGUGCAUACUCAGGGAGAACACUUAUACCUUGAAAUUUUAGUUACGGGGUCAUCUUAUAAUGCUACCGUCGUUCUAAGCAAAAUAAGAUGCAUAAAGAUAAACAUCACAUGCAAUCAAAAUAUGUGACAUGAUAUGGCCAUCAUCAUCUUGUGCUUUUGAUCUCCAUCUCCAAAGCAUCAUCAUGAUCUCCAUCGUCCCGGCUCAACACCUUGAUCUCCAUUGUAGCGUCGUGAUCGUCUCGCCAACUAUUGCUUCUACAACUAUCGCUACCGCUUAGUGAUAAAGUAAAGCAAUUACAUGGCGUUUGCAUUUCAUACAAUAAAGUGACAACCACAAGGCUCCUACCAGUUACCGAUAACUUUUACAAAACAUGAUCAUCUCAUACAACAACGUAUAUCACAUCAUGCCUUGACCAUAUCACAUCACAACAUGCCCUGAAAAAACAAGUUAGACAUCCUCUACUUUGUUGUUGCAAGUUUUACGUGGCUGCUACGGGCUUCUAGCAAGAACCGUUCUUACCUACGGCACAAAACCACAAUGGUGAUUUAUCAAGUUUGCUAUUUUAACCUUCAACAAGGACCAGCCACAGUCAAAUUGAUUCAACUAAACUAGGAGAAACAGACACCCGCCAUCCACCUUUAUGCAAAACUAGUUGCAUGUCUGUCGGUGGAACUGGUCUCAUGAACGUGGUCAUGUAAGGUUGGUCCGGGCUGCUUCAUCCAACAAUACCGCUGAAUCAAAAUAAGACAUUGGUGGUAAGAAGUAUGACGAUCACUGCCCACAACUCUUUGUGUUCUACUCGUGCAUAUUAUCUACGCAUAGACCAGGCUCUAAUGCCACUGUUGGGGAACAUAGCAUGCAAUUUCAAAAAAAUUCCUAUGCUCACGCAAGAUCUGUCUACAAGAUGCAUAGCAAUGAGAGGGGGAGAGUGUGUCUAUGUACCCUCGUAGACCAAAAGCGGAAGCGUUUUACAAUGCAGUAGAUGUAGUCCAACUUCUUCUCAUUGAGAGCAAUCAAGUACCAAAUGUACGACACCUCUGAGUUCUGCUCACGUUCAGCGCGAUGACGUCCCUCGAACAAUUGAUCCAGCAGAGUGUCUAUGAAGUAGAUGAGUUCCGUUCGCACGACGGUGUGGUGACGGUGAUGGUGAAGUGAUCUGCGUAGGGCUUCGCCUAAGUACUACGAGAAUAUGACCGGAGGCGUAAACUGUGGAGGGGGGUGCCGCACACGGCUAACAAUAGUUGAUGUUGUGUGUUCUAGGCGCCCCCCUCCGCACAUAUAUAUAGGUGGGAGGGGAGGAUAGGCAGCCAAGGGGCACCCCAAGUAGGAUCCGAAGCCUACUUGGGGUUUCCCAAGUGGCGCCCCCCUUACCUUGUAUAAACAAGGGGGAAGGAAAGAGGGGGAGAGGGAAGGAAGGGGGAGUCCUACUCCACACUUCCCUUGCCCUCCCCUCUUUCCUUCACCUCCUCAUAGGGCUGGCCCGUAUAGGGCGCACAAGCCCCUUGUGGGCUGGUGUGUUCCCUCUCUUGGCCCAUAAGGCCCAUAUCUUUGUCGUGGGUGCCCAAAUCUCCUUUUCGGUGACCCGAUAAGUACCAAGUACCCUCCAGAACACUUAAGGUGUCCGAAUACCAUCGUCCUAUAUAUCAAUCUUCACCUCUCGACCAUUUCGAGACUCCUAGUCAUGUCUGUGAUCACAUCCGGGACUCCGAACAAAAUUCGGUCACCAAAUCACAUAACUCAUAUAAUACAAUAUCAUCAUCAAAUGUUAAGCGCGGACCCUACGGGUUCGAGAACUAUGUAGACAUGACCGAGGCACCUCUUCGGUCAAUAACCAACAGCGGAACCUAGAUGCUCAUAUUGCCUCCCACAUAUUCUACGAAGAUCUUUAUUGGUCGAAGCGUUAUGACAACAUGCGUUAUUCCCUUUGUCAUCGGUCUGUUACUUGCCCGAGAUUCGAUCGUCGGUAUCUUCAUACCUAGUUCAAUCUCAUUACCGACAAGUCUCUUUACUCAUUCUGUAAUGAAUCAUCUUGUAACUAACUCAUUAUUUACUUUGCUUGCAAGGCUUCUUAUGAUGUGCAUUACCGAGAGGGCCCAGCGAUACCUCUCCGAUACUCGGAGUGACAAAUCCUAAUCUCGACCUAUGCCAACCCAACAAACACCUUCGGAGAUACCUGUAGAGCAUCUUUGUAAUCACCCAGUUAUGUUGUGAAGUUUGAUAGCACAUAAGGCAUUCCUAUGGUAUUCGGGAGUUGCAUAAUCUCAUAGUCGAAGGAAUAUGUAUUUGACAUGAAGAAAUCAAUAGCAAUAAAACCGAACGAUCAUAACACUAAGCUAAUGAAUGUGUCUUAUCCAUCACAUCAUUCUCCUAAUGAUGUGAUCUCGUUUAUCAAAUGACAACACAUGUCUAUGGUUAGGAAACUUAACCAUCUUGGAUCAACGAGCUAGUCUAGUAGAGGCUUACUAGGGACACCGUGUUUUGUCUAUGUAUCCACACAUGUAUCAAGUUUCUGGUUAAUACAAUUCUAGCAUGAAUAAUAAACAUUUAUCAUGAAAUAAGGAAAUAUAAAAUAACAACUUUAUUAUUGCCUCUAGGGCGUAUUUCCUUCAAUGGUUGGGGUUAUGGUUAAGGUUAAGGUGAAAUUUCUAUGAAUAGAAGUUAUUUGUCCAAUGUGUGCAUAAAUUAUGUUAUUGGUCCAUUUGAAUUGGUUGGAUGACAUAUAUGGAUGACUUUAUUGUUUCCAUUUUCUUAGAUGCAUAAGCUCGUAAAUGUUCAUUAUUUGGACAAGACGACAUUUAUGCUUGGAAAUGACGAUGAAGGGUAAGAGGCUAUGGUUUUUGAAAAAGUCCAAGCUUUGAUGAUCUUGUAGUUAAAGUGAGAAGCGUCUUACAUUGGAAUGACCCAAAUGCCGAGGUUAAGCUUAUUGGGAGGUAUGACGUUGGAUUGGGAGUAAAGUCCCGAUUAAAGAGUAUGCCCAUCACCUCCCAAUUGCAUUGGAAUGUGUACAAGGACAAAGUAGACGCAUCACAAGACAAGUCUCGUGAGAUAUUUGCCACAAAGGUUGAUCCUCCUCCUACCUUGCAAAUUUAUUUGAACCGCAAUGUAUCCUCCCCAAUACAUGAUGAUAGUGCUGAGGUGUAUAUACCCAAUUGUUCUAGCCAACCACCAAGUAGCCAACCCAAUGAAGAUCAUAUCAAUUCUAGCACCAUAGUACUCUGAGUUCAUGUUAUUCCUCUUGUUCAAGAAGAUUCUAGUGGUCAUGUUGAUGAUGAUGCUAUUGUUGCUCAAGGGGAUGCUUAUGCGGAGAAUGAAGAGAUUCAUUACAAUCCCAUUGGUAACUUGGAUGUCAUUGUGCGGUAACAAGACAUGGACCGUACCCUCCCUUAUAACUGUAUGUGUGGGUAUGACUCGGAUGACGAGAGUUCGGAGGAAGAAUUGGAUGAGGAUGGGUUGGCACAAGAAAAUCAAAUCUAUAAGAAGGUGACCGGCAAGGAAAGAGGGUUGCUGUUGUUUAGGGAUGUGAGUCUUGUGGACAAGGCCAUUGUUGACGGUGGGAUGAGAUUGGGGUUGUUUGAGCCAACACCGUGCCCCAAGGUCGGUGAUCCUUGGCCACAAAAUGAGGAUGAGAAUUCUCAUAUGAAGAAAGGCAUCAAGUUUGGUUCUUUGGUGGAGUUCAAGAUAUGGUUGUGACGCCAUUAGGAACCAUAGGCCGUUUGUUGUUGGUCAUUGCAAUCAGAAUGUUCGGUACACAGUCAUAUGUGACCAAGAAGGUUGGCAUUGGAGGGUCCGUGGUAGAAAAAUCAAAGAAAUCGGUCAAUGGGUGUUGAAGAGUUCUGUUGCCACUCACACGUGCGUACCCCGGACAAGGCCGACCGAAGCAAAGGAGACCGUCAACUCACGUCUGGGUAUCUAGGCUACAAAUUGUUGAAUCAAAUAGCUCAUGAUCCAACCGUGAAGGUCAAGUUUCUCAUGACUUUGAUUGAGGAACUAUUUGGAUACCCGGUCAAGUAUGGAAAGGCAUGGAUGGCCAAGGCAAACAGUAUUAGGAUGUUGCAUGGUGAUUAUGAGGCCGCAUAUAACAUUCUCCCAAAGAUGUUGGCAGCCAUUGCUCAUCGGAACCCGGGCAUGCGCCAUCGGGUUGAUUCAAUUGAUGGAGUGUUUCGUCGUGCCUUCUGGAGCUUUGGAAAAUGCAUCGAGGCAUUCACGUAUUGGCGACUGGUCUUGUCUAUAGAUGGCACAUUCUUGACCGGCAAAUACAAGGCCACAUUGAUGGUGGCAAUGGCCCACUCGUCAAAUGAUAACGUGUUGCCGGUGGCAUUUGUCUUGGUGCCUUCAGAGCACGAUGACAAUAUGGAGUGGUUCAUGGGGCAUGUGAGGAUAAAGGUGAUUGGCAAGAGAGAGGUAUGCAUCAUAUCCAAUCGCCAUCAUGGGAUUCUCAAUGCAAUAAACAUUGAUAUUUCAGGUCUUCCAAAGCUUCAAAACCGUUGGUGCAUGAAGACACUUUGCGGCAAACUUUUACUGGGCAUGCAAGAGCAAGGAGUUUUGCAAAGACCUUACCCAUGUUUGUGUUGCAUUUAACACUGACACAUUCAAAAGCCAAUAUGAUAAACUCCUCAAGGCGUUGGAGAAGAACAAAGGGGGUAAGAAUUCUUGACUAGGCACGAGCCGAAUAAAUAAAAGUGGUCACACGCUUACGAUGAAGGAGGUAUGCGAUAUGGGGACAUUGUCACACCCUAGCUAGCCAUGCAUUAGAGUGAUGCAUCAUGUUUACUUUUUCAUCAGAAACUUGAAAUGGGGAUGACAGAACCCCCAGUCACCUCUGAAACCAAUUAGGGUUUACUAAAAACUUUUUCAAUGAACCUGAAAUGCCCUUCUAAAAUGCCCAUCAUUUUUGUCUUGGUUCAGAACCUCUGCCAAAAGUGGUGCACAUUUUCCUAGGCCAUCCUAGGGUUUUUGAUUUAAAUCAUAAGUAUUUGAAUUUGGGCAUUUAAAAUUAUAUAAAAUAUUUAAAUGCUCAAAUAACUCCAAACUAAAAUGUUUCAUGUUGGAAACAAUCCAACUAUGGACCAGGAGUAGUUUGGUGAUUUUAGGAGUAGCCUAAGUAUUUUAUUUAAUUCAACAAAGUGGCAGAAGUAUUAAUAAAAACAGAAAACAGAGAAAAAUGGGAAAAGGCUUACCUGUCGCCUAGCACCGGCCCACCUGCCGGCCCAGCCCAGCACCGCGCCAGCGAGCUGCUUGCCGGCCAGGCAGGCAGGCAGGUGCUCGACGGCGAGCACCGCAUGGGUGCCACGCACCUGCUCGCCGCCUCGCCGCCUCCCUCGCCCGGCUAACGCCGUGAAUCGGCUUCCCUCUCUCCCCCGAACCCCCCAGACACCCCCUCUCCUCUCCAGCUCCUCCCCCUCGCACGCCCCAGCCAUGGCCGACGCCAUCGCCGCCACCCCCUCGUUGUAGCCACGCCCUCCGUCCACCCCACGCCGUGCCACCGUGUCCAGGAGCUCCGCCGCUGUCCACUUCAUCGAGCUAGCCGAGCCCUGUGUGCUCGUGCGGCCCGAGACCACCGCACCGACCUCGCCCGAGCUCGCCGUCGCCGGAGAUCCCCUUCAACGCCGUCGCCGCCUCAGCUCGUCCCCGACCCCGCCGGUGGCCUCUACGGGAGCACUGUGAGCCUAGCUACCUCUCCGACCCUCUCUCUCUCAUUCCCGAGCCGUGUAGCCACCGCACGAGGAUCACACGCCCGCACGUGCUUCCGGCCACCCUCCGGCCACGAGCUGGUGUCCAUCUUACUCACCGAGCUCCGCAGCACCUAGCUAGCCACUCCCCGAGCCUCACCGACCCCUCUAGCACCAAGUUCAUCUUCGGCCGAACCCCGGUGGCCGCCAAAGUCGUCGCCGGCGCCAACUCCGGCCACCCCGACCCCAACGGACUCCACCAAGAGCUGCGGCUUGUCCUCAGCUCCACUCCGGUGGUCUCCGCGACCCAUUUGGUGGCCGAAAUGGCCAAAACCACUCCCGCCGCCGCGUCGGGCUCGCCGGCGGCUAAACGCCGGCGCCGCUGGCAUUGACUUUGACCACGGGUGGGCCCUGGUUGACUCCCCUGAGUCAAUGAAGGUGGGGCCCAGCCCUGUUAAUUAAACAGGUUUAGUUUUAAUUAAACUUUAAUUAAAAUAAUCACCCUGACAUGCGGGACCCACUGUCAGGUUUGACCCUGACGUGUUCCGUUGACCUGCUGACGUCACACUGACGUCAGGCUGACGUAAUAAUGAUUUUCUGGAAUUAUUCUAAUAUAGGAAAUUCCAGAAUAUAAUUUAAACUUCAAAAAUUCAUAACUUUUAUUCUGUAACUCCAAAUCAGACAAAUUAUAUAUGAAAAAUGAUCAGAAAAAUCCAAUCUAUCCAUAUGUACUAUUUUCAUGCAUGACUAAACAAGUUAACCUGAUGUUUAAUGCAGAACAAGAAAAAGCACCUUAAAAGGCCAUGUUUGAGUUUGAAAUUUGAAUCUUUGAUUCAAAUUGGUUCAAACCCUUCUGGUUUUAGUUGCAUUAGCCCAACACACUCAUAUUGCCAUGUUUCAUGCAUGCAUCAUAUUGUUGCACAUUGUUUGGUGAUGGUUGUGUAUCGGUGUCCCUUGCGACAGGUUCUGUCUCCGAGGAGUAUCGUGAUUACCCUAACGAAGAACCGUAUCAGUGCAUCGAACCAUCAGGCAAGCAACCAACCAUUUGAUCAUAUCGAUACAAUCCCAUGUUCUCGCUCCUGCUCUCUUUUACUGCAUUAAGACAACGCGUUUCAAACUGCUGUGUGUUACGGUAGUUGAACCCAUUUCCUCUGCAUGACCUGUCAUUGCCACAAUAACUAGAUGAAACCCACUAGCAUGUGUAGGAGUUGAUUGAGCCAUAUGUAUGUGUUGUUCCUACCUUGCUAUGCCUGCUAUGCUUAGAGUCGUGUCAGGUCUGGUUCAUCUGGGUGAUGGGCUAGAGUGAAAUGAUUAUGUCGGUAAUGAGAGUGGUGUGGUGAACACGAUUUGGUAAAGGUGUCGAUGAGAGGCCAUGUAGGAGUACAUGGUGGGUUGUUUCAUUGAAGCCGACCUUAAGCACUGAGAUCUGUAUGUGUGAUUUAAGAAUCAGCUACUACCAUGCAUUGGGCCCGAAACCAAUGGACCCUCUCGGCUUCUUAUUCACCCUAGUUCUCCGUCCAGGAGUUGCAAGUAGUUUCUGGUGUUUGUAGCCUACUGGAGGCCGUGGACAGCGCUGACCGUAGGGGUGGGCUAUGAUGCGGUAGGUACGUGGCACGGUGUACCGAAUACCCGUUAGGUAUCUCGGGAACCCUGUUCACAUCGUUCGGGGCCGUAUGGGAAACCUCGGCCGGACUCCCUGCGGAUGGAACCUGGAUAGGCGAUAAACCUGGACUGGAGGCUUAGGUGAUUAGGUAGGUCGUGGCCGACACCCACGUUGGGCUUCCGCUUGAAGGUUGCCGAGUACAUGUCGUGUAAACGGCGGUAAGUGGUGAGAGCGUGUAUGAAGAAGUACACCCCUGCAGGGUUAUCAUGAUCUAUUCGAAUAGCCGCGUCCGCGGUAAAGGACUACUGGGUUGCCUAUACAGUUCAUAGACAAGUAAAUGGAAACUACUAAAAGCCUCAAGAUAAGUGUGAGUGCCGAGGAUGGCUCUUCCGUAGGAAGACGGAGGUGGAUCCUCGGUAGUGUAUUGAAGUGGUGAGUAGUGGACUCGUGUGCGCAAAACCAUUUCAAGUUGGAGUAUCGUAGGAUAGUCUAGCCAAGAGUCAAAGCUGGCUUGCUGCAAUAACUCCACCAACCCUUCUUGAUAAUAUGCAUGUAUGUAGGAUCUGAUGUAAGUCUUGCUGAGUACCUUUGUACUCAUGUUGCUAUAAUUUACAUUUUUUUACAGAAGACGCUGCAACCCCUUCUGAUGGGUUCUAUGUAGACGUUGACAUCAACGAGUAGGCUAAAGGCCCAGGUGGUGACCCUGAGCUUGUGAAGGACCAUGUAGUAUAGCUAGGCUUUCCAAGCCUCUUUUAUUUUACUAGUUGUCUGUACUCAGACAAGUUACUUCCGCUGCUGGUUUGUAUGACUGUAUGACUUGAAUGUUGGGUCGUGAGACCCGUACCUUUGUGUAUGUUAUGUAUGGCUCCCUGAGCCUUAAAUAAAGUACUUGUGUCGUAGAGUCAUGUUGUGAUGCUUCGUUGUAUUUGCACAUAUCGAGCAUAUUGUGUGUAUGAUUGAAAUGCUUGGUAUGUGUGGGAUCUGACUAUCUAGUUGUUUAUCUUUAGUAGCCUCUCUUACCGGGAAAUGUCUCCUAGUGUUACCGCUGAGCCAUGGUAGCUUGCUACUGCUCUAGAACACUUAGGCUGGCCGGCAUGUGUCCUUCUUCGUUCCUGUGUCUGUCCCUUAGGGGAAAUGUCAUGCUUUGAGUACCGGAGUCCUGUUAGCCCGCUACAGCCCGGUUUACCGGAGUCCUGCUAGCCCAGUGCUACAGCCCGGACCCACUUGCUGAUGACCGACACGUUCGAAGCUGGGUCAUGGAUGCCUGUCCCUGUAAGUCUGUGCCACUUUGGGUUUACGACUAGUCAUGUCAGCCCGGGCUCCUUAUCAUAUGGAUGCUAGCGACACUAUCAUAUACGUGAGCCAAAAGGCGCAAACGGUCCCGGGCAAAGGUAAGGCGACACCCGUGGGGAUACCGUGCGUGAGGCCGCAAAGUGAUAUGAGGUGUUACCGGCUAGAUCGAUGUGACAUCGAGUCGGGGUCCUGACAGCGUUGGCAUCAGAGCCGGACUGCCUGUAGGUUCUCCAAGCCAAAAUGGUCGAUGUUGAGUCUAGAAAUUCUUUAGUUAUAUGUAGGGGAAUUGUUUGUGGGUUGGAACGUAAGGCUCUUUUUACUCCUUUAUCUUAUGACAUUCUGAUCUGAGUCAGUCCAUUCUUCCACCGGGGGUUAAGGAAUUAGGAUCUAUUCUCUCUAUCAGGAUCACGUGUUACUAAUCAGUAGUACCUUAUAAGUUUGAUGGAUACAAGCCUAGUUCAGUUCUACUACCACAUUAUGUUGUUAGAAUGGAUUCAGAACUUUGAUAUGAUGAUGUUGAGUGUGUACGAAAUCCUUUGUCAAAUGUCUCAAAAUCCUUCUUGAGCAUUUACAGCUGUUAUGCUGCUGAAAUUUCGCUAGAAAUUCUAAUGCCUUUGCAUUAUGAUUGUGCUUUCAGAUGGCCACUCGCGACCUCAAUCAAGUGGUUCGCCUGACUCGAUGCCUAGAUGUACCCGGCCAUACUGCCAAGUUGGUCAGGGUAAUGACUGAGGCUGGAUACCGCUGGUAUCCUGAGUACACGGUCGAAGAGCAAUUUCGGGACUUUAAUCGAAGCCAGUAUCUCUGCACUGUCAGGAUAUUUCCAUCUUAUCCUGGGUCCACCGAGCCCCUUCACUGCUCCUAUGGACUCGGGGUUACUAUUGAGAUGGCUGUGCAGGACGCCGCCUACUCUAUGAUGACCAUUAUGCGAGUCAGAUCUGGUCUAUUUCGGGACUCUGAUUUCCGGUAUAUGCCAGGAUCACUUCCGGGAGCACAAGGGUAUCUCCAGGCUAUCUAUGCUGACCCCACCCAGGAGGAUUCACGGACUCGCACUACUGCUGAGAUGCUCGAGGAUAAGGACCGUGAAAAUCGGGCCUUGAGGUUAGAGCUCUUCAAUACCCGUGCUGACCACUGGGCCACAUUGACUCGGUUUGCACCGGCGGUGCAAGCUGGAUAUUCGGAUAUGCGCGAUCUCUAUCCUGUGAGAUCUGCUCUGCCAGACGUGAUGGGUUGGCGUGAUGUAGGAGGCAUCACCCCACCUCGCGGUUCCCGCAGGCCACCGUCUGUUGGUCCAAGACCUCAUCCUAGUCCCUAUGGUCCACAAGCUCCGCGAGAUCGUCUGUUUCCGGAUGAUCAUGUUGAGCUUCCAGGCUAUGGAGGUGACUUCUACGAGGACUACUACGGAUCGGUCUGAGUUAGUGGUAGUAUCACUAGUUAGCACUAUCUGUGUCGUCUAUCGUCCCGCGUGACUCGUGGGAUAUGCCCUAGUUUGUACUCUUUCCGAAGAUGUAGAAAAAUAAUGUAUAGGAGCUUAGGAUGCCUCCGAUGAGAUGUAAUCCUAUUUUCACCGUAAUAGUACUUUGUUUGGUCUUGUACUAAACCCUGUAUGGUGUGUAUGACGAUGGAAUAAAGAAGCAGUUUCUGUAUCUACCAUGUCAUACGGAUGAUCAUCUUGCAUUCCGAGUUAUUCCUUACAUUUUGUAUCCUAUGUCGGAAUUUUAUCAUUCUGACUAAAUCAUUGUCUUGUUUACCUAGGAUGGUCAACACGCGCACUAACCCUGCUCCUCAAGAGCAGGCCGAAGGCAGUGAAGUCAGGGAUGCAAAUCUGCCUCAUCCUCCUUCCCUAGCCGAGGUUAUGAUGGAAGCUGAGAGAAACAAGCGGGAGACCAACCGUUUGUUGGAGCGUAUUGAACAGAACACAGCACACCAUCAGAGGACUAACGUGGUGUCGCUCAGUGAUUUUAUCAAAUUACAUCCACCCACGUUCCACCACUCUGUCGAGCCUCUCGACGCUGAUGACUGGCUUCGCAGUAUCUCUCACAAGCUGCGUUCCGCGCUAGUAGCUGAGGCUGACAAGGUCACCUUUGCUGCAUAUCAUCUUGAAGGCCCCGCCAGUCUAUGGUGGGAGAAUUAUGGAGCUAUGCGCCCAGCAGGCCAUGUCACUACUUGGGCCGAAUUCAGUGAGGCUUUCCGUGAACAUCACAUUUCGGAGGGUCUCAUGGACCGUAAACGUGAGGAAUUCUGCAAUUUCACCCAAGGCCGACUCUCUGUGGAUGCUUACAGCAGGGAGUUUGGUAACCUCACACAAUAUGCAACUGAGGAAGUUUCUACUGAUGCCAAGAAGCAAGCAAGGUUCCGUAAGGGACUUAGUCCUGAGCUUCGCCGCGACCUCCGUCUGCAUGAGUGCACAUCUUUUCAGAAACUUGUUAACAAAGCCAUCAGUGCUGAAACCGGUCAGACUGAUUAUGACGCAACACGCAAGCAUGGCCGUGACAUGGGUUCCUCAUCCGGUGCUGGUCCUCAGAAGCGCCGCGUGUGGGUGCCCAACACCGCCCUGCCACCCAGGUUCACACCGAGGCCAUCUUUCCAGGCGCCUCGCCCUGUUCAACAGUCUGCUCUAGCCAAGCCCUAUGGGGGUCCAACCAACAAUGCUCCUCCACGUACCAGUUCUGUGACUUGUUUCAAGUGUGGGGAAUCUGGCCACUAUAUGCGUGAGUGUCCCCAGACCAACCCCAACCAAUCUGCUAAAGCUGUUGGCCGUGGCAAGCCGACAGGGAAAGUGUUCCACGCCAAGCCGGCCACCGCCUCACGUGGCCAUGUCAACUGUAUCUCUGCCGAAGAAGCUCAAGAAGAUCCCAACGUCGUUCUCGGUACGCUCCUUGUUAAUUGCCACCCGGCAUCUGUUCUUUUCGAUACAGGAGCCUCUCAUUCAUUUAUAUCCGAGAACUACGCUCGUUUGCAUAACACCGCAUUCUGUAACAUGCCAUCCACUAUGGAAAUUUCUACUCCCGGUUCUAGAUGGCAGACCUCCAGGGUAAGUUAUGGAAAUGAAAUCCAAGUCGAUAGACUUGUUUUCCUUGCAUCUUUAAUAGCUCUCAAAUUUUCAGAUAUUAAUAUCAUUUUGGGUAUGGACUGGAUGUCAGCUCAUCAUGCCAAAAUUGAUUGCUUCUCUAGGACUGUUCAACUCACUCACCCUUCGGGCAAGAUAGUCAAUGUCUUGACCCGAUUAGCCAAGCGACAAUUAUAUUCUCUUAACGCCAGCCCUUUGCCAGACCUUGAGGACGUUCCGGUAGUCCGUGACUUUCCGGAUGUCUUCCCAGAGGAAUUGCCAGGUGUUCCACCUGAUAGGGAUGUUGAGUUCGUAAUAGACCUCAUUCCAGGAACCGUUCCGAUUGCUAGAAGACCCUAUAAGAUGGCACCACUAGAACUAGCCGAGCUUAAGAAACAACUCGAUGAGUCCUUGAAAAAGGGUUUCAUCCGACCUAGUUCAUCUCCGUGGGCUUGCCCCGUCCUCUUCGUCAAGAAGAAGGAUGGUACGGACCGGAUGGUUGUAGAUUAUCGACCUGUCAAUUUGGUCACAAUCAAGAACAAAUAUCCGCUUCCCAGGAUCAACGACCUGUAUGAUCAGCUCGCUGGAUCCUCAGUCUUCUCCAAGAUGGAUUUGAGGUUGGGCUACCAUCAAAUCAAAAUCAGAAACGGGGACAUCCCUAAAACGGCCUUUGUUACUCGUUAUGGCCAAUACGAGUACACCGUCAUGUCCUUCGGUUUAACCAACGCUCCAGCCACCUUUUCUCGGUUAAUGAACUCAAUCUUCAUGGAGUAUUUGGAUAAAUUCGUCGUAGUUUACCUCGAUGAUAUACUCAUCUACUCCAAGAACGAGGAAGAACAUGCCGAACAUUUAAGGCUAGUGUUGAAGAAACUUCGAGAGCAUCGCCUUUAUGCCAAAUUUUCUAAAUGUGAAUUCUGGUUGUCAGAAGUGACCUAUCUAGGUCAUGUAAUAUCUGGUAAAGGUAUUGCUGUUAACCCUGAGCGAGUUCAAGCCGUCCUUAAUUGGACUCCACCUGAAUCGGUCAAGCAAGUUCGGAGUUUUCUAGGCUUAGCGAGCUAUUGUCGUCGCUUUGUCGAGAACUUCUCCAAGGUUGCUAAACCUCUAACCGAACUCCUCAAGAAAGAUAAGAAGUUCGAAUGGACUCCACAGUGUGAGCACAGCUUUCAGGAACUGAAAAGACGCCUGACUUCUGCUCCCGUACUGGUACCGCCAGACUUCUCCAAGGACUUUGUUAUCUACUGCGACGCCUCGCGACAAGGACUAGGUUGCAUUCUCAUGCAAGAUCGACACGUAAUUGCCUACGCUUCACGGCAAUUGCACCCACAUGAGGAGAAUUAUCCUACUCAUGAUCUAGAGCUUGCAGCCGUAGUCUAUGCACUUAAGACCUGGCGACAUUACCUCCUCGGUAAUCGUUGCGAAAUAUUCACUGAUCACCAAAGUCUGAAGUACAUUUUCACCCAACCGGAUUUGAAUCUCAGGCAAAGACGUUGGGUUGAGUUGAUCACAGAUUUCGACUUAGGAAUAACUUACACCCCAGGGAAAGCCAACGUCAUGGCUGAUGCACUAAGUCGUAAAUCUUAUUGUAACAACCUGAUGUUACAACAAAGUCAACCGCUUCUCCAUGAGGAAUUUCGGAAGCUUAACCUUCACAUUGUUCCUCAAGGAUUUCUUUCCACCUUGGUAGCGAAACCUACUCUUACGGAUCAAAUCAUCGCUGCCCAAAAGCGAGAUAAAGGAAUAUCUAAAAUCAAGGAGAACAUUGCUAGCGGAGGUGCUAGUUGUUUCUCCACAAAUGAUCAUGGUGUUGUGUACUUCGAGAACCGUCUAGUGGUUCCCAAGAACCAGCAUCUACGGCAGUUGAUCCUUAAGGAGGCUCAUGAAUCUCCUCUCACCAUUCAUCCCGGUAGUACUAAGAUGUAUCAGGACCUACGCCAGAGGUUCUGGUGGACUAGGAUGAAGAGAGAAAUUGCUCAGUAUAUUGCUAAUUGCGACGUCUGUCGUCGUGUAAAAGCAGAGCAUCAACGGCCUGCUGGCACCCUUCAACCUUUAGCUAUUCCUGAAUGGAAAUGGGAUAAAAUUGGUAUGGAUUUCAUUACCGGUUUUCCCAGGACCAAGAGAGGGAAUAAUGCUAUCUUUGUCGUUGUCGAUCGUCUUUCCAAAGUGGCCCAUUUCUUACCUGUUCGUGAGAGUAUAACCGCUAGUCAGCUGGCAGACCUAUACAUCUCCCGAAUAGUGUCUCUCCAUGGUGUUCCUUUGGAAAUCAACUCGGAUCGAGGAAGUCUUUUCACCUCUCGAUUUUGGGAAAGUUUCCAAAAUGCUAUGGGAACCCGUCUCUCCUUUAGCACCGCUUUCCACCCUCAGUCGAGUGGUCAAGUGGAACGCGUCAACCAGAUUCUAGAAGACAUGCUUCGAGCCUCUGUUAUCUCUUUCGGAAUGGAUUGGGAGAAGUGCCUUCCAUUUGCCGAAUUCGCUUACAACAACAGCUAUCAAUCUAGCUUGGGUAAAGCCCCUUUUGAAGUUCUCUAUGGACGACGGUGUCGAACACCCCUUAACUGGUCAGAGACCGGGGAAAGACAAUUCUUUGGCCCGGAUAUGAUUCAGGAAGCAGAAGAGCAAGUUCGCAUCGUUCGUGAAAAGUUGAAAACAGCCCAAUCUCGUCAAAAGAGUCAAUAUGACCGAAAACAUAAGGCUAUGACUUUCGAGGUUGACGAGAAGGCUUAUCUUCGGGUCACCCCUCUGAAGGGAACCCAUCGUUUCGGUAUCAAAGGCAAAUUGGCUCCUCGUUACAUUGGACCUUUUCGCAUUCUCGCCAAACGACGAGAACUACCUCCGCACCUCUCCAGAGUCCACGAUGUCUUCCACGUUUCUCAACUCAGGCGUUGCUUCUCGGAUCCUAUCCGUGGAGUGGACUACGAAACGCUUGAUCUCCAAGAUAAUCUUACGUAUCGAGAGUACCCCAUUCGUAUCCUCGAUCAGGCCGAGCGUACCACUCGACGUCAUAAUAUCAAGUUUCUUAAAGUACAAUGGUCGCACCAUUCUGAGGAUGAAGCAACUUGGGAAAGGGAGGACCGUCUUCGACUUGAGUAUCCCGCCUUCUUUCCGGAGGAACCCAAAUCUCGGGACGAGAUUCUUUUCAGUGGGGGUGAGUUGUCACACCCUAGCUAGCCAUGCAUUAGAGUGAUGCAUCAUGUUUACUUUUUCAUCAGAAACUUGAAAUGGGGAUGACAGAACCCCCAGUCACCUCUGAAACCCAUUAGGGUUUACUAAAAACUUUUUCAAUGAACCUGAAAUGCCCUUCUAAAAUGCCCAUCAUUUUUGUCUUGGUUCAGAACCUCUGCCAAAAGUGGUGCACAUUUUCCUAGGCCAUCCUAGGGUUUUUGAUUUAAAUCAUAAGUAUUUGAAUUUGGGCAUUUAAAAUUAUAUAAAAUAUUUAAAUGCUCAAAUAACUCCAAACUAAAAUGUUUCAUGUUGGAAAUAAUCCAACUAUGGACCAGGAGUAGUUUGGUGAUUUUAGGAGUAGCCUAAGUAUUUUAUUUAAUUCAACAAAGUGGCAGAAGUAUUAAUAAAAACAGAAAACAGAAAAAAAUGGGAAAAGGCUUACCUGUCGCCCAGCACCGGCCCACCUGCCGGCCCAGCCCAGCACCGCGCCAGCGAGCUGCUUGCCGGCCAGGCAGGCAGGCAGGUGCUCGACGGCGAGCACCACAUGGGUGCCACGCACCUGCUCGCCGCCUCGCCGCCUCCCUCGCCCGGCUAACGCCGUGAAUCGGCUUCCCUCUCUCCCCCGAACCCCCCAGACACCCCCUCUCCUCUCCAGCUCCUCCCCCUCGCACGCCCCAGCCAUGGCCGACGCCAUCGCCGCCACCCCCUCGCUGUAGCCACGCCCUCCGUCCACCCCACGCCGUGCCACCGUGUCCAGGAGCUCCGCCGCUGUCCACUUCAUCGAGCUAGCCGAGCCCUGUGUGCUCGUGCGGCCCGAGACCACCGCACCGACCUCGCCCGAGCUCGCCGUCGCCGGAGAUCCCCUUCAACGCCGUCGCCGCCUCAGCUCGUCCCCGACCCCGCCGGUGGCCUCUACGGGAGCACUGUGAGCCUAGCUACCUCUCCGACCCUCUCUCUCUCAUUCCCGAGCCGUGUAGCCACCGCACGAGGAUCACACGCCCGCACCGCCGCGGGUCUCGUCGCCGACGUGCUUCCGGCCACCCUCCGGCCACGAGCUGGUGUCCAUCUUACUCACCGAGCUCCGCAGCACCUAGCUAGCCACUCCCCGAGCCUCACCGACCCCUCUAGCACCAAGUUCAUCUUCGGCCGAACCCCGGUGGCCACCAAAGUCGUCGCCGGCGCCAACUCCGGCCACCCCGACCCCAACGGACUCCACCAAGAGCUGCGGCUUGUCCUCAGCUCCACUCCGGUGGUCUCCGCGACCCAUUUGGUGGCUGAAAUGGCCAAAACCACUCCCGCCGCCGCGUCGGGCUCGCCGGCGGCUAAACGCCAGCGCCGCUGGCAUUGACUUUGACCACGGGUGGGCCCUGGUUGACUCCCCUGAGUCAAUGACAGGUGGGGCCCAGCCCUGUUAAUUAAACAGGUUUAGUUUUAAUUAAACUUUAAUUAAAAUAAUCACCCUGACAUGCGGGACCCACUGUCAGGUUUGACCCUGACGUGUUCCGUUGACCUGCUGACGUCACACUGACGUCAGGCUGACGUAAUAAUGAUUUUCUGGAAUUAUUCUAAUAUAGGAAAUUCCAGAAUAUAAUUUAAACUUCAAAAAUUCAUAACUUUUAUUCUGUAACUCCAAAUCAGACAAAUUAUAUAUGAAAAAUGAUCAGAAAAAUCCAAUCUAUCCAUAUGUACUAUUUUCAUGCAUGACUAAACAAGUUAACCUGAUGUUUAAUUCAGAACAAGAAAAAGCACCUUAAAAGGCCAUGUUUGAGUUUGAAAUUUGAAUCUUUGAUUCAAAUUGGUUCAAACCCUUCUGGUUUUAGUUGCAUUAGCCCAACACACUCAUAUUGCCAUGUUUCAUGCAUGCAUCAUAUUGUUGCACAUUGUUUGGUGAUGGUUGUGUAUCGGUGUCCCUUGCGACAGGUUCUGUCUCCGAGGAGUAUCGUGAUUACCCUAACGAAGAACCGUAUCAGUGCAUCGAACCAUCAGGCAAGCAACCAACCAUUUGAUCAUAUCGAUACAAUCCCAUGUUCUCGCUCCUGCUCUCUUUUACUGCAUUAAGACAACGCGUUUCAAACUGAUGUGUGUUACGGUAGUUGAACCCAUUUCCUCUGCAUGACCUGUCAUUGCCACAGUAACUAGAUGAAACCCACUAGCAUGUGUAGGAGUUGAUUGAGCCAUAUGUAUGUGUUGUUCCUACCUUGCUAUGCCUGCUAUGCUUAGAGUCGUGUCAGGUCUGGUUCAUCUGGGUGAUGGGCUAGAGUGAAAUGAUUAUGCCGGUAAUGAGAGUGGUGUGGUGAACACGAUUUGGUAAAGGUGUCGAUGAGAGGCCAUGUAGGAGUACAUGGUGGGUUGUUUCAUUGAAGCCGACCUUAAGCACUGAGAUCUGUAUGUGUGAUUUAAGAUACAGCUACUACCAUGCAUUGGGCCCUGAAAUAUGACCCCGCUCGACUUCUUAUUCACCCUAGCUCUCUGUCCAGGAGUUGCAAGUAGUUUCUGGUGUUUGUAGCCUACUGGAGGCCGUGGACAGCGCUGACCGUAGGGGUGGGCUGUGAUGCGGUAGGUACGUGGCCGGGUGUACCGAAUACCCGUUAGGUAUCUCGGAAACCCUGUUCACAUCGUUCGGGGCCGUAUGGGAAACCUCGGCCGGACUCCCUGCGGAUGGAACCUGGAUAGGCGAUAAACCUGGACUAGAGGCUUAAGUGUUUAGGUAGGUCGUGGUCUACACCCACGUCGGCUUUCGCUUGAAGUCUGCCGAGCACAUGUCGUGUGCAGACGCUAAGUGGUGGAAACAUGUAUGAAGAAGUACACCCCUGCAGGGUUAUCAUGAUCUAUUCGAAUAGCCGCGUCCACGGUAAAGGACUACUUGGUUGCCUAUACAGUUCAUAGACAAGUAAAUGGAAACUACUAAAAGCCUCAAGAUAAGUGUGAGUGCCGAGGAUGGCUCUUCCGUAGGAAGACGGAGGUGGAUCCUCGGUGGUGUAUUGAAGUGCUGAGUAGUGGACUCAUGUGCGAAAAACCAUUUCAAGUUGGAGUCUCGUAGGUUAGCCUAGCCAAGAGUCAAAGCUGGCUUGCUGCAAAAACUCCACCAACCUUUCUUGAUAAUAUGCAUGUAUGUAGGAUCUGAUGUAAGUCUUGCUGAGUACCUUUGUACUCAUGUUGCUAUAAUUUACAUUUUAUAGAAGACGAUGCAACCCCUUCUGAUGGGUUCUACGUAGACGUUGACAUCAACGAGUAGGCUAAAGGCCCAGGUGGAGAUCCUGAGCUUGUGAAGGACCAUGUAGUAUAGCUAGGCUUUCCAAGCCUCUUUUAUUUUACUAGUUGUCUGUACUCAGACAAGUUACUUCCGCUGCUGGUUUGUAUGACUGUAUGACUUGAAUGCUGGGUCACGAGACCCGUACCUUUGUGUAUGUUAUGUAUGGCUCCCUGAGCCUUAAAUAAAGUACUUGUGUCGUAGAGUCAUGUUGUGAUGCUUCGUUGUAUUUGCACAUAUCGAGCAUAUUGUGUGUAUGAUUGAAUUGCUUGGUAUGUGUGGGAUCUGACUAUCUAGUUGUUUAUCUUUAGUAGCCUCUCUUACCGGGAAAUGUCUCCUAGUGUUACUGCUGAGCCAUGGUAGCUUGCUACUGCUCUGGAACACUUAGGCUGGCCGGCAUGUGUCCUUCUUCGUUCAUGUGUCUGUCCCUUUGGGGAAAUGUCACGCAUUGAGUACCGGAGUCCUGUUAGCCCGCUACAGCCCGGUUUACCGGAGUCCUGCUAGCCCAGUGCUACAGCCCGGACCCACUUGCUGAUGACCGACACGUUCGAAGCUGGGUCAUGGAUGCCUGUCCCUGUAAGUCUGCGCCACUUUGGGUUUACGACUAGUCAUGUCAGCCCGGGCUCCUUAUCAUAUGGAUGCUAGCGACACUAUCGUAUACGUGAGCCAAAAGGCGCAAACGGUCCCGGGCAAAGGUAAGGCGACACCCGUGGGGAUACCAUGCGUGAGGCCGCAAAGUGAUAUGAGGUGUUACCGGCUAGAUCGAUGUGACAUCGAGUCGGGGUCCUGACAGACAUGACAAGCAACAUGGUGGAAUGCUUCAACAAUGUGUUGAAGGGUGUCCGUUCCUUGCUGGUCACCACAAUACUCAAGUACACUUUCAUCAAACUCAACGAGUACUUCUAAAGCAUUCCGAAAUCAUGGGCAAGUGGAUUGAUGAAAAAUUGGACUAUCCAUUCAAGGUUCAGGAUUGGUUGUUGCAUCGAGCGCGCAAGUCUUCCCACCAACAAGUGAUCAAAUACAAUGAAAAAGAAAUGAUCUAUCAAAUCGAUGAGCCGGGUGCCACAACAAGGGACGCUGUGUCCUAUGGUGGAGUUGCGUACGAGGUGCACAUCAAAAACCGGUGGUGCCAGUAUGAGAGGCCACACAAGUAUCAUUGGCCUUGCUCGCAUGUGAUGACUGCAAUACGGGCAAGAAACUUGCCUGUAUAUGAUGGUACAACGGUGCGGUUGCACGAGUUCACAUUGGAACGAACGAGGUUGACGUGGGCGCCUUGGUUUAAUCCUUUCCUUGAUCCGUCACAGUGGCCUGAGUAUGAUGGUCCUAACAUUGUGCCAGAUCCCGCACUAAUGGUGCCUAUGAGGGGAAGAAGAAGAAAGAAGAGGUUCAGGAGUGACAUGGAUGAUCUAGCUGGAUACACCAGAAUGAAGCAAUUUGGUAGUGGUCAUUUCAUGGAGGCACCGAACACCAACAAUUGUGGAGAAUGCAACGAGACGGGAUACAACGUUACAAGAUGCACGAAAAGACCCAAAACCAACACGAGCACUAGUAAAACAAGUGGCGGUAGAGGAGGUUCCGCCGGCACACGAGGAGGAAGGACAAGUCUUGGAGGGGGCCGUGGAGGAAGGACUAGUCUUGGAGGGGGCCGUGGAGGAAGGACUAGUCUUCGAGGGGGACGUGGAGGAAGGAGUAGUCUUAGAGGGGGUCGUGGAUCCAGUGGUUCAAGGACAUGUCGGAUUGACAGAGGAAGGCCUAUCGAUGUGUUCAUAAAUCCGGAUGGUUGAAAUAAUGUGAAUGGUACUAAUUGUCUCAUUUCAUGUCAAUUUGUUGAAAUAUUUGCUUAACAUCUUUAAUUGUUUGCAUCUUGAUGUCUGCUAGAACUACGUCGGUAUUUCCCCAAAGAGGAAGGGAUGAUGCAGUAUAGCGACGGUAGGUAUUUCCCUCAGUGAUGAGACCAAGGUUAUCGAACCAUUAGGAGAACCUCCUCACACCACGUAAAUAGCACCUGCACACAAAUAACAAAUACUCGCAACCCGACGUGUUAAAGGGGUUGUCAAUCCCUUUCGGGUACGGCGCCUCAAGAUAGGCAAAUAACGUGAGGUAAAAGUGGUAGAUAGGAUAAAUAGAUCAUGGGACAAAUAAAUUGCAGCAAGGUAUUUUUGUAUUUUUGGUUUAAUAGAUCUGAAAAUAAAAGCAAAGGCAAAUAUGAUGAGAAGAGACCCGGGGGUCAUAGGUUUCACUAGUGGCUUCUCUCGAGAAAAAUAGCAAAAGGUGGGACAACAAUUACUGUUGAGCAAUUGAUAGAACUUCAAAUAAUCAUGACGAUAUCCAAGCAAUUAUCAUUAUAUAGGCAUCACGUCCAAGAUUAGUAGACUGACUCCUGCCUGCAUCUACUACUAUUACUCCACACAUCGACCGCUAUCCAGCAUGCAUCUAGUGUAUUAAGUUCAUAGAAAAACGGAGUAAUGCAAUAAGAACGAUGACAUGAUGUAGACAAGAUCUAUUUAUGUAGAAAUAGACCCCAUCUUGUUAUCCUUAAUAGCAACGAUACAUACGUGUCGUUUCCCUUUCUGUCACUGGGAUCAAGCACCGUAAGAUCGAACCCAUCACAAAGCACCUCUUCCCAUUGCAAGAUAAAUAGAUCAAGAUGGCCAAACAAAACCCAAAUAUCGGAGAAGAAAUACGAGGCUAUAAUCAAUCGAGCAUAUAAGAGAUCAAAGAAGACUCAAAUAACUUUCAUGGAUAAAAACAUAGAUCUGAUCAUAAACUCAAAGUUCAUCGGAUCCCAACAAACACACCGCAAAAAGACUUGCAUCAUAUGGAUCUCCAAGAGACCAUUGUAUUGAUAAUCAAGAGAGAGAAGAAGCCAUCUAGCUACUAACUACGGACCCGUAGUUCUACAAAGAACUACUCACACAUCAUCGAAGAGGCACCAAUGGAAGUGGUGAACCCCUCCGUGAUGGUGUCUAGAUUGGAUCUGGUGUUUCUGGACUCUGCGGCGGCUAGAAUUGAUUUUCGUCGACUCUCCUAGGGUUUCUGGAAUAUUGGGGUAUUUAUAGAGCAAAGAGGCGGUUCAGGGGGCACCCGAGGUGGGCACAACCCACCUGGGCACGCUUGGGCCUCCAGGCGCGCCCUGGUGGGUUGUGCUGCCCACGGAGCACCCCCAGGUGAUUUUCCUGGCCCACUGGAUGUCUUCUGGCCCAAAAAAAUCCUCAAGAAGUUUCGCUGCAUUUGGACUCCGUUUGGUAUUGAUUUCCCGCGAUGUAAAAACAUGUAGAAAACGGCAAUUAGCACUGGGCACUAUGUCAAUAGGUUAGUACCAAAAAAUGAUAUAAAAUGAUUAUAAAAUGAUUGUAAAACAUCCAAGAAUGAUAAUAUAACAACAUGGAACAAUAAAAAAAAUAGAUACGUUGGAGACGUAUCAGCAUCCCCAAGCUUAAUUCCUGCUCGUCCUCGAGUAGGUAAAUGAUAAAAACAGAAUUUUUGAUGUGGAAUGCUGCCUAACAUGUUCAUCACAUUUAUUUUCUUAAUAGCAUGGACAUUUGGACUUUUAUAUGGUUCAAAGCAAUAGUCUAGUUUUGACAUGAAGACUUUAAUACUCAAGCAUACCAACAAGCAACCAUGUCUUUCAAAAUAUCAAUACUAAAGCAAGUUAUCCCUAGCCCAUUAUGCUCAAUCAUUGAUCCAUUCAUGAAACACACUCGAAUAUUAGCUAUACCCAAUGCUCAAAUAAGAUCAUAGUGCCCCUUAGUUGGUGCUUUAUAAGAGAAGAUGGAGACUCAAAUUCAAAAUAAAAAUUGCAUCAGUAAUAGAAAGGCCCUUCAUGGAGGGAAGUAGGGAUUUGUAGAGGUGUCAGAGCUCAAAGAUUAAACUGAGAGAUAAAAACAUUUUUGAGAGGCAUACUUUUCCCAUCAACGAAAAAGACUUAGAGCUCCAAACACUUUACAUGCUAGAUACAUCAUAGGUGGUUCCCAAACAGAAAAUAAAGUUUAUUCCUUUUUCCAUCAUUACUUUCACUUUCCAUGGCUAGCCGAAUCCACGGUUGCCCUUCAUACCAACACUUUCCAAGGAAUUUAUUAUUUGACAACAUAAAGUAAAUUCAUUUUUCAUUUCUGGACUGGGCAUCCCUAAAACCUUCGCCGUACUCUCGUGCAAUGACAACUGAAUAAACACUCAUCAUGAGAAUAACACAUCUAGCAUGGAAAAUAUUUGCCACCCCUCACCGCCUCGCGAGCAGUAGAGCACACAAAAGAGAAAUUUAUUUUGAAAAUUAGAGAUGGCACAUGAAAAUUUGUUUGGAACGGCAUGAAAAUACCGCAUAUAGGUAGGUAUAGUGGACUCAUAAGGAAAAACUGGUUUAAAGGGUUUUGGAUGCACAAGUAGUGAUCAUACUUAGUGCAAAAUGAAGGCUAGCAAAAAGAUUGAGAAGCGACUAACCAAAAAGCAAGAAAUCUCGCACCCAAGCAUUAAGCAUAAGUAUAAAUGAAUAAUGCACCACAAGUAGGAUAUAAAUUUCAUUGCAUAACUAUUGACUUUCAUGCUUGCAUAGGGAAUCACAAACCUUAACAUCAAUAUUCUUUCUAAAGCACAAUUACUCAUCAACAUGACUCACAUAUCAUAUCAUCAUAUCUCAAAACCAUUACUAAGAAUCAAGUUUAUUUUGUCCAAUGAUCUUCAUGAAAUAUUUUAUUAUAUCCUCCUUGGGUAUCUAUCACUUUGGGACUAUUUCCAUAUGUUGCUUUUGAUUAGCUCAAACAAAUAUAAGUGAAGAACAUGAGCAUAAUUUUUUUCUUUCUCUCAAAAUAAUGUAAGUGAAGCAAGAGAGAAUUUCUGAAAAUUUUACUAACAACCAAAUAAAUCUAAGUGAAGCAUGAGAGCAUUUCUCCAAAAAAUAACAAAGCACACCAUGCUCAAAAGGAUAUAAGUGAAGCACUAGAGCAAAUCCAUGGCUCUAAAAUUUUAAGUGAAGCAUAGGAGCAAGCAUAACAUAAUUUAAGGCUCUCUCAGAAAGGUGUGUUCAGCAAGGAUUCAACACUUGAGACACAAAGCAAAACAAUCAAAUACUCAUAUCAUACAAGGCGCUCCAAGCAAAACUCAUAAUAUGUGACGAAUAAAAAUAUAGCUUCAAGUAAAAUACCGAUGGUUGUUAGAAGAAAUCGGGGAUGCCACUCGGGGGAAUCCCCAAGCUUAGUUGCUUGAUAUUUCUUGAAUAUUAUCUUGGGGUGCCUAGGACAUCCCCAAGCUUAGCCUUUUGCUAAUCCUUAUUCCUUCAUCAAUCGUAAGAUCACCCAAAACUUGAAAACUUCAAUCACACAAAACUCAACAAACCUUCGUGAGGUCCGUUAGUAUAAGAAAGCAAACCACUACUAUAAGUACUGUUGCAAACCUAUUCUUAUUUUGUUUUUUCAUUAUAUCUACUGUAUUCCAACUUUUCUAUGGCAAAAACUCAUCAAAGCAAACCAUAGAAUCAUCAAAACAAGCACACAAUGCAAAGAAAACAGAAUCUGUCAAAAACAGAACAGUCUGUAGAAAUCUGAAUAUUUCGAAUACUUAUGUAACUCUAAAAAUUCUAAAAAAAAUUAGAUUAACGUGAGAAAUUUUUCUAUUAAUCUGAUUCAAAAAUAAUAAACUCAAAAGCACUCUUCUGGUAAAAAUGACAAAUAAUCUCGUGAGCACAAAAGUUUCUGUUUUUCAGCAAGAUGAAAUCAACUUUCACCCAAAUCAUCCCAAAGGCCUUGCUUGGCACAAACACUAAUUUAAACCAAAAAAAACACAUAUAACGAGAGUAUAAUUGGUUACUUUAUUAAAAACAGCAAGAAAACCGAAAAGCAAAAAAGAUACAAGUUGGGUUGCCUCCCAACAAGCGCUAUCGUUUUACGCCCCUAGCUAAACACGUAGGAUCUAAGUUGUCAUCUUUGGUUCUAGAUCCAUAGGAUGCCCUCAUGAUUUAUUCAUAUGGUGGCCUAAUUAUUGUUCUAGGGAAGUGUUCCAUACCCUUCCUUAGUGGAAAUUGAAAUUUAAUAUUACCUUAUUUCAUACCAAUCACAGCACGAAUAGUACGUAAAAACGGUCUACCAAGAAUAAUUGGACAAGACGGAUUGCAAUCCAUAUCUAGAACAAUAAAAUCUAUGGGCACAUAAUUCCUAUUUGAAAGAAUAAGAACAUCAUUAAUUCUUCCCAUAGGAUUUUUAAUAGUAGAGUCCGCCAAGUGCAAAUUUAAAGAGCAUUCUUCAAUAUCGGUAAGACCAAGCACGUCACAUAAAGAUUUCGGAAUAGUAGAAACACUAGCACCCAAGUCACAUAAGGCAAAACAUUCAUAAUUUUUAAUCUUGACUUUGAUAGUAGGUUCCCACUCAUCAUGCAAUUUUCUAGGAAUUGAAACUUCUCAUUCCAACUUGUCUUCAAAAGCUUUCAUCCGAGCAUCAAAAUAUGUUUAGUAAAAUCUUUAUUUUGUUCAUAAGCAUGGGGUGAAUUUAUCAAGGAUUGCAACAAAGGAAUACAAUCAACCAAAGAGCAACUAUCAUAAUUAAAGUCUUUGUAAUAAAAAAUAGUGGGCACAUCACUAGUUAAAGUCUUGACCUCUUCAAACCCACUUUUAUCAAUUUUCUCAACAAGAUUUUCACCCUUUGAAUCAUAGGGACGCGUUCUAACUAAAGUUGACUCUUCUCCAGUCCCUUUUUCAUCAAUCUUAAUUUUACUAAACAAAGAAUCAAUAGAAGAAACACAAAUCAUUUUAAGAUCUUCAUCACUUUUAUGAAAGUAAUCACUAGAAAAUGCUCUUUCUAAAAAUUCUCUUUUACCUCUAAGCAUAGCGGUUCUUUUCUUACUUUCAUCCAUAGAAACAUAAAGAGCUUUAAUUGAUUCUUCAACUUUAGGCACAAAAUUUUUCAUCUUGAGAGUUUCUAUAUCAUGAGAAAUUCUAUCAACACUUCUAGACAAAUCAUCAUUUUUAUUCAACUUUUCUUCUAUCGAAGUAUUGCAAGCUUUUUGAGUAUUGAUAAAUUCUUUAAUAUUGUUCACAAGAUCAGAGGUGUUUCUAUUAUUAUUAUAAGAAGGAUUACCAUAGGAGUUACCAUAAUUAUUAGAGGAAUUACUAGGAAAAGUCCUAGGAUUAAAAUUACCUCUGUAAACAUUGUUAUUGAAAUUGUUUCGCGAGACAAAUUCACAUCUAUGGCAUCACUAUUUUUCUCAAUCAAAGUAGACAAAGGCACAUUAUUAAAAUCAAUAGAAGCACUUUUAUUAGCAACCAACUUCAUAAGAGCAUCAACUUUUUUGCUCAAAGAAUUUAUUUCUUCUAUCGAAUUGACUUCUUUACUAGUAGGAGCUCUUUCGGUAUGCCAUUGUGAGUAAUUUGCCAUAAUAUUGUCUAAUAAUCUAGUAGCUUUGCUAUGUCUUGAGCUUGCGUUGGUUUUCCUUGAAGAGGAAAGGGUGAUGCAGCAAUAGUAGCGUAAGUAUUUCCCUCAGUUUUUGAGAACCAAGGUAUCAAUCCAGUAGGAGGCUCCUCAAAAGUCCCACGCACCUACACAAACAAACAAAGAACUCGCAACCAACGCAAUAAAGGGGUUGUCAAUCCCUUCAUGGCCACUUGAGAAAGUGAGAUCUAAUAGAGAUAGUAUGAUAAGAUAAAUAUAUUUUUGGUAUUUUAUAAUAUAGAUUGAAAAAGUAAAGAUGCAAAUAAAAGUAGAUUGGAAGCAAAUAUGAUAAGAGAUAGACUCGAGGGUCGUAGGUUUCACUAGUGGCUUCUCUCAAGAUAGCAUAAGUAUUACGGUGGGUGAACAAAUUACUGUCGAGCAAUUGAUAGAAAAGCGAAUAAUUACGAGAUUAUCUAGGCAUGAUCAUGUAUAUAGGCAUCACGUCCGUGACAAGUAGACCGACUCCUGCCUGCAUCUACUACUAUUACUCCACACAUCGACCGACUCCUGCCUGCAUCUAGAGUAUUAAGUUCAUAAGAAUAGAGUAACACCUUAAGCAAGAUGACAUGAUGUAGAGGGAUAAACUCAUGCAAUAUGAUAUAAACCCCAUCUUUUUAUCCUCGAUGGCAACAAUACAAUACGUGCCUUGCACCCCUUUCUGUCACUGGGUAAGGACACCGCAAGAUUGAACCCAAAGCUAAGCACUUCUCCCAUGGCAAGACAGAUCAAUCUAGUAGGCCAAACCAAACUGAUAAUUCGAAGAGACUUGCAAAGAUAACUCAAUCAUACAUAAAAGAAUUCAGAGGAGAUUCAAAUACUUCUCAUAGAUAAACUUGAUCAUAAACCCACAAUUCAUCGGAUCUCGACAAACACACCGCAAAAAGAGUUUACAUCGAAUAGAUCUCCACAAGAGAGGGGGAGAACAUUGUAUUGAGAUCCAAAAAGAGAGAAGAAGCCAUCUAGCUAAUAACUAUGGACCCGAAGGUCUGUGAUAAACUACUCACAACUCAUCGGAGGGGCUAUGAUGUUGAUGUAGAAGCCCUCCAUGGUCGAUUCCCCCUCCGACGGAGCACCGACGAAGGCUCCAAGAUGGGAUCUCGUGGAUAUAGAAGGUUAUGGUAGUGGAAAUUGUGUUUCGUUCGCUCCAUGGAUGUUUUCGGGGUACGUAGGUAUAUAUAGGAGGAAGAAGUACGUCGGUGGCCGCUCGAGGGGCCCAGGAGACAGGGGCGCGCCCAGGAAGGGUGGGCGCGCCCUCCUAUCUCCUGGCCGCCUCGUUUGCUUCUUGACUUGCACUCCAAGUUCUCCGGAUCACGUUCAUUCCAAAAAAUCAUUCUCCCGAAGGUUUCAUUCUAUUUGGACUCCGUUUGAUAUUCCUUUUCUUCGAAAUACUGAAAUAGGCAAAAAAAACAGCAAUACAGGCUGGGCCUCCGGUUAGUAGGUUAGUCCCAAAAAUGAUAUAAAUGUGUAAAAUAAAGCCCAUAAACAUCCAAAAGGGGUAAUAUAAUGGCAUGGAACAAUCAAAAAUUAUAGAUACGUUGGAGACGUAUCAAGCAUCCCCAAGCUUAAUUCCUGCUCGUCCUCGAGUAGGUAAAUGAUAAAAACAGAAUUUUUGAUGUGGAAUGCUACCUAGCAUAUUUCUCAAUGUAAUUUUCUUUAUUGUGGCAUGAAUGUUCAGAUCCAAAUGAUUCGAGAUAAAAGCUUAUAAAACAUAAAAAUAAUAAUGCUUCGAAGCAUACUAACAAAUAAUCAUGUCCUAUCAAAAUAGCAUAGCCAAAGAAAGCUUAUCCCUACAAAAUCAUAUAGUUAGGCCAUGCUUCAUUUUCAUUACACAAAAUACUCCCAUCAUGCACAACCCUGGUUUCAGCCAAGCAAUUGGUUCAUACUUUUUAACGCGCUUCACCUUUUUCAACUCUUACGCAAUAUAUGAGCGCAAGCCAUGGACAUAGCACUAUGGUGGUAUAUGGUGGUGGUUGUGAGGACAAAAAGGGAGAAGAUAGUCUCACAUCAACUAGGCGUAUUAACGGGCUAUGGAGAUGCCCAUCAAUAGAUAUCAAUGUGAGUGAGUAGGGAUUGCCAUGCAACGGAUGCACUAGAGCUAUGAAUAUAUGAAAGCUUAAUAAAAGAAACUAAGUGGGUCUGCAUCCAACUCGCUUGCUCACGAAGAACUAGGGCAUUUUGAGGAAGCCCAUCAUUGGAAUAUACAAGCCAAGUUCUAUAAUGAAAAAUACCCACUUAGUAUAUGAAAGCGACAACAUAGGAGACUCUCUAUCAUGAAGACCAUGGUGCUACUUUGAAGCACAAGUGUGGAAAAGAGAUAGUAGCAUUGUCCCUUCUCUCUUUUUCUCUCAUUUUAUUAUUUAUUAUUUUUUCUUUUUUUUUCUUUCUUUCUUUUUUUCUUUGGCCUUUCUUUUUUUUCUUUUUGGCCUUUCUCUUUUUUUUAAGUCUGAAGUCUCAUCCCGACUUGUGGGGGAAUCAUAGUCUUCAUCAUCCUUUCCUCACUGGGACAAUGCUCUAAUAAUGAAGAUCAUCACACUUUUAUUGAUUUACAACUCAAGAAUUACAACUCAAAGCUAGAACAAGAUAUGACUCUAUAUGAAUGCCACCGGCAGGGUACCGGGAUAUGCAAUGAAUCAAGAGCGACAUGUAUGAAAAUUAUGAAGGUGGCCUUGCCACAAAUACAAUGUCAACUACAUGAUCAUGCAAAGAGCAAUAUGACAAUGAUGGAAUGUGUCAUAAUAAAUGGAACGGUGGAAAGUUGCAUGGCAAUAUAUCUCGGAAUGGCUAUGGAAAUGCCAUAAUAGGUAGGUAUGGUGGCUGUUUUGAGGUAGGUAAAUAAUGGGUGCAUGAUACCGGCGAAAGUUGCGCGGUAUAAUAGAGGCUAGCAAAGUGGAAGGAUGAGUGUGCGUAUAUCCAUGGACUCACAACUCAUAUUCAUAUUGCAAAAGUCUACUUGCCUCAAAGAGAAGUACUACUACGCAUGCUCCUAGGGGAAGGGUUGGUAGGAGUUAACCAUCACGUGAUCCCGACCUCCGCUCACAAGGAAGGCAAUUAAAAGAGCACCUCAUGCAACAAAUUUGUCACACAACUUUUACCAUACGUGCAUGCUACGGGACUUGCCAACUUCAACACAAGUAUUUCUCAAUUUCAUAAUUACCCACUAGCAUGACUCUAACAUUACUACCUCUAUAUCUCAAAACAAUUAUCAAGUAUCAAAUUGAUCCUAGUGUUUUAUGCACUUUCUAUGAUAGUUUUUAUUAUACCCAACUUCUAUGCCUACCAUUCUAGGACCAAUUUUAUAACCAUAGCAAAUACCAUGCUGUUCUAAAAGACUCUCAAAAUAAUGUAAGUGAAGCAUGAGAGACUAGCAACUUCUUCAAAAUUAAGCCACCGCCGUGCUCUAAAAGAUAUAGUGAAGCACUAGAGCAAAAACUAUCAAGCUCAAAAGAUAUAAGUGAAGCACAUAGAGUAUUCUAGCAAAUUCUAAUCAAGUAGGCUUCUCCCAAAAGGUGUGUAUAGAAAGGAUGAUUGUGUUAAACUAAAAAUCAGAGACUAAUAUAAUACACAAUGCUCAAAGCAAAACACAUAUCAUGUGGCGAAUAAAAAUAUAGCUCCAAGUAAAGUUACCAAUGAACGAAGACAAAAGAGGGGAUGCCUUCCCGGGGCAUCCCCAAGCUUAGGCUUUUGGCUAUCCUUGAAUAUCUUGAGGUGCCUUGGUCAUCCCAAGCUUAGGCUCUUGCCACUCCUUAUUCCAUAGUCCAUCAAAGCUUUACCCAAAACUUGACAACUUCACAACACAAAACUCAACAGGAAAUCUUAUAAGCUCCGUUAGUGAAAGAAAACAAAUCCACCACAUAAGGUACUGUAAUGAACUCAUUAUUUAUUUAUUUUGGUGUUAAACCUACUGUAUUCUAAGUUCUCUAUGGUUUAUAAACUAUUUUACUAGCCAUAGAUGCAUCAAAAUAAGCAAACAACACAUGAAAAACAGAAUCUGUCAAAAACAGAACAGUCUGUAGAAAUCUGUAACUAAUGCAAACUUAUGCAACUUGAAAAAUCCUAUAACAAUAGGACGUCCUGGACAAUUUGUCUAUUGAUCAGAAGCAAAAAGAAUCAAUGCAAAAGCACGUUUCUGUGAUUUAACAAAACUAAAUUCGUGCGUGCAAAGUUUCUGUUUUUCAGCAGAAUCAAAUCAACUAUCAUCAUAGGUUAUCCUAUAGGUUCUACUUGGCACGAACACUAAUUAAAAGAUAAAAACACAUCUAAACAGAACGUAGAUGCAAGAUUUAUUACUAAACAUGAACAAAAACGAAAAACACAAAGAAAAUUGGGUUGCCUCCCAACUAGCGCUAUCGUUUAACGCCUCUAGCUAGGCAUAAAAGCGAAGAUAGAUCUAAGUAGUGUCAUCUUUGGCACUAAAUUCAUAAGUAGCUCACAUGAUAGAUCUAUAAGGUAAUUUGACUUUCUUUCUUGGAAAGUGCUCCAUGCCUUUCUUUAAUGGAAAUUGGAAUCUAAUAUCCCCUUCCUUCAUAUCAAUUAUUGCGCCAAUAGUUCUAAGGAAAGGUCUACCAAGAAUAAUAGGGCAUGAAAGCUUGCAAUCUAUAUCAAGAACGAUAAAAUCUACGGGCACAAAAUUUCUAUUUGCAACAAUGAGAACAUCAUUGAUCCUUCCCAUUGGCUUUUUAAUGGUGGAAUCCGCAAGGUGCAAAUUUAAAGAGCAACCAUCAAGAUGAUGGAAACCUAGAAUAUCACAUAAAGUUUUCGGAAUCGUGGAAACACUAGCACCCAAAUCACACAAAGCAAAACAGUCAUGAUCUUUAAUUCUAAUCUUUAUAGUAGGUUCCCACUCAUCAUUAAGUUUUGUAGGUAUAGAAACUUCCAAAUUAAGUUUUUCAUCAUAAGAUUGCAUCAAGGCAUCAACGAUAUGUUUGGUAAAAGCUUUAUUUUGACUAUAAGCAUGAGGAGAAUUAACAACGAAUUGCAACAAGGAAAUACAACCUUCUAAAGAACAAUUAUCAUAAUCAAAUUCCUUGAAAUCCGAGAUGGUGGGUUCAAUGCUAUUUAAAGUCAUGACCUCUCCAAUCCCACUUUUACCAAAUUUAGCAUCAAGAUCUAAAAACUCCAAAUUUUUGGGAUGCCUUCUAGGCAAAGUUGACUCAUCAUCAGUCCCAUAAUUAUCAAGAUUCAUAUUUCAAAACAAAGAUCUAAUAGGAGACGCAUCAAUAACUUUAAGAUCCUCAUCAUUAUUUUUGUGGAAACUAGAAGAACAUGCCUUUAUAAAGAUAUCUUUCUUAGCACGCAAUCUAGCGGUUCUUUCUUUGCACUCAUCAAUGGAAAUUCUCAUUGCUUUGAGAGACUCAUUGAUAUCAUGCCUAGGAGAAGAAGAUCUAAGUUUAAGAGAAUCAACAUCAAGCGAAAGUCUAUCAACGUUCCUAGCCAAAUCAUCAACUUUGAGCAAUUUUUCUUCAAGCAAGGCAUUAAAAUUCUUUUGAGAAAUCAUAAAUUUUUUCACACUAUUCUCAAAAUCAGAGGGAAUCUUAUUAAAAUUACCAUAAGAAUUAUUGUAGGAAUUUCCAUAAUUAUUAGAGGAAUUACUAGGGAACAGUCUAGCAUUAAAGUUUCCUCUAUAAGCAUUGUUUCCAAAACUAUUCCUACCAACAAAAUUCACAUCCAUAGAUUCAUUAUUAUUCUCAAUCAAAGUAGACAAAGGCAUAUCAUUGGGAUCAAGAGGAGUAUUCUUAGUAGCAAACAAUUUCAUAAGUUCAUCCAUUUUUCCACUCAAAACAUUGAUUUCUUCUAUAGCAUGCACUUUUUUACUAGAAGAUCUUUCGGUGUGCCACUGAGAAUAAUUAGCCAUAAUAUUAUCAAGAAGUUGUGUAGCAUCUCCUAAUGUGAUUUCCAUAAACAUGCCUCCCGCAGGCGAAUCUAAGAGAUUUCUAGAAGCAAAGUUCAAACCGGCAUAAAAUUUUUGUAUGAUCAUCCAUAAAUUCAAACCAUGAGUAGGGCAAUUGUGAAUCAUCAAUUUCAUUCUUUCCCAAGAUUGGGCAACAUGCUCAUGAUCAAGUUGUUUAAAAUUCAUAAUAUCGUUCCUAAGAGUGAUGAUCUUAGUGGGAGGAAAAUACUUAGAGAUAAAAGCAUCUUUGCACUUGUUCCAAGAAUCAAAACUAUUUUUAGGCAAAGACGAAAACCAAACUUUAGCACGAUCUCUAAGUGAAAAUGGAAAUAACUUCAAUUUAACAAUAUUGUUAUCCGUAUCUUUCUUCUUUUUCAUAUCACACAAAUCAAUAAAGUUGUUUAGAUGAGUAGCGGCAUCUUCACUAGGAAGGCCGACGAAUUGAUUUUUCAUAACAAGAUUCAGCAAAGCAGUAUUGAUUUCACAAGACUCAACAUCAUUAAGAUGAGCAAUCGGAGUACUAAGGAAAUCAUUAUUAUUGGUAUUCGAGAAAUCACACAAUUUGGUAUUAUCUUGCACCAUGGCAACAAGUAAUCCAACACACAAGAAAACAGAAAAAGGCAAGCGAAAGAGAGAGAGGAGGAGAUUGGGAAAUAGAGGGCGAAUAAAACGGCAAGGGUGAAGUGGGGGAGAGGAAAAUGAGAGGCAAAUGGCAAAUAAUGUAAAUGUGAGGGAGAUGGGUUUGUGAUGGGUACUUGGUAUGUCUUGACUUGAGCGAAGACCUCCCCGGCAACGGCGCCAGAAAUCCUUCUUGCUACGUCUUGAGCUUGCGUUGGUUUUCCUUGAAUAGGAAAGGGUGAUGCAGCAAUAGUAGCGUAAGUAUUUCCCUCAGUUUUUGAGAAUCAAGGUAUCAAUCCAGUAGGAGGCUCCUCAAAAGUCCCACGCACCUACACAAACAAACAAAGAACUGGCAACCAACGCAAUAAAGGGGUUGUCAAUCCCUUCACAGCCACUUGCAAAAUUGAGAUCUAAUAGAGAUAAUAUGAUAAGAUAAAUAUAUUUUUGGUAUUUUAUAAUAUAGAUGCAAAUAAAAGUAGAUUGGAAGCAAAUAUGAUAAGAGAUAGACCCGAGGGCCAUAGGUUUCACUAGUGGCUUCUCUCAAGAUAGCAUAAGUAUUAUGGUGGGUGAACAAAUUACUGUCGAGCAAUUGAUAGAAAAGCGAAUAAUUAUGAGAUUAUCUAGGCAUGAUCAUGUAUAUAGGCAUCACGUCCGUGACAAGUAGACCGACUCCUGCCUGCAUCUACUACUAUUACUCCACACAUCGACCGACUCCUGCCUGCAUCUAGAGUAUUAAGUUCAUAAGAACAGAGUAACGCCUUAAGCAAGAUGACAUGAUGUAGAGGGAUAAACUCAUGCAAUAUGAUAUAAACCCCAUCUUUUUAUCCUCGAUGGCAACAAUACAAUACGUGCCUUGCAACCCUUUCUGUCACUGGGUAAGGACACCGCAAGAUUGAACCCAAAGCUAAGCACUUCUCCCAUGGCAAGAAAGAUCAAUCUAGUAGGCCAAACCAAACUGAUAAUUCGAAGAGACUUGCAAAGAUAACUCAAUCAUACAUAAAAGAAUUCAGAGGAGAUUCAAAUACUUCUCAUAGAUAAACUUGAUCAUAAACCCACAAUUCAUCGGAUCUCGACAAACACACCACAAAAAGAGUUUACAUCGAAUAGAUCUUCACAAGAGAGGGGGAGAACAUUGUAUUGAGAUUCAAAAAGAGAGAAGAAGCCAUCUAGCUAAUAACUAUGGACCCGAAGGUCUGUGAUAAACUACUCACAACUCAUCGGAGGGGCUAUGAUGUUGAUGUAGAAGCCCUCCGUGGUCGAUUCCCCCUCCGGCGGAGCGCCGACGAAAGCUCCAAGAUGGGAUCUCGCGGAUAUAGAAGGUUAUGGCAGUGGAAAUUGUGUUUCCUUCGCUCCAUGGAUGUUUUCGGGGUAUGUAGGUAUAUAUAGGAGGAAGAAGUAUGUCGGUGGCCGCUCGAGGGGCCCAGGAGACAGGGGCGCGCCCAGGAGGGGUGGGCGCGCCCUCCUAUCUCCUGGCUGCCUCGUUUGCUUCUUGACUUGCACUCCAAGUUCUCCGGAUCACGUCCGUUCCAAAAAUUACGCUCCCAAAGGUUUCAUUUCAUUUGGACUCCAUUUGAUAUUCCUUUUCUUCGAAAUACUGAAAUAGGCAAAAAAAACUGUAAUACGGGCUGGGCCUCUGGUUAGUAGGUUAGUCCCAAAAAUGAUAUAAAUGUGUAAAAUAAAGCCCAUAAACAUCCAAAAGGGGUAAUAUAAUAUCAUGGAACAAUCAAAAAUUAUAGAUACAUUGAAGACGUAUCAAGCUUCACCAAAAGUAAUUUCCAUAAAAGUACCCCCCGCAGCGGAAUCUAAAUGGUUACGAGAAACAAAAUUCAAUCCCGCAUAAAAUUUUUGUAUGCUCAUCCAAAGAUUUAACCCAUGAGUUGGGCAAUUCCUUAGCAUCAAUUUCAUCCUUUCCCAAGAUUGUGCAACAUGCUCAUGUUCAAGUUGCUUGAAAUUCAUGAUCUGGGUUCUGAGGGAAAUAAUUUUAGUGGGCGGAAAAUACUUAGUAAUAAAAGCAUCCUUGCACUUGUUCCAAGAAUCAAUACUAUUGCGAGGCAAAGAAGACAACCAAAUUUUGGCACGAUCUCGCAAAGAAAACAGAAAUAAUUUCAACUUCACAACAUCAUUGUCCACAUCUUUUUUCUUUUGCAUAUCGCAUAAUUCCACAAAUGUGUUAAGAUGGGAUGCGACAUCCUCAUUAGUAGUACCGGCAAAUUGAUCUUUCAUAACAAGAUUCAGGAAAGCAGUAUUAAUAUCACAAAGACUCCACGCUAGUGGCGGGAGGAGCAAUCGGAGUGCUAAUAAAAUCAUUGUUGUUGGUAUUUGAGAAAUCGUACAACUUGGUGUUCUAUUGAGUCAUGAUGACUUCACAACAAGAUUGCACUCAAAAACAAAUCUGACGAGAAAAUGGCGAACGGAAAAGAGGGCGAAUAAAAUAGCCAAUUUUUGUGAAGUGGGCGAGGGGAAAACGAUAGGCAAAUGGCAAAUAAUGUAAAUUGCGAGGAGAUGAGAUUUGUGAUUAGGAACCUGGUUGAUGUUGAAGAUCCUCCCCGGCAACGGUGCCAGAAAUUCCUUUUGAUGUCUGCUGGAACUACGUCGGUAUUUCCCUAGGAAGGGAUGAUGAAGUAUAGCAACGGUAGGUAUUUCCCUUAGUGAUGAGACCAAGGUUAUCGAACCAGUAGAAGAACCUACUCACACCACGUAAACAACACCUGCACACAAAUAACAAAUACUCGCAACCCGACGUGUUAAAGGGGUUGUCAAUCCCUUUCGGGUACGGCGCCUCAAGAUAGGCAAAUAACGUGAGGUAAAUGUGGUAGAUAGGAUAAAUAGAUCGCGGAACAAAUAAAUUGCAGCAAUGUAUUUUUGUAUUUUUGGUUUAAUAGAUCUGAAAAUAAAAGCAAAGGAAAAUAGAUCGCAAAGGCAAAUAUGAUGAGAAGAAACGCGGGGGCGGUAGGUUUCACUAGUGGCUUCUCUCGAGAAAAAUAGCAAACGGUGGGAAAACAAUUACUAUUGGGCAAUUGAUAGAACUUCAAAUAAUCAUGACGAUAUCCAGGCAAUGAUCAUUAUGUAGGCAUCACGUCCAAGAUUAGUAGACCGACUCCUGCCUGCAUCUACUACUAUUACUCCACACAUCGACCGCUAUCCAACAUGCAUCUAGUGUAUUAAGUUCAUGGAGAAACGGAGUAAUGCAAUAAGAACGAUGACAUGAUGUAGACAAGAUCUAUUUAUGUAGAAAUAGACCCCAUCUUGUUAUCCUUAAUAGCAACGAUACAUACGUGUUGUUUCCCUUUCUGUCACUGAGACCAAGCACCGUAAGAUUGAACCCAUCACAAAGCACCUCUUCCCAUUGCAAGAUAAAUAGAUCAAGUUGGCCAAAAAAACCAAAUAUCAGAGAAGAAAUAUGAGGCUAUAAUCAAUCACGCAUAUAAGAGAUCAAAGAAGACUCAAAUAACUUUUAUGGAUAAGAACAUAGAUCUGAUCAUAAACUCAAAGUUCAUCGGAUCCCAACAAACAUAUAGCAAAAAGACUUACAUCAUAUGGAUCUCCAAGAGACCAUUGUAUUGAUAAUCAAGAGAGAGAGAGAGAGGAAGCCAUCUAGCUACUAACUACGGACCCAUAGGUCUACAAAGAACUACUCACACAUCAUCGGAGAGGCACCAAUGGAAGUGGUGAACCCCUUCGUGAUGGUGUCUAGAUUGGAUCUGCUGUUUCUGGACUCUGUGGCGGCUGGAAUUUAUUUUCGUCGACUCUCCUAGGGUUUCUGGAAUAUUGAGGUAUUUAUAGAGCAAAGAGGCGGUUCAAGGGGCACCCGAGGUGGGCACAACCCAGCUGGGCGCACCUGGGCCUCCAGGCGCGCCCUGGUGGGUUGUGCUCCCCUUGGAGCAGCCCCAGGUGCUUUCCUGGCCCAUGUCUCCUGGCCCAAAAAAAUCCUCAAGAAGCUUCGCUGCGUUUGGACUCUGUUUGAUAUUGAUUUCCCGCGAUGUAAAAAACAUGCAGAAAACAGCAACUGGCACUGGGCACUAUAUCAAUAGGUUAGUACCAAAAAAUGAUAUAAAAUGACUAUAAAAUGAUUGUAAAACAUCCAAGAAUGAUAAUAUAGCAGCAUGGAACAAUAAAAAAUUAUAGAUACGUUGGAGACGUAUCACUUCUUUACAUGUCAAUGUGUUCAUAUGUUUGACUUAUCAUCUUUAAUUAUUGUAGGCAUGGCUUCAUCCGGUUCCAUGAUGAGGCCACCAUGUGCUAACUAAGAAGACACGCCGAACAAGUGGGACAACGCAUCUUUGGACAAGGUGAAAGAGAAAGAUGUGAAAAUCCCACCAUGUUGGUGUGGAGAUGUUUGCAAUGUGAAGGUUUCCACCAACCGAAAGAAGUCAUGGACGGAGGGAAGGAGAUAUUUUGUAUGCCCCAACUAUGCCCAUGAUCGUGCGCUUCCAACUAACCCCUAUGAUGUACCGCCGGUAUGUCUUAAAAGUAACAUGUUAUUUUCAAAUUUGUGUGAGCACUAACGAAUUUUGUGUAUGCAGUCACCGCCUCCUCUAUGCAAGUACUUCACAUGGAUAGAUCAUGAAGUGAUAGAAGAUGUCCAAAAGGACCAAUAUCAAUAUUGUCUUAGGCGCCAAUGCAGGUUCAAAGAAUCGUUUUGAAGAGGUUUGGAGGAGGAGCAUCGUCAGAAGGAGAGGUUGGAGCGAAAGAAACAAGAGGAGGAGAGGGCACGCCAAGUGAAGCUUGCUUGUGAGGAGGAGAGGGCAAGAAAGCUUGCAAAGGCUCGUGAGGUGCAAGAGGAGGAUGAGGCACGUGACAAGAAGGGGAAAUGGCAUCAUAUGACUCAGUAGGCCUUCGCUUCGGUGGACUCGUCAUGUAACCGGAUGAAGCCAUGCCACAUUUAUCAUGCACUAUGUACUACUAAGGAAAGAAGCCAUGCCACAUUUGUAGUGAAUUUGUUGUCAGAACUAUCUCGUAGACCCAAGUUUGUCUGGAAUAUCUUUGUUAUUUAUCAGUCAUUUCUGUCAUAAACUGUUUGUGCCCCGUGUGAAAACAACAAAGAACAAAAAACAGAGUGGUUGCUUUGUUUUUCAACCUACCGCCAAAGGCCCUGGCGGUAGGAUGUAGGAGCCUACCACCAGGGGGUCUGGCAUUAGGUUGUGGAUCCCCUCCCAAACUUGUUGUGAUCGAGCUUGCGUUUUUUUGGCGGUAGGGUUGGCUACCCUGCCACCGGGGGGUCUGGCGGUAGGGUGUUGAACCCCCCAAAAACUUGUUGUGGCCGGGUUUGCAUUUUUAUUGGUUGUAGGGUUGGCUACCCUACCGCCAGGGGGUCUAGCGGUAGGGUGCAGACCCCCUCCCAAGCUUGUUGUGGUCGAGCUUGCAUUUUUUGGCGGUAGGGUUGGCUACCCUACCGCCAGAGUGUCUGGUGGUAGGGUGCCACCCCCCCUCGGAUGCUUUUGUGACCGUUCUUGGGGCUUUUUUGGCGGUAGGGUUGGCCACCUUACCGCUAGACCCCUUGGCAGUAGGGUGUGCUACUUCUUGAGCUUGUGUUGGAUUUUCCCUUGAAGAGGAAAGGGUGAUGCGGCAAAGUAGAGUAAGUAUUUCCCUCAGUUUUAGAACCAAGGUAUCAAUCCAGUAGGAGACAACACACAAGUCACUGAAUACCUGCACAAACAAUCAACAAACUUGCACCCAACGUGAUAAAGGGGUUGUCAAUCCCUUCAUGGUUACUUGCAAAAGUGAGAUCUGAUAGAGAUAGAUAAACGGUAAAGUAAAUAUUUUGGGUAUUUUUGGUUUAUAGAUUGGAAAGUAAAAGAUUGCAAAAUAGUACAUAGGAAACUAGUAUGAUGGAAAAGAGAACUUAUAUGAUGGAAAAGAGACCCGUGGGCCAUAGGUUUCACUAGUGGCUUCUCUCAAGAUAGAAAAUAAUACGGUGGGUGAACAAAUUACUACUGAGCAAUUGAUAGAAGAGCGCAUAGUUAUGAUGAUAUCUAAGGCAAUGAUCAUGAACAUAGGCAUCACAUCUAUGUCAAGUAGACCGAAAUGAUUCUAAAUCUACUACUAUUACUCCAGACAUCGACCGACUCCUUCCUGGAUCUAGAGUAUUAAGUUAAUAAAGAACAGAGUAAUGCAUUAAGUAAGAUGACAUGAUGUAGAGGAAUUAACUCAAGCAAUAUGAUGAAAACCCCAUAUUUUUAUCCUCGUGUCAACAAUACAAUACGUGCCUUGCUGCCCCUACUGUCACUGGGAAAGGACACCGCAAGAUUGAACCCAAAGCUAAGCACUUCUCCCAUUGCAAGAAAAACCAAUCUAGUAGGCCAAACUAAACCGAUAAUUCGAAGAGACUUGCAAAGAUAUCAAAUCGUGCAUAUUAGAAUUCAGAGAAGACUUGUUGGGGAUAUGACUAUUGGGUAUGACCCACCCUUGAGGGGCCGGGUUAUACCUACGGCGGUUCAUCAAUACAAAGCCCAUGAGGAUGUCGAAGAUGGCAGUUCAUGAAGCAAGGGCCUAAAGCCCAAGGGCGACUUAGGUCCCAUAGGGGUAAACCGCCAUAUGUGUAUGACUGGCAAGGAUAUUUAGUCACCGAGCCGAACACGUUGUCUAUGAGCCAGGCGGGACUCCGUGAGCCGCUGGGCGUCAGCCUGUGUAUAUAAAGGGACGACCCAGCGACGGUUCAGGGCAAGAAACAAGGGAUCGAAAGCUAGGUCAAGCGUAUUCGCUCCCUAGUAAUCGAGACAUAAGCAAUACCACCUCAAACUAGAUUAGGCCUUUACCUUCACCGCAAGGGGCCAAACCAGUAUAAACUCUCUGUGUCCUUUGUCCCGUUUAACCCCUUUAAGCUCACCUAGUUGUGAUGGCUCCAUGACUAUGUCUUCACACUAGGACAUCUGUCGUGACAACUCCACGAUAGUUGGCACCCACCGUGGGGCCAGCGCAUGAUGGUUUUGAGUUCUUGAAGGGCAGCUUCGAAGGGAUCAAGGGAUACACUAUGGGCCGGAUGACCAAGAGUUGUCGCGGCAAGCUCUACAUCGAUGAUGCAGGAUGGGGCCCUAAGGCCGGCUCAAUUGAGUACGGGUACCGGGUCCCUUUCGGCAGAGUUCACGUCUUCAUUGGAAAGAUCGGCGAGCCGGGCCCUGAGCCGAACAUCUGCACCGACAUCAUCGAGAUGGCUCAGCAUGCCCGACCCGCCCGAGUUCAGCCCGCCAUGAAACGUGCCUUCGUGGGAUUCAUCCAUGGGGCGGAAUUUGAGGAAGGAUCCAUGUCUGGCGAUGAGACGGCCAUCUAUUCUGAUGGAGAGUCGUCCACGGGCGCGACUACUUCAUUGUAUCAACUGCAAGACGGCAGGCCUGGGGGCUGUUCCGAUGGUGACAGUAUUCCGGACCCCUAUGAGUCGCCGAAUAGGGUCGCAAUCUUCAUGGCCAGUACACAGCCUGUGCAGAAUUCUUCGACUGCGGUAGCAAUGGUCUCCGGGUCAACAACGGCGAUGGCAGCUGGGGCAGGAGGCCCUGCGUGCCCGUCGGCUCAGGUUUUGACUGAUUUGCUAGAUAAUCUGACAGCCUUGUUAACAGCAGAAGUUAACCCAGCAAAUCAAGUUCAGCAUAAUGUGGAAGUUGAAAAACUACAUGACGAGAUAGCGCGAGCCAAGGAAGACUUGGCGGUGGAGAAUGCUAGGAUGACUGCAGAGCGAGCUGUUUUGGAUGCUCAGGCACAACGGAUCCGGGCUAAUUCCUUUCAGCUCUCGUUGGAUCAGAAUGCUUCGAACGAAAUCAUGAGAAGAAGGCACCGGAGUCGUCUACCGCCGGUUUAUGAGGCAAGGAACCUCUUCUGCACGCCUGGGGCGGGGACCAGUAACCAACUAGAGAUAAACUGGGUUGAAGCACCUGGGGCUGGAGCGCCGGCUCAACCAUGCACGACGGAGCCGCCUCGUCUGAAUAAUACUCCGCCUCAGUAUGUGCCGACACCACCAGAUCAUUAUUCCAACCCUUUGGAUAAUAUGAUUGUUGCGGCGACAUGACUGGUGGCUCUCCCAGUUCAAGGUGAUUCUCCAGCUGCGGUUGAGAUGUGGAGGGCUAGAGAGCUUCUUCAAACAGCAUUGGUACAGCAGGAGGCAUAUUCUUAUAGUCAAGAGAGGAUUCAUUUGACCCCUCGCCCAAGCUGGAGUUAUAGCAGACACAUGGACUCAUCGGCUGUUUCAAGCAAUGACAGGCGUCGUAACCAGCCGCGUGGGCAUGACCCGGUGCGUGAUGGUGCUCAGGAUUUGGUGGAUCAGGGCAGGACACGUCGACAAGUGGAGCAGGUGGCUCAACAACAUCUUCCGGUUUAUCCGACGACUUCGGUGGAGGCAGGCUUGACCUCUAGAACCACGGGUAUACCAUGUUUAGUGUUGGCUCUGCGGAAUGAGUGUCUGCCCAAGGAUUUCAAAGGACCUCAUAAGGUGCCUAACUACAUAGCCGACUUACCCCCUGAGGCAUGGAUUGAGAGUUACGAGAUGAGCAUGGAACUGUUGGAGGUCAGCGAUGUUGCAUGUGCCAAAUACUUCACCAUGAUGCUAGAUGGGAUAGCCCGUACUUGGUUGAAAGGGCUACCUGCCAAUUCAUUGGGUCAUGGGAUGAGCUAAAAGCCCAGUUUAUCCAGAACUUUAAAGAUACGUGCAAACAGCCCAUGUCGAUUGUGGAUUUGGAUGCUUGCGCCCAAGAAGAGGGCGAGUCAAUGACCCAUUGGGUGCGCCGGGACAAGGCUAUCCUGCACUCAUUCGAUAACAUCAAUGUUGGCUCUGCAGUCCUAAUGUUAGAGAAGAAUUGUCGUUUUGCCUCUUAAACAGAAGCUAGGGCGGCUCAAGCGCCAUUGCAAUGAUAUGUGGGAGCUGAUGGUGGCUCUAAUUAAACAUGUCGACUCUGAUAGUACCAAGGACCCCUAGUCUGAUGAUGAAAAGCUGGGAAAGGGAAAGAAGAGUGGUAACACCAAGGGUCAGUAGCAUAACCCGGCGAGUCAAGGGGGCAAUGGUAAGCGCAAGGCUGAUAGUAAUUCAGAUUUUGUAGCCAAUACCAAUACAUAGAACAAUGGUCAGUGUCGUAAGGGGAAGCCACCUCCUCGGGCAGGCGGAUCAGGUCUCAAUCUUGAGCAGAUGCUGAAUCAGCCCUGCCAAAAGCAUGGUACAUGGGAAAGACCAUCCAAUCAUCUUUGGAAGGACUGUCAAAUUAUGAAGGAGUUCAAAAAUUCUAAUUUGUUCCAGAACAAUCAUGGGCCGGGCGGCGACUCAGGUUCUGGUGGUGGCGGUUCUCAUGGCCCGGGUUACGGUGGUGGCGGCUCCAGUUCCGGUUUUCAGGGUCACCAAAACCAUCAAGGUAAUCAGGGUGGCUACAAUCUACAAUCCGGUCAGGGGGGGUCAGCAGCAGCAGUCUAGAUAUCAAAGUAGUCCGAAGUAGUUGAAUAGCGGGCAGUACCACGUCUUCACCAUAAGUUUAUGCAAGCGGGACCAGAAGCUCCAUAAAAGGGUUGUGAACGCCGUUGAGCCGGCAGUUCCCCAUUACUUGUGAUGGUCCGAGCAACCCAUUAUGUGGAGUCAAGAGGAUCACCCGCCCCGGGUUGAUAAUUCGUGUCGCUUGGCUUUGGUGGUGGCGCCUCAAGUUGGUGGAUACAAAUUCACUAAGGUACUCAUGGAUGGGGGUAGCAGCAUUAAUAUCCUUUACUAUGAUAUUUUCCGUCGCAUGGGGUUGACUGACAAAAGUCUUAAACCGUCCAAUACUAUUUUCCAUGCGGUAGUGCCUGGUAAGUCGGCAUAUCCUGUAGGAAAGAUUGAUCUGGAAGUAGCCUUUGGGGAUGAACAAGAUUCCAUGGCUGAGAGACUAACCUUUGAAGUGGUCGAGAUUAAUUAGAAGCCCGUAUCACGCUCUGUUUGGACGGCCGGCUUAUGCCAAGUUCAUGGCACGACCUUGUUAUGUCUAUCUGCAGCUCAAGAUGUCGGGUUACAAGGGGACCAUUACAGUGCAUGGAAGUCGGAAAAUAGAUUUGGAGUGUGAAGAAGGUGAUGUUGCUUAUGCUGAAUCUGUCUGUGCAAUAGAGGAAUUGAAGUUCUACAAAGACAAUGUUGAUCCGGCGGAUAUGACAUCCUUGAAAAAGCCAACCAUAGAGCAUGAUUCGGUAUUGAAGUUUAAGUCGGCCGAUGACACUAAGCUAGUUGACUUUGUUCCUGGUGAUUCAUCCAGGCAGUUCAGUAUUAGUGCUAACCUGGAUCCAAAAUAGGAAAGCGCGCUCAUCGAGUUCAUCCAUGAGAACCGAGACAUCUUUGCAUGGAAACCUUAUGAUAUGCCAGGUGUACCGAGGGAACUCGCUGAGCACACUCUUAAUAUUGAUCCAAAGUUUAAGCCAGUCAAGCAAUUCCUUCGUCGCUUCAAUGAGGAGAGGCGUAAGGCCAUUGGUGAAGAAGUGGCCCGGCUCUUUGCGGCUGGGUUCAUUAUUGAAGUCUUUCAACCUGAGUGGUUGGCUAAUUCGGUGCUGGUACUUAAGAAGAAUGGCACUUGGUGUAAGUGUGUGAACUACACGAACUUAAACAAAGCUUGCCCGGCUGAUCUUUUUGCUCUCCCUCGUAUUGAUCAAAUCAUUGAUGCUACGGCGGGUUGUGAGCAUUUGAGUUUUUUGGAUGCUUAUUCUGGUUAUCAUCAUAUCAAGAUGACAGUUAAAGACCAGGAGAUGAUAGCUUUUAUUACUCCCUUUCGAACCUUCUGCUAUGUGUCUAUGCCUUUUGGGCUCAAGAGUGCCCAGGCAACUUACCAGCGAUGUGUGCAGAAUUGCCUUCACAGUUAGAUUGGGCGCAAUGUUCAUGCUUAUGUGGAUGAUAUUAUGGUGAAAUCCAUAGAGAAGGAAACUUUGAUAGAUGAUUUGAAGGAGACCUUCAACAAUCUCCGGGUCUACAAGAUGAUGCUUAACCCGGCCAAGUGCAUUUUUUGUGUGCCAGCAGGCAAGCUCUUGGGUUUUCUGGUUUCUAACAGAGGCAUUGAACCUAACCCAGAGAAGAUCAAGGCCAUUACCUCCUUGGCAAAGCCGGCGUGUAUCAAUGGUGUUCAAUGUCUGGCAGGUCGUAUUGAUGCCUUAAGCCAGUUGGGUGAGAAGGCUAUACUAGUGUACCAGAUGAUGAAGAAAACAUAUCACUUUUGUCUGGAAUGAUGUUGCUAAGGACGCGUUUGAAGCUUUGAAGAAACAGCUAGCUGAGCCGCCAGUCCUUGCUUCUCCUAUUGAUAAGGAGCCGUUGUUAUUACAUGUGGCUGCUAAUGCCCGGGCUGUUACUGUAGCUAUUGUGGUGGAACAGAAGGAAGUAGGCAAGGAAUAUCCGGUUCAACGGCCGGUUUACUAUAUAAGUGAAGUGCUUAUUGAGUCCAAGCAGAGGUAUCCGCACUGGCAGAAGCUCGUAUAUGGGGUGUUCAUGGCCAGUCGGAAGCUUAAGCAAUAUUUUUUGGGUCAUCCCAUCACUGUGUUUAGUUCUGCUCCCUUAGGGGAUAUUUUUCAAAACAGAGAAGCCACAGGUCGGGUAGCCAAGUGGGCCAUUGAGCUUGGACCUCAUGGUUUGAAGUAUAAGCCUCGCAUGGCCAUCAAGUAUCAAACACUUGUGGAUUUCAUCAAUGAUUAUACAGAGCUACAGAUGCCUGAAGAGAAGCCAGAUAACACAUAUUGGACUAUUCACUUUGAUGAGUCCAGGCAAUUGGAGGGCUCGGGGGCUGGAGUUGUCUUAGCUUCCCCUCGAGGUGACAAGUUUUGUUAUGUUUUAAGGUUGAUGUUUCCUUGUGCUAACAAUGCAGCUGAGUAUGAAGCCUUGCUCCAUGGUCUUCGGAUGGCUAAGGAGAUGAAUUUAAGCUGGGUGAGAUGUUUCGGCGACUGAGACUUGGUGGCUCAGCAAGUUUCAGGCAAAUGGGAUUCUAAGGAUCCACUCAUGGCAGCUUAUCACCGCGAGGUUGACGCUAUUGCUGGGCACUUCAAGGGUUAUCAAGUGGAACACAUUGAUUGCAGGAAAAAUGAGGCGGUUGAUGCCUUAAGCCGGUUAGGGUCCUAGCGUAAGCCGGUGCCACCUAACACUUUCUUGGAUAUUCUGCAUAACCCUUCUGUCAAAUUGUCUACAGAGGAAGAUUUGGCUAUUCCUGACCCGGAAGCACAAUUGGUCGCGGCUCUUCACGCUAUUCCUGAUUGGACAGUUCCAUAUUUGGCUUAUAUGACCUAGGGCGAGUUACUUGAGGAUGAAACUUUGGCCAGACAUAUAACUCGGCGGUCUAAGUCAAUGACAAUUAUUAACGGAGAGCUGCACCAUUGCAGUGUUACUGGGGCGUUUCAACAUUGUGUCUCUCCUGAAGAGGGCCAUGAAAUUCUUCGUGAGAUUCAUGAGGGAGAUUGCGGUCAUCAUGCUGUUCAAAGUCUCUUGUGGCUAAAGCCUUCCGUCAUGGGUUUUACUGGCUGACGGCUCACGCUAAUGCAGAGGAUUUGGUCAGUAAAUGUGAUGGUUGUCAAAAAAAUUCACGACGAGCUCACGUGUCGGCUCAAGAAUUGAGGAUGAUUCCAAUUACUUGGUUGUUUGCAGUUUGGGGGCUUGAUAUGGUUAGGCCUUUUAAAAGGUCCAAGAAUAAAAAGACCCACCUUUUGGUGGCGGUUGACAAAUUCACAAAGUGGGUCGAAGCAGAACCGGUCAGUAAGUGUGACAUGGCAACAACGGUUCAAUUCAUCAAGAAGGUGAUUGUUCGCUUUGGUUUUCUCCACAACAUUAUAACUGAUAAUGGCACUAACCUGUCCAAAGGUGCUAUGAAAGAGUUUUGUUAAUGUGAGCAUAUUCGACUUGAUGUGUCAUCAGUAGCUCACCCCAAUCCAAUGGUCAAGCUGAAAGAGCCAAUCAAGAAAUUUUGAGAGGCAUCAAGCCCCGGCUUAUGGUUCCUAUGCAGAGGACGCCAGGUUGUUGGGUGGAGGAGUUACCUUCAGUGCUAUGGAGUAUCAAUACUACCCCCAACAGAUCUACGGGUUACACGCCUUUCUUCAUGGUUUACGAAGUAGAGGCGGUUCUCCCUAGUGACAUCUGUCACGACUCGCCCCGCGUGGCGGCUUAUGUUGAAGCUAAUAAUGAAAAAGCACGUCGGGAUGCACUUGACUUGUUAGAUGAGGAGCGUGACCUUGCGGCGGCUCGCUCGGAAAUUUACCAACAAGAUCUACGCCGUUAUCACAGCCGUCGGGUUAAGACCAGAACCUUUCAAGAAGGUGACUUGGUGCUCCAGCUUAUCCAGGAUCAAACUGAUAUGCACAAGCUAUCCCCACCUUGGGAAGGACCCUUUGUGGUCAGCAAGAAUUUGAACAAUGUGUCAUACUACCUUAUCGAUAUUCAAGACCACAAGGAUUCACGUAAGUUGGAGGAGGAGACCCGCCGGCCAUGGAAUAUUGCUCAUCUUCGGCCUUACUACACUUGGGCCACCGACUCUUAUGAUGUACAUAUUUUGACAAUGUAUAUAUUAUGAUGAUUAUAAUAAAGUCGGCAUCCCUGAUAAAGCAGGGCCUAUGUCAUUUCAUCUCCAAGAAUAAUGAGUCUUUUUCAUCACAAAAAGGUUGUUUGGGGGCUUCCUGUUCAAACAUAGGUGUAUUCACCAAAGAGAACAUAGCUGUGAAUAUCCCUCUUGAUUGGUGCAAUGCCAUAAUUUCAAAGGUCACUUGGGGGCUUCCUGUUCAAACAUAGGUGUAUUCACCAAAGAGAACAAAGCUGUGAAUAUCCCUCGUGGUCGGCUCAAUGCCACAAGUCACUUGGGGGCUUCCUGCUCAUUGAGCAUAGCUGUGAAUAUCCCUCUUGAUCGGCUCAAUGCCACAAGCACUUGGGGGCUUCCUGUUCAAACAUACGUGUAUUCACCAAAGAGAACAUAGCGUUACUACCCUUUUAAGCUGGUUUGGAACACCAGGUGUAUUCACCAAAACCUUCCGAGUUCUCCUGCUUUGUAGAAACUGCCACUCCGCCCGGGUAAUCCUAGAAUGACAAGCCGUACUCUUGACAGUCAAUCUUACAUAUACCUUGAACUUGUCAAGGUUAAAACAGCGGUCAUGUGAGGCCGGUUUCACAAAGUGUAAAAGGUUAACUCAGUGCCUUGGCAGCCCAUGAAAGCCUCGGAGCUUUAGGCUUGGCGGCCUACGAAAGCCUCGUUUUCUUGCUUCGGUUGGUUUUUUGAACAUUUUUUGGAUUCAUCUUGGUACCAUAUUGACAUAUGGUUUAAAGUGAUUCAGGCCAUGUAGCCUCAAUUCUGACGGCUCAUAUUUGAGUGUAUCUGUGGUUUCUGAUAAUCUGACUUGGCUUCGGACGAUAUAUCGCCAGCAUAUGAUGAUAUUAAAUACUUAGAAGUUUUGUCUUCUAAGUUUUGGGUUAUCACCCUUACUGCAUGGAUUUCAUAAGUUGGAACUACGAUUCAAUAUCACACGUAUGAUAUUUUUUUGUUAUGAUUAUAUCUAAUUAUGAUUAAACCGGCCCUGCCUAUAAACUGUUUUAAUCAUCAGUGGUUUUAUAUGGGAUAUUAUGACCUGCCCUGCGGUAAACCGCUAGGGCUCUUGUGAUCUACUUCUGUGCAGGAUAGUACUAAAUCUCAUCUGCAUAAAUCAAUGUCAUCAUAAGUAUAAGAUGGUAGUUUUCAAGUGGCGAAUCAAACAGUGUUGGGCAAAACACAAACAUGCACGAUGGCAUGACAAAGCAAAGUUUCGCUAGCCUAUUACAUGACUCAGUGAGCCAAAAAGAUCAAGUGUUUUCAAAUGAUCACAUAUUUUAACCCGCCUGGCAGAUUACUCUUCUUGGCCUGGACGACUUCAGGCUUUUGGAUCAGCCUUCUCCGGUUCUUUGUCCUCCUCCGCUGUCUGGAAAUUUGGUGAUGACCAAUCGAUGCCACACAAGGCUUGGAAUCCAGCUUCAUCCUCUAUAAGUUCGGAUGGUUCAACUUCAGGAGCGAAAUUAUGCUUACGGAUUGGUGGAAUUAGAUCCAUCACUUUAUAAGCCGGCGUGGGCAUCUUCUGAUUCUCCAUGUCAUAAGCCGAUUGGUAUCUUGAAAGAUCCGUUUCACUUGCAAUCAGGCUGGCCAGGGGACAUAUCUCCUUCAUGCAGGCAGCGAAGUCUUUCUUCUCAAAGGGAGUGUCAUCUUCUUUUAAGCUUAGAUACCUAGUAGCUAUAUCAGCCGGGUCUAGCUUUGCUAGCCAUGCCUUGGCCCGGCUUAAAGCUAUCACAACACCGGCUCUUGCAGAUGAUCGCUUCAUCUCGUUAAUCCUAGCAGGCAGAACAGAAAGCUUUUUCAAGACAUCACUCAAGAGAGUAGGUGUUUGAUUAGUUGGAGAAAUUGUGGCCAGUGCGCGCUGAGUUCCAGUAUAUAGGUGUUCAACAAGUGUAUAAACAACCUUGAGCUUCACAAGCAUCUCUUGACUAAGAUUGUUGCUCCUGGGACCUGAAUAAUAAUCAUGGAUUGGUUAGAGGCGGUUUAUACCAUCAAGGAAGAGAUUCAAAUUUGAUACUAGCAAGGCGACUCACCAAAGACAGUAGAAACCAUCUGGGAUACAUGGUGUUUUAAACCGGUAAGCUCAGUGGUCACCUCCUGAGGAGCUGCCUCCACCUUUUCAGCCCGCUGUGUCAAGGCAGUUUCUCUUCAGCCCAGGCGGUUCUUUUAGCCUCAAAACUAGUCUUCAGUUUUUCCGUUUCAGCCAAGCUAAAUUGGAAUUUUGAGUCCGCUUUCCGGGUCUCACAUUCUUGGUGCUCCAGUCGGGUUUUUAGGUCAGUCAAUUGCGAUUGAAGUUGAGCAGUGGUGUCAUGUACAUACACCGGUUCAAAAUCAUGUUCAUAUUUGUGUUACAGAAAAUGAAGUCCCAAGCCUUUUGCAAGCAACAACACUUGGCACUUGGGGGCUAAUGCCUACCGAAAAGAUUAUUCAUACAUCAGCUUAUGUGAAUAAGUCACAAGCACUUUGCAAGCAAGAGUACUUGGCACUUGGGGGCUAAUGCAUAUUGCUUGUGUCUUCUUACUACUUUAUGAUGACCCGUUCGUGCCGCAAACAAUCACAGCCGGCUCAUGGGGGCUACACAAGUAAGCUUUGAUUUAUAAACAAUGAUGAAGAGGACCGGCUCAUUCAUGUUAAUUAAAUCGGCCCUUGGGGGCUACGGAUGCAGUGUUAAUCAUUAAAGAUAUGCUUUAACUCGGAUAGGUAAGCUGGAUUUUGAAAAGUUUCUAUCAAGGGCACUAUUUAUACUCAUGGUUAUUCUAAGUCUACAGCAUAUUCAAUCCUAUCAUACACAAUAGACUUGGGGGCUAACAGGAUAUGCAUAACUCAGUAAAGAAGGAGUUCAUACCUCAUAUUUUUGAUGCAUCUGCUUCACCAUAUCAACUUCAAGGUCUCGGCUGGUGUGCACUUGAUUGAGAUAACCAGAGAAUACUUCACUAACGCUCAGUUGAGAAUAGUUGGCAAUGUCAAAUCUCACUUUUCGUUUCUCAAUAUGCUCUUCUUUGGCGGAGUGUUUGGCCAAGACAGUAGGUCUUCCCGACUCUCUAAAGCCGGUGCUAGUGAUCAUCACAUCAUCGGUAUAUGUCUCAGCCGGUUUAAUUGGGCUUGAUGAUUCAGUAUUCAAAGGAUUGUUGUUUGUCUGGUCAACGGAAGGGUCAGGAAUUUCUGGUGGAACAUCAUGAAUAGGUUCUUCUGAUUGUGGCGCGGAGGUGUCGGACGCUGGAACUGGUUGUUCCGGCUCAGGAGCUUUGGGAUCUUCAGCCGGCUCGAUCACCUUUGCCUUCUUGCUAGGCUUGGCCUUUCCACUACAUGGGUCAUGUGAGGUGAGUGCAAAUCUAAAGGAGCAUAACAAAGCAAAUAAUAAGUAAUUGUUAUUACCCAAGAGUAGUUUUGAAAGACAGCAGUUGGGACUGUGAUGAGUCACCAGAAGAGGAGCGAGAAGUCUCCUGAUAAUUUGAGUUAGAAGAAUUAAGUGGUUGGCGAAGGAGACUCGCCAAAGGAUGAAAAGAGUUUAAAUUUGGGAUGACCUCAUUUCGACGCUUCCUUGGAGCUGGAGUAUUUGGUAAACCGGAAGAUAAUUCUUCACCUCCGUUGGUCUGAGUCUGUCGUUGGCUCUCGUGCUGCUGUUGCUUCAAAAUAAAGUGAGGAUCCAGAUAAGCUAAGGGGUGUGAAAAGCUUACUUUCCGGGUUACUCUUCGAAUUUUUUGUCUUGGCAAAGACUCGAAGUCAGAGGAAAUGAUAGUUACCUCUUCCUUAUGAUCACUUGACUGGCCCCCGUGUCAUCCUGAUGAUAAUCACUGUCAAUAAGAUAGUUGAAAAAGGAGCCAAGGGAAUCAAGAGCUACCUCCGACUUAGAGCCGUCAUCCAGUUCAAACAGCUUGGAAGUACUUGAUUUCUUCUUAUUCUUCUUGGCGGCUUUCUUGGCAACCCUGGCCUUUUUGGCAGCUUCAUGGUUAUAUUUCUUUUUCCAAAAAUCAGAGUCAGCCUGUGAAAGUCAUCAAAGUUGAGUUAAUAGAAUAUUUGAAUGAUGAAGGUAAAAGUAAGUAAUUUAAAGACUCACAUCUGGUGGCGGGUUAAGUUUGCAGAAAGGGUUCAGACCCACUUUGCUGCAGUCUUCCGGAUCUUCAUUCAGAAGGGUCUUUGUCAUUUCAUUGAUCGUCUCAGCAUUUAAAUGCACGGAGCUAUGGCAUAGUGGGUCCUUUAUACCACCCGUGUAAGUACACAUUAAGCCGGAUCAGCGACUCAAGGAUAUGAUUCGCCAAGAAACCCAGCACCGAACCAAGUCAAUGCCAGUUAAACCAUUUCCCAGCAGAGCUUUGACCUUUGCAAUGGUGGGGGCAAGUUUUGCACGUUCAGUAGGGGUAACCUUAUCAGGAAGACAAUGUUUGGGGUCAAGAUGCUGGGCACAAUAGCCUGACAGUGGAUUCUUGUCAGUCGGAGAGGUAUCUUUGCAAUAAAACCAUGUUUGGUUCCAAUCUUUAGGGUGACUCGGCAAGCAAGCAUAGGGGAAGAUAGCAUCUCUUCUUCGUUGAAUUGAGAUUCUGCCAAGUUCCAAGCUAGGUCCGUUCGUAAACUCGUUUUGGCGGUUCAAAUAAAAAUAUUCCCUAAACAGUUCAACACUGGGCUCCUCUUGAAGGUAUACUUCACAGAAAACUUGAAAGUUGUAGAUGUUUGACACGGAAUUGGGUCUGAUGUCUUGAGGAUGAAGCUGAAAGAAGUGCAGAACAUCUCAGAAAAAUUUAGAACCGGGCGGUGAGAAGCCCCGAUUCAUGUGAUCAGUAAAAACAAUGACCUCAUCAUCCUUGGCCGAGGUCUCUCUUCUUCUGGAUUGGGGGCUCAAUAAUGCAUGACAUUUUUUGCUGGUAAAUAGCCAGUUUUGACAAAGUCUUUGAGUGUGUUCUCAGUGACAAUGGAGGGAACCCAAUUACAUGAAGUGACUGUCUUCAAUGGCAUUGUGAAGAAAGAAGCCUAAAAGAAAGAACAAUUUUGCCGGUUUAAGUUGAUUCAUUAAACCGGAAGUAAAACGCUAUAGUAUAUAUUCAAAGUGGCGGCUUAAAAGGGGCGUAAUGAUAUAUGGCUAGUGAUAACCGGUGAUGUAAGCCGCCAUGACCAGAUUGAUAUUUAUCAAGAGUGAAAUCUGCUAAGUGUUGAAUAGACAGGUUUUACAGACUGGAGCAGGUGAUUUGGAUCUAGCAUUGUGUGAAAAAGAAAAUAAAUCAAAACCUAAAUAUUGCAGUAACAGAGGAACUAGCACAUGGGCGAGAUUUCUGCAUCUAUAAGGUAUGUUCAGUGCUUAAGAUGAAGGAUAGAAAAAGGUUCUGCAUCUUUUAAAGGUCAUUUUUCGAUCAAAGUAAGUAUUAACAGAAGCAUGACAAAGAACGAUGAUGAACUCGUAAGAACUGUAGAAACCCAAAUGGAAAUCUAUGGUGGAGAAGGUGAGAUGCUUACUGGAUCUGAUGAGCAAUGAAGAGGCACCGCAGUUUCUCUGGUCCCAUUCAGGUCGAUGCUGCGGCCGAUGUCGAGGAAGACGAUGAGCUUUGCAGCGGCGGUAGUGCUCAGGCAUGCAGAUGCACCACGGAGAGAGGUGGAAGACGAGAAGGAAAAGAGGGGAAAAUGAAAGAAGGGCUACUUGACCCUAUUUAUAAGGAGAAGGGUAACCGGUGGGCGCGAAAAAUGAGGAGGCCAAAGAAUGAUUAUCCGGCCGCUCGGAUGCCUCUAUUUUCGGGAUGGUUAUUAAAGAUAAGGAUCUGUAAGAUAUAUAGGGUAUUGUGUAAUAUUAAUGACAGGUGACGUCAUGGCAGGUUUCCACAAUCACAAGAGAUAACAUCAUGGCGGGUUAUGAGAUCUCGCAUGAAUAAAGAAGGAAGGAUUUUUCUAAGUGUUGAAGAUUGACAUGAACGAGUUCAAAUCAAUCUGGGGCCUAAUGUUGGGGAUAUGACUAUUGGGUAUGACCCGCCCAGGAGGGGCCGGGUUAUACCUACGGCGGUUCAUCAAUACAAAGCCCAUGAGGAUGUCGAAGAUGGCGGUUCAUGAAGCAAGGGCCUAAAGCCCAAGGGCGACUUAGGGCCCAUAGGGGUAAACCGCCAUAUGUGUAUGAGUUAUAUUGUAAGGCAAGUAUAUUUAGUCACCGAGCCGGACACAUUGUCUAUGAGCCGGCCGGGACUCCAUGAGCUGUUGGGCGUCAACCUGUGUAUAUAAAGGGACGACCCGACGGCGGUUCAGGGCAAGAAACAAGAGAUCAAAAGCUAGGUCAAGCGUAUUCGCUCCCUCGUAAUCGAGACAUAAGCAAUACCACCUCAAACUAGAUUAGGCCUUUACCUUCACCGCAAGGGGCCGAACAAGUAUAAACUCUCUGUGUCCUUUGUCCCGUUUAACCCCUUUAAGCUAACCUAGUUGCGAUGGCUCCACGACUAAGUCCUCACACUAGGACAUCUGCAGUGACAAUUCCACUACAAGACUCAAAUAAUAUUCAUAGAUAAUCUGAUCAUAAAUCCACAAUUCAUCGGAUCUCGGCAAACACACCGCAAAAGAGUAUUACAUCGAAUAGAUCUCCAAGAACAUCAAGGAGAACAUGGUAUUGAGAAUCAAAGAGAGAGAAGAAGCCAUCUAGCUACUAGCUAUGGACCCGUAGGUCUGUGGUAAACUACUCACGCUUCAUCAGAAGGGUAAUGGUGUUGAUGUAGAAUCCAUCCGUGAUCGAAUCCCCCUCCGGCAGGAUGCCGGAAAAGGCCCCUAGAUGGGAUCUCAUGUGUACAAAAGGUUGCGGUGGUGGAGAAGUAUUUUUGUGGCUCCCUUGAUGUUUUUGGGGUAUAAGAGUAUAUAUAGGCGAAAGAAUUAGGUCAGGAGAGCUCCAAGGGGCCCAUGAGGUAGGGGCGUGCCCUACCCCCCUGGGCACGCCCUCCACCCUCAUGGCCGCCUCUUUGAGUCUCCGACUUCAUCUCCAAGUCUCCUGGUUUGCUUCUGGUCCAAGAAAGAUCAUCGCGAAAGUUUCAUUCCAUUUGGACUCUGUUUGGUAUUCCUUUUCUGCGAAACUCUAAAACAGGCAAAAAACAGAAACUGACACUCGGCUCUAGGUUAAUAGGUUAGUCCCAAAAAUAAUAUAAAAUAUCAUAUUAAUGCAUAUAAAACAUCCAAAACAGAUAAUAUAAUAGCAUGGAACAAUAAAAAAUUAUAGAUACGUUGGAGACGUAUCAGGGUGCCAACCCCUCAAAAUAGACUUGUUUCACCCCUUUCUUACAAACUUCUAUGAACUAAAGACAUCCAAAAGACAUCCAGAUAUGAUCAAGGCACAUAAGACAUGCAGAAAUGAUCAAGUAGCAAGGACAUACAUAACUCACAAUAGUUCAUUACAUCCACAAAUGACACUUGUUCAAAUGACUUAAAGAAUCUACUGAUUCAAAUGACAUGAGUUCAAACUACAAGCUCAAGCUCGAGCAAUACAUUUUCUACACCGGAAAAUUUUCUCUAAAAUGUAUAAGAUGUUCAAUUUGUUUAGCACGCUCACAAUUAGGCUUCAAUUGAUAACCUGAGGAUCCCGCCCAAUUCUUCAACACACCUUUUGUUUCACGGAACCAUCCACAUCGAGCACGGCGUUCCGGAAUCUCUGACAUGCCUUGUGUGAUUGCCCAUCCAAUGACAUGUCCGGGUUUUGUCAAGUCCAGCUCCAGUAAUUCUUCUUUGCUGACAGAAAACCCAAUCUCCAUUGCCAAAGCGUGUUUGCAAGCAUAUUACAUCUCAUGGAGCUCAUUAAGUAUCUUCUGUUUUUCUUUCACAAGCCUCCAGAAAACUUUUCUCUCCUUAAGAUCACAAGGUUCCUCCAUAAAAGGAUACUUGUUGAAAUCCAUCAUGGUCGCAUUUGCCUCAUCACAACUCUUGAACCAUGCUUCAAGCUCCCUCUUCAUACCACGUUGUCGCUUCACUACAACCUUCUCACAUGCUACCGCCAGACUCAUAGCUGCAAUGUCCAUGCUACAUGAAUAUAUGGGUUUAAGAUGACAAUCAACAAAAUAAAUCAAAUAGAGCACAACACUUCGUUACAAUUAAGCUGAUCUUGAUCUUAAUUAUUUUCUUAAGCCUAACCCUAACCCCAAAGAUGACCACUAAUCAUAGCACUAGAUCUAGAUACAGAAACAAUUCUACAAACAAUUCUACGCACAUAAUACAUAAAGAAAUAACAAACAUCGCCCUAAAUGCAUCAUACUAAUUGAUUUGACCACACCAAAAUGAUGAACUAGGAUUUGCAAUAAAAUGAGCUAAAGCACACAAAACCAAGAUUUCAACCAAUCAAAAUGAGGGGAAGUGAGAGAGGUACCUUGGGUGAUGAAAGUGCUACGAAUCCACUGGCCAAAUGUCAACCAAAUGAGAGAGAUUUGAGAGGAUCUUGUGGUAGAAAAAGAGAGGGGAGGGGGCUUGAGCUCGGGGAAGAGGUGAGGUGUGAGGUGUGGGGGCUGAAAGAAUGAGUGUGGGGGACCUCCCUCCCAACCUUAUCCAUCCCAGGACCCUACCGCCAUGGUCCUUGGCGGUAGGUGAUACGUCUCCAACGUAUCUAUAAUUUUUUAUUGUUCCAUGUUUUUAUAUUAUCAUUCUUGGAUGUUUUACAAUCAUUUUAUGCCCAUUUUAUAUCAUUUUUUGGUACUAACCUAUUGACAUAGUGCCCAAUGCCAGUUGUUCUUUUCUGCAUGUUUUUUACAUCGCAGGAAAUCAGUAUAAAACGGAGUACAAACGCAACGUAACUCCUGGAGGAUUUUUUUGGGCCAGAAGAAAGCCAGUGGGCCAAGGAAGCACCUGCGGGGCUCCUCAAGGGGAGCAGCACCCACCAGGGCAUGCCCUAGUGGGUGCUGCCCACCUCGGGUGCCCCUUGAACUGCCUCUUUGCUCUAUAAAUACCCAAAUACUUCAGAAACCCUAGGGGAGUCAAUGAAAAUCAAUUCUAGUCGUCGCAGAGUCCAGAACCACCAGAUCCAAUCUAGACACGGUCAUGAAGGGGUUCAACACUUCCAUUGGUGCCUCUCCUAUGAUGUGUGAGUAGUUCUUUGUAGACCUACGGGUCCGUAGUUAGUAGCUGGUUUCCUCUCUCUCUCUCUCUCUCUCUCUCUCUCUCUUGAUUAUCAAUACAAUGGUCUCUUGGAGAUCCAUAUGAUGUAAGUCUUUUGCGGUGUGUUUGUUUGGAUCCGAUGAACUUUGAGUUUAUGAUCAGAUCUAUGUUUUUAUCCAUGGAAGUUAUUUGAGUCUUCUUGAUCUCUUAUAUGCAUGAUUGCUUAUAGCCUCGUAUUUCUUCUCCGAUAUUUGGGUUUUGUUUGGCCAACUUGAUCUAUUAUCUUGCAAUGGUAAGAGGUGCUUUGUAGUGGGCUCGAUCUUACGGUGCUUGAUCCCAGUGACAGAAGGGGAACCGACACGUAUGUAUCGUUGCACUAAGGAUAACAAGAUGAGAUCUAUAUCUCCGUAAUAGAUAAACGGAUCUCGUCUACAUCAUGUCAUCGUUCUUAUGCAUUACUCUGUUUUAUCAUGAACUUAAUACACUAGAUGCAUGCUGGAUAGCGGUCGAUGUGUGGAGCAAUAGUAGUAGAUGCAGGCAGGAGUCGGUCUACUAAUCUUGGACGUGAUGCCUAUAUAAUGAUCAUUGCCUGGAUAUCGUCAUGAUUAUUUGAAGUUCUAUCAAUUGCCCAACAAUAAUUGUUUUCCCACCGUUUGUUAUUUUUCUCGACAGAAGCCACUAUUGAAACCUACGGCCCCCGGGUCUCUUUUCAUCAUAUUUGCCUUUGCGAUCUAUUUUCCCUUGCAUUUCUUUUCAGAUCUAUUAAACCAAAAAUACAAAAUACCUUGCUGCAAUUUGUUUGUUCAGCAAUCUAUUUAUCCUAUCUACCACUUUUACCUCACGUUUUUUGCCUAUCUUGAGGCGUCGUACCCGAAAGGGAUUGACAACCCCUUUAACACGUCGUGUUGCUAGUAUUUGUUAUUUGUGUGCAGGUGUUGUUUACGUGGUGUGAGGAGGUUCUCCUACUGGUUCGAUAACCUUGGUCUCAUCACUUAGGGAAAUAUCUACCAUCGCUAUACUGCAUCAUCCCUUCCUCUUUAGGGAAAUACCGACAUAGUUCUAGCAGACAUCAGUAGGUUUUAUAAGCCUACCACUGGGAUGUCUGGUGGUAGGGUCCUUUUCCACGUCAGCACGAGCUGACGGCCGUUUGUCGCCAUCUCGACACCUACCACCACGGUCAACGACUGUAGGCUGUGGAGACCUACCGCCAAUGUCCCUGGCGGUAGGUAAAAGGGUCAGAUUUAAAAAAACAAACCUGGGUCAGAUCCCAAAAUAAGAUAGGAAAAGGGUCAAAACACGAAAUUUGGCCUAGUAGAGAGUAACGUCGAGAGCUGUAGCGCGGUUGCGCCGCUAGAGAACGCGGCACUAGCGAGAGUUGUUGGUCUCACGAACACCUCUACACCGGUGAUGGCUUUGCACCCUCCGCCGUAAAAAUUAGGUGCUAGUAACAAAAAAUGAUACAUCAACCGAACCUAGACCAAAUUGUAUUCCGAGCACGAUGAUUUUUGCACUUAGGGCAUCUCCAACUAUGUAGAUCAAACCACUGGUAAACUUCCGAAUCGUGCGGUCUAGACACUUUGGGCACUCCAACGUCUGUAGACCUAUCCGGGUGUCUAAAUUAUCACAAAUGUAAUCAAGGGCAAGGGCAAGGCGUCGGGCGUGCCAUCGGGGCCAACUCUUCCACUUCAAAGGAAGCCAAGCAGCUGCGCCACCAGCGGCAAGCGGUUUUCGUGACCCGUAUGUGACCUUCCGCCACUGGAAGGACAACGUUGACGAUGUCGAUGGCGGCGGAGGUGCCGCUGGGCCAUGGAGGUCAUUGUUCGGUACCUCACGUAGUUUACUUUGAUUUAGUUAAGUUAAAAUUUUAGUUUGAACUUGUCUGAUUCAUUUGGUUUGCAUGUGAUAUAUCAAAGUUGUGUUUAGUUAUUUGGAAUGAACGCAAGCAAAGAACUUUUCACAAAAAAGAUUGACACCAAGACUGUUGAUGACACAAAUUAACGAUGAAGCAGCAUACUAGAAGCCGGCUGGCAGCCAAUCCCUAUCAGUACAGAUACUAAGCUCCCAGAAAAUCAUGCGCUCUCAAUGAUUUGGGGUGUAUAUGAUGUGUUGUCUGCUACGUCUUGAGCUUGCGUUGGUUUUCCUCGAAGAGGAGAGGGUGAUGCAGCAAAGUGUAGCGUAAGUAUUUCCCUCAGUUUUAAGAACCAAGGUAUCAAUCCAGUAGGAGGCUCCUCAAAAGUCCCACGCACCUACACAAACAAACUGAGAACUCGCAACCAACGCAAUAAAGGGGUUGUCAAUCCCUUCACGGCCACUUGCGAAAGUGAGAUCUAAUAAAGAUAGUAUGAUAAGAUAAAUAUAUUUUUGGUAUUUUAUAAUAUGGAUGCAAAAAGUAAAGAUGCAAAUAAAGUAGAUUGAAAGCAAAUAUGAUAAGAGAUAGACCCGGGGGCCAUAGGUUUCACUAGAGGCUUCUUUCAAGAUGGCAUAAGUAUUACAGUGGGUGAACAAAUUACUGUCGAGCAAUUGAUAGAAAAGCGCAUAGUUAUGAGAUUAUCUAGGCAUGAUCAUGUAUAUAGGCAUCACGUCCAUAACAAGUAGACCGACUCCUGCCUGCAUCUAGAGUAUUAAGUUCAUAAGAACAGAGUAACGCAUUAAGCAAGAUGACAUGAUGUAGAGGGAUAAACACAUGCAAUAUGAUAUAAAUCCCAUCUUGUUAUCCUCGAUGGCAACAAUACAAUAUGUGCCUUGCAACCCUUUAUGUCACUGGGUAAGGACACCGCAAGAUUGAACCCAAAGCUAAGCACUUCUCCCAUGGCAAGAAAGACCAAUCUAGUAGGCCAAACCAAACUGAUAAUUCGAAGAGACUUGCAAAGAUAACUCAAUCAUACAUAAAAGAAUUCGGAGAAGAUUCAAAUAUUAUUCAUAGAUAAACUUGAUCGUAAACCUACAAUUCAUCGGAUCUCGACAAACACACCGCAAAAAAGAGUUUACAUCGAAUAGAUCUCCACAAGAGAGGGGGAGAACAUUGUAUUGAGAUCCAAAAAGAGAGAAGAAGCCAUCUAGCUAAUAACUAUGGACCCGUAGGUCUGUGGUAAGCUACUCACAACUCAUCGGAGGGGCAAGGAUGUUGAUGUAGAGGCCCUUCAUGGUUGAUUCCCCCUCCGGCAGAGUGCCGGCGAAGGCUCCAAUAUGGGAUCUCGCGGAUACAAAAGGUUAUGACGGUGGAAAUUGUGUUUCGUGGUGCUCCUGGAUGUUUUCGGGGUACGUAGGUAUAUAUAGGAGGAAGAAGUACGUCGGUGGCCGCCCGAGGGGCCCACGAGAUAGGGGGCGCGCCCUACAGGGGGGCGGCCCCCUAUCUCCUGUGGCCCUCGGAAGCUUCUUGACUUGCACUCCAAGCUCUCCGGAUCAUGAUCGUUCCAAAAAUAAUGCUCCCGAAGGUUUCAUUCCAUUUGGAUUCCGUUUGAUAUUCCCUUUCCUCGAAAUACUGAAAUAGGCAAAAAAAAACAGCAAUAUGGGCUGGGCCUCCGGUUAUUAGGUUAGUCCCAAAAAUGAUAUAAAUGUGUAAAAUAAAGCCCAUAAACAUCCAAAAGAGGCAAUAUAAUAGCAUGGAACAAUUAAAAAUUAUAGAUACGUUAAAGACGUAUCAUUGUUCAUGAUUAUUUGUUGGGUCAAUGCCAUUUCUCGCACGGGCAUGCGUCCGCGUGUCCUUUCGUUCGAAGCUUCAAGGCCGAAACUCAGUGCCUGUGCAUCGAUGGGUGGCCCAGAAAAUAAUUUUUUUAACUUGACGAUGACUAUCGACAUCUUCCUCCAACCCAAUCUCUCUUUCCCCUCGCUUUGCCUCCGUCCCAAGCAUGACAUGCUAGGGUUCUUGUCUCUGCCGCUGCUCUCCCGUUGUCGCCCCUUACAGCUUCUCCUCGGACCCUCUCAUCCCAUGUGCGAGACUGCCUGGUGAAGCACGAUGCAGGUCAGCGCUAGUCGCGGGGGAGCUCACAAGGACAGGCACGUUGGAGCCGGUGUCUGUAACCGGAGGAGGAGGCGAUUGCGAGACGGAGGUCGGGAAUUGGGGCAGGGAGUGCAUAGGUGGGUGGGUUGUAGAGAGAGAGGGAGGGAGGGAGGGAGAAGGGUAUGCAAGGGGCAACAGCGGUGGGAAGCUGGCGGCAGCGGCGAGGGAGAGCACGCGGAUGUGGGAAAUUUGGGUGGCACUCAUACAGUUGAUGUGCGAGAACACAGUUCUGUGUAGUUUGAAUAAUACUUGGGUUAGACUGGAACAUUUUAAUUUCAGCAUUAGGAAACACCAUCUACUACCCUUCAAGAAAUUGUUCUCCGGAGUUGUUUGCUACUUAUGUGAGAAUCGUGUCUUUUAGCCAUGUGCAUACUCAGUCUGAUUGAGACAUUGUUAAUCAUUAAAUUCCCGGUGCUUGUGACUCAACUUAUUUACAGUCUUCAGUUCGCAUAAUCUUCAGGACCUUUCUGUCUCUGUUAAUAUAUGUAUUGGGUUUCUGCAUCAACUGUUUGUUUUUUUAUGUCUAGAUUAUUGUUCUGCACAGUACUAUUUCAAGAAAUAGUUGUUCCCAGUUUUACCUAUAGUUAUUGUUGCUUUCUGGUAAAAAUGGACAAAACAGUAUUUCAACAUGACAUGAUGUCGCCACAUCAAUGAGAUCCUCUGGAUCUCACUAUGCUUAAAACAUCUGGUUGUUCAGGAUCUUAUCUUUAUUUUUCAUUUUUUUCCCAGCCAUGUGGAGGAAAUUUGUUCUACAACAGUGUAUCCAAUUGAGUUCUAGAGUUUUGAGGUGUGCUUUUUUUGUUCACAUGACAAUUACGAAGACCUGACGAAUGAUCAAGAUUUUUCUUUGUAACUAUAUGUCCAAGUAAUUGGGAUGAAUUCCUAAAAAAAGUAAAUGUGACGAAUAUAAGGUUGCUUCCAUCCUUUUCUACUAUAACAUCGCGUAGGUUGUUCUCAUAGUAAUGCAGCAUAACAAGAAGUUAUGUGGUUGCAAUUCAUUUAUGAGAACAUUGGCGGUGGACCUUCAAAGUAGUGAAGGUAGAAAACUUUGCAUCUUCAUAUAGUUGUAGUGAUGUAACAAAGAAUUCGGCCUCUAUUUCUCCCGAUUGUAACUUGUGAUUGUACCGCUUCAAUAAUGUUCAUUGUAUAUAUAUGGAACUAAUGUUAAGUUUAUUUCUGGUGGCCUCUUUGAGUUACCUUGAGUUUUAUGUUCCGAUUAUAGCUUUUGUCUUCGUAUACUACGUUUUAUGUUCCGUCUAUACAAAAUGACUAAAAAGCCACAUACGUCAGCGAAAAUAGGCACAACGAAGCGCGCGUUAGCUUCUAAUAGUAUUGACGCUGGUUGGGGGAGGAAGAUAGCCAAGGGCUAUGCUCCAAAGUAGAGGCGCAUGCUGGUUGAUUUACGCUGGUUAUUUUUUAUUGGGGCCGGUGUUUUAUGUUCCGUCUAUACAAAAUGACUAAAAAGCCACAUACGUCAGCGAAAAUAGGCAUAGCGUGAGCUAGAUGAUCUAAUGCGAAGCCCGCCGACUGCUGAAGUGCGGAUGAAGCAGAAAGAGCUUGCAUUAUUCAUUGAAAACCUAGUUGAACAUGAUGAAAUUUAUUGGGCCCAAAGAGGUAAAGUAAGCUGGAUGAGACGUGGCGACCGCAAUACAACAUAUUCCCAUCAGUUUGCAUCUACUAGGAGAAGGCGGAAUCUAAUAAAGAAGCUAAAGAAUGAUGCGAAUGGAUGGGUAGAAGGCAAUGAAGAUUUAAAACCAUUGAUUGGUGGCUAUUUUAGUAAGCUAUUUUCUUCCGAGGUAGAGGAGAUUGAUCCCUCCUUGCUUAAUUCUGUAAAGACCCUUCUUACCAACGACAUGAAUAAUAUGCUUAUUGCGGAGUACACCAGGGAGAGGUGCGUAAAGCACUGUUCCAAAUAGGCAAUAUGAAGGCAUCCGGCCCGGAUGGCCUCCAUGUUGUUUUUUUCAAGCGAUUCUGGCAUAUAUUAGGGGGAGAGCUAACUGAUGAGGUUCUUGAUGCAAUUAACAACCGAAAAAUCCCCUCGGGUUGGAAUUCAACAAAGACUGUGCUUCUCCCAAAGGUUGAGAGCCCAGAGGUAAUCACUCAAUACAGGCCCAUCGGUCUUUGUAAUGUUGUUUACAAGAUUAUAUCAAAGAUGCUUGCUAAUAGAUUGAAAAGAAUACUCCCAGAAGUCAUUUCCCCAACACAGAGCGCAUUUGUGCCUGGGAGGUUGAUCACAGAUAAUGUGUUGGUGGUGUAUGAGUGCUUUCAUGCAAUAAAGAAAAGGACCAAUGGGUCUACUGGAUUUUGUGCUAUUAAACUGGAUAUGAAUAAGGCCUAUGAUCCUGUUGAGUGGCGUUUCCCGGAGAAAAUGAUGCUUAAGAUGGGAUUUCAUGUGUAGUUGGUACAAUUGAUUAUGGAUUGUGUGUCUUCUGUCACCUACAGAGUGCGCUUUAAUAAUACAGAGACAGAUGAAUUUAUACCCACCAGGGGCCUAAGACAUGGAGACCCCUUAUCUCCCUAUUUAUUUUUGUUAUGCUUGGAAGGCCUAUCUAGCAUGUUAGCCAAUGAGGAGGAAACUAGAGGGCUGGAGGGGAUUAAGGGUGUGCUGCAGUGCACCUUCUAUUUCACACCUAUUAUUUGCUGAUGACUCAUUAGUACUGAUGAAAGCGGAUGCCCAUAAUUCAAGCACUCUUAAGAAGGUGUUGGAUGUUUAUUGUGGUAGUUCUGCACAGUUAGUAAGUACUGCAAAAUCAAGUAUAUUUUUCAGCCCGAAUACUAAUGUCGAUGUGAGGGAACAUAUUUGGGGGAGCUGAAUAUUGUGACUGAGGCUCUAUCAGAUACUUAUCUGGGCCUCCCUACAACGGUGGGUGUGGACAGAAGUGAUAGCUUCCAGCAUUUGAUUAAUAGAGUUUGCCAGAGGCUGAAAGGAUGGAAAGAAAAAAAACUAUCCAUACAAGGUAAAGAGAUCCUUGUUGGAAAUAUGCCCUAGAGGCAAUAAUAAAUUAGUUAUUAUUAUAUUUCCUUGUUCAUGAUAAUCGUUUAUUACCCAUGCUAUAAUUGUAUUGAUAGGAAACUCAGAUACAUGUGUGGGUACAUAGACAACACCAUGUCCCUAGUAAGCCUAGUUGACUAGCUCGUUGAUCAACAGAUGGUUACGGUUUCCUGACCAUGGACAUUGGAUGUCAUUGACAACGGGAUCACAUCAUUAGAAGAAUGAUGUGAUGGACAAGACCCAAUCCUAAGCCUAGCACAAAGAUCGUGUAGUUCAUAUGCUAAAGCUUUUCUAAUGUCAAGUAUCAUUUCCUUAGACCAUGAGAUUGUGCGACUCCCGGAUACCGUAGGAAUGCUUUGGGUGUACCAAACGUCACAACAUAACUGGGUGGCUAUAAAGGUGCACUACAGGUAUCUCCGAAAGUGUCUGUUGGGUUGGCACGAAUCGAGACUGGGAUUUGUCACUCCGUGUAACGGAGAGGUAUCUCUGGGCCCACUCGGUAGGACAUCAUCAUAAUGUGCACAAUGUGACCAAGGGGUUGAUCACGGGAUGAUGUGUUACGAAACGAGUAAAGAGACUUGUCGGUAACGAGAUUGAACAAGGUAUCGGCAUACCGACGAUCGAAUCUCGGGCAAGUACAAUACCGCUAGACAAAGGGAAUUGAAUACGGGAUUGAUUGAGUCCUUGACAUCGUGGUUCAUCCGAUAAGAUCAUCAUGGAACAUGUGGGAGCCAACAUGGGUAUCCAGAUCCCGCUGUUGGUUAUUGACCGGAGAACGUCUCGGUCAUGUCUGCAUGGUUCCCGAACCCGUAGGGUCUACACACUUAAGGUUCGAUGACGCUAGGGUUAUAAAGGAAGUUUGUAUGUGGUUACCGAAUGUUGUUCGGAGUCCCGGAUAAGAUCCCGGACGUCAUGAGGAGUUCCGGAAUGGUCCGGAGGUAAAGAUUUAUAUAUGGGAAGUCCUGUUUUGGUCACCGGAAAAGUUUCAGGUACUAUCGGUAACAUACCGGGACCACCGGGAGGGUCCCGGGGGUCCACCAGGUGGGGCCACCGGCCCCAGAGGGCUGCAUGGGCCAAGUGUGGGAGGGUACCAGCCCCAGGUGGGCUGGUGCGCCCCCCACCAAGGCCCAAGGCACCUAGGGCUUGGGGGAAACCCUAAAGGGGGCGCCCCCCUUGCCUUGGGGGGCAAGGCAACCCCCCUGGCCGCCGCCCCCUCCUCAGAUUGGAUCUGAGGGGGACGGCCCCCCUCUCCUUUGCCCCUAUAUAUAUGUGGGGGGUGGGAGGGCAGCCGCACCCCAGGUUCUGGCGCAGCCCUCCCCCUCUCCCAAGUACUCCUCCUCUCCCGUGGUGCUUGGCGAAGCCCUGCAGGAUUGCCACGCUCCUCCACCACCACCACACCGUCGUGCUGCUGCUGGACGGAGUCUUCCCCAACCUCUCCCUCUCUCCUUGCUGGAUCAAGGCAUGGGAGACGUCACCGGGCUAUACGUGUGUUGAACGCGGAGGUGCCGUCCGUUCGGCACUAGGAUCUCCGGUGAUUUGGAUCACGACGAGUAUGACUCCUUCAACCCCGUUAUCUUGAAUACUUCCGCUUAGCGAUCUACAAGGGUAUGUAGAUGCACUCUCCUUCCCCUCGUUGCUGGUUUCUCCAUAGAUAGAUCUUGGUGACACAUAGGAAAAUUUUGAGUUUCUGCUACGUUCCCCAACAGUGGCAUCAUGAGCUAGGUCUAUUGCGUAGAUUCUUUGCACGAGUAGAACACAAAGUAGUUGUGGGCGUUGAUUUUGUUCAAUAAGCUUACCGUUACUAGUCCAAUCUUGUUUCGACGGUAUUAUAGGAUGAAGUGUCUCGGACCGACCUUACACGUACUCUUACGUGAGACAGGUUCCACCGAAUGCCAUGCACUUGGUGCAUAAGGUGUCUAGCGGGUGCCAGUCUCUCCCACUUUAGUCGGAAUGGAUUCGAUGAAAAGGGUCCUUAUUAAGGGUAAAUAGCAAUUGGCAUAUCACGUUGUGGUUUGCGUAGGUAAGAAACGUUCUUGCUAGAAACCCAUAGCAGCCACGUAAAACAUGCAAACAACAAUUACAGGACGUCUAACUUGUUUUUGCAGGGUAUGCUAUGUGAUGUGAUAUGGCCAAGAAGAAUGUAAUGAAAUAUAUGUGAUGUAUGAGAUUGAUCAUGUUCUUGUAAUAGGAAUCACGACUUGCAUGUCGAUGAGUAUGACAACCGGCAGGAGCCAUAGGAGUUGUCUUUAUUUAUUGUAUGACCUGCGUGUCAUUAAAUAACGCCAUGUAAUUACUUUACUUUAUUGCUAACCGGUAGCCAUAGUAGUAGAAGUAAUAAGUUGGCGAGACAACUUCAUGGAGACACGAUGAUGGAGAUCAUGAUGAUGGAGAUCAUGGUGUCAUGCCGGUGACGAUGAUGAUCAUGGAGCCUCGAAGAUGGAGAUCAAAAGGAGCAAUAUGAUAUUGGCCAUAUCAUGUCACUAUUUGAUUGCAUGUGAUGUUUAUCAUGUUUAUGCAUCUUAUUUGCUUAGAACGACGGUAGUAAAUAAGAUGAUCCCUCAUUAAAAUUUCAAGAAAGUGUUCCCCCUAACUGUGCACCGUUGCGAAAGUUCGUCGUUUCAAAGCACCACGUGAUGAUCGGGUGUGAUAGAUUCUUACGUUCACAUACAACGGGUGUAAGCCAGAUUUACACACGCGAAACACUUAGAUUGACUUGACGAGCCUAGCAUGUACAGACAUGGCCUCGGAACACAAGAGAACGAAAGGUCGAGCAUGAGUCGUAUAGUAGAUAUGAUCAACAUGAAGAUUUUCACCGAUGAUGACUAGUCUGUCUCACGUGAUGAUCGGACACGGCCUAGUUGACUCGGAUCAUGUAAUCACUUAGAUGACUAGAGGGAUGUCUAUCUGAGUGGGAGUUCAUAAGAUGAACUUAAUUAUCCUGAACAUAGUCAAAAGAUCUUUGCAAAUCAUGUCGUAAGCUCGCGCUUUAGUUCUACUGUUUAGAUAUGUUCCUAGAGAAAAUAUAGUUGAAAGUUGAUAGUAGCGAUUAUGCCAUCAGUAGAAAGCUUAUUUCCUUAAUGCACCGCUCAGUGUGCAGAACCCCAAACAUCGUCUGUGGAUGUUGCGAACAUCGGACAUACACGUUUUGAUAACUACGUGAUAGUUCAGUUAAACGGUUUAGAGUUGAGGCACCAAAGACGUUUUCGAAACAUCACGGAACAUAUGAGAUGUUUCAAGGGCUGAAAUUGGGAUUUCAGGCUCGUGCCCACAUCAAGAGGUAUAAGACCUUCGACGAUUUUCUUAGCCUGCAAACUAAGGGAGAAAAGCUCAAUCAUUGAGCUUGUGCUCAGAUUGUCUGAGUGCAACAAUCACUUGAAUCGAGUGGGAGUUGAUCUUCCAGAUGAAAUAGUGAUGUUUCUCCAAAGUCAUUGCCACCAAGCUACUAGAGCUUCGUGAUGAACUAUAACAUAUCACGGAUAGAUAUGAUGAUCCUUGAGGUAUUCGCGAUGUUUGACACCGCGAAAGUAGAAAUCAAGAAGGAGCAUCAAUUGUUGAUGGUUGGUGAAACCACUAGUUUCAAGAAGGGCAAAGGCAAGAAGGGAUACUUCAUGAAAUGGCAAAUCAGCUGCUGCUCUAGUGAAGAAACCCAAGGUUGAACCCAAACCCGAGACUAAGUGCUUCUGUAAUAAGGGGAACAACCACUGGAGCAGAAUUACCCUAGAUACUUGGUAGAUGAGAAGGCUGGCAAGGUCGAUAGAAGUAUAUUGGAUAUACAUUAAGUUAUUGUGUACUUUACUAGUACUCCUAGUAGCACCAGAGUAUUUGAUACCGGUUCAGUUGCUAAGUGUUAGUAACUCGAAAUAAAAGGCUACGGAAUAAACGGAGACUAGCUAAAGGUGAGCUGACGAUAUGUGUUGGAAGUGUUUCUAAGUUUGAUAUGAUCAAACAUUGCACGCUCCCUCUACCAUCAAGAUUAGUAUUAAACCUGAAUAAUUGUCAUUUGGUGUUUGCGUUGAGCAUAGACAUGAUUGGAUUAUGUCUAUCGCAAUACGGUUAUUCAUUUAAGGAGAAUAAUGGUUACUCUAUUUAUUUGAAUAAUACCUUCAAUGGUCUUGCACCUAAAGGAAUGGUUUAUUGAAUCUCGAUCAUAGUAAUACACAUUUUCAUGCCAAAAUAUAUAAGAUAGUAAUGAUGGUACCACUUACUUGUGGCACUGCCAUGUAAGUCAUAUUAGUAUAAAACGCAUGAAGAAGCUCCAUGUUGAUGGAUCUUUGGACUCACUCACUUUUGAAAAGUUUGAGACAUGCGAACCAUGUCUAUUGGUGUAUACACAUGAAGAAACUCCAUGCAAAUGGAUCGUUUGGACUCACUUGAUUUUGAAUCACUUGAGAUAUGCAAAUCAUACCACAUGGGCAAAAUGACUGAAAAGCCUCGGUUUCAAUAAGAUGGAACGAGAUAGCAACUUGUUGGAAGUAACACAUUUUGAUGUGUGCAGUCCAAUGAGUGCUGAAUAUCGUUAUGUUCUUACUUCACGGAUGAUUUGAGUAGAUACUGAGUGUAUUUACUUGAUGAAACACAAGUCUGAAUUAUUGAAUGGUUCAAGUAAUUUCAGAGUGAAGUUGAAGAUCAUCGUGACAAGAGGAUAAAAUGUCUAUGAUAUGAUCAUAGAGAUGAGUAUCUGAGUUACGAGCUUUGGCACACAAUUAAGACAUUGUGGAAAUUGUUUCACAACUAAUACCGCCUGGAACACCAUAGUGUGAUGGUGUGUCCGAACAUCAUAGUUGCACCCUACUGGAUAUGGUGCGUACCAUGGUGUCUCUUAUCGAAUUACCACUAUCGUUCAUGGGUUAGGCAUUAGAGACAACCGCACUCACUUUAAUAGGGCACCACGUAAUUCCGUUGAGACGACACCGUUUGAACUAUGGUUUGGAGAAACCUAAGUUGUCGUUUCUUAAAAGUUUGGGGCUGCGACGCUUAUGUGAAAAAGUUUCAUCGUGAUAAGCUCGAACCCAAAAUGGAUAAAUGCAUCUUCAUAGGAUACCCAAAAUGGUUGGGUAUACCUCCUAAUUCAUAUCCGAAAGCAAUAGGGAUUGUUUCUUGAAUCGGGUCCUUUCUCGAGGAAAGGUUUGUCUCGAGAAUUGAGUGGGAGGAUGGUGGAGACUUGAUGAGGUUAUUGAACCAUCACUUCAACUAGUGUGUAGCAGGGCACAGGAAGUUGUUCUUGUGGCGCCUACACCAAUUGAAGUAGAAGCUUAUGAUAGUGAUCAUGAAGUUUUGGAUCAAGUCACUGCCGUACCUCGUAGGGUGACAAGGAUGCGUACUACUUCAGAGUGGUACAGUAAUCCUGUCUUGAAGGUCAUGUUGCUAGACAACAAUGAACCUACGAGCUAUGGAGAAGCAAUGGUGGGCCCAUAUUCCAACAAAUGGUUAGAAGCCAUGAAAUCCGAGAUAGGAUCCAUGUAUCAGAACAAAGCAUGGACUUUUGUGGACUUGCCCGAUGAUCGGCAAGCCAUUGAGAUAAAUGGAUCUUUAAGAAGAAGAUGAACGUGGACGGUAAUGUCACCGUCUAUGAAGCUCGACUUGUGGCGAAGAGUUUUUCACAAGUUCAAGGAGUUGACUACGAUGAGAUUUUCUCAUCGUAGCGAUGCUUAAGUCCGUCGGAAUCAUGUUAGCAUUAGCUACAUUUAUGAAAUCUGGCAGAUGGAUGUCAAAACGAGUUUCCUUACCAGUCUUCGCAAGGAAAGGUUGUAUGUGAUACAAUCAGGAGGUUUCUGUCGAUCCUAAGGAUGCUAAAAGGUAUGCUAGCUCCAGCUAUCCUUCUAAGGACUGGAGUAAGCAUCUCGGAGUUGGAAUGUACGCUUUGAUGAGAUGAUCAAAUAUUUUUGGUUUAUACAAAGUUUAUGAGAAAUUUGUAUUUCCAAAGAAGUGAGUGGGAGCACUAUAGAAUUUCUGAUGAGUAUAUGUUGUUGACAUAUUGAUGAUCAGAAAUGACGUAGAAUUUUCUGUAAAGCAUAUAGGGUUAUUUGAAAAGUGUUUUUCAAGUGAAAACCUGGAUUAAGCUACUUGAACAUUGAGUAUCAUGAUCUUUGAGGAUAGAUCAAAAACCGCUUAAUGGUACUUUCAAAUAAGCAUAUACCUUGACAUGAUCUUGAAGGUGUUCAAGAUGGAUCAGUCAAAGAAGGAGUUCUUGCCUGAGUUGCAAGGUAUGAAGUUAAGACUUAAAGCUCGACCACGGCAGAAGAGAGAGAAAGGAUGAAUGUCGUCCCCUAUGCUUCAGACGUAGGCUCUACAGUAUGCUAUGCUGAGUACCGCACCUGAUGUGUGCCUUGCCACAUGUCUGGCAAGAGGGUACAAAGGUGAUCAAGGAGUGGAUCACCAGAUAGCGGUCAAAAUUAUCCUUAGAGGAAUAAGGAUAUGUUUCUCGAUUAUGAAGGUGAUAAAGAGUUCAACGUAAAGGGUUACGUCGAUGCAAGCUUUAACACCUAUCCGAAUGACUCUGAGUAGCAAACCGGAUACGUAUAGUGGAGCAACCAUUUGGAAUAGCUCCAAGUGGAGCGUGGAAGCAGCAUUUACAAUAUGACCUAGAAAUUUGCGAAGUACAUACGGAUCUGAAUGUUGCAGACCCAUUGACUAAAACCUCUCUCACGAGCAAAACAUGAUCAAACCCCAGAACUCAUUGAGUCUUAAUCACAUGAUGAUGUGAACUAGUUUAGACACUAGUAAACUCUUUGGAUGUUGGUCACAUGGCCAUGUGACCUGUGAGUGUUAAUCACAUGGCGAUGUGAACUAGAUUAUUGACUCUAGUGCAAGUGGGAGACUGUUGGAAAUAUGCCCUAGAGGCAAUAAUAAAUUAGUUAUUAUUAUAUUUCCUUGUUCAUGAUAAUCGUUUAUUACCCAUGCUAUAAUUGUAUUGAUAGGAAACUCAGAUACAUGUGUGGGUACAUAGACAACACCAUGUCCCUAGUAAGCCUCUAGUUGACUAGCUCGUUGAUCAACAGAUGGUUACGGUUUCCUGACCAUGGACAUUGGAUGUCAUUGAUAACGGGAUCACAUCAUUAGAAGAAUGAUGUGAUGGACAAGACCCAAUCCUAAGCCUAGCACAAAGAUCAUGUAGUUCAUAUGCUAAAGCUUUUCUAAUGUCAAGUAUCAUUUCCUUAGACCAUGAGAUUGUGCGACUCCCGGAUACCGUAUGAAUGCUUUGGGUGUACCAAACGUCACAACGUAACUGGGUGGCUAUAAAGGUACACUAUAGGUAUCUCGGAAAGUGUCUGUUGGGUUGGCACGAAUCGAGACUGGGAUUUGUCACUCCGUGUAACGAAGAGGUAUCUCUGGGCCCACUCGGUAGGACAUCAUCAUAAUGUGCACAAUGUGACCAAGGGGUUGAUCACGGGAUGAUGUGUUAAGGAACGAGUAAAGAGACUUGUCGGUAACGAGAUUGAACAAGGUAUCGGCAUACCGACGAUCGAAUCUCGGGCAAGUACAAUACCGCUAGACAAAGGGAAUUGAAUACGGGAUUGAUUGAGUCCUUGACAUCGUGGUUCAUCCGAUGAGAUCAUCGUGGAACAUGUGGGAGCCAACAUGGGUAUCUAGAUCCCGCUGUUGGUUAUUGACCGGAGAACGUCUCGGUCAUGUCUGCAUGGUUCCCGAACCCGUAGGGUCUACACACUUAAGGUUCGAUGACACUAGGGUUAUAAAGGAAGUUUGUAUGUGGUUACCGAAUGUUGUUCGGAGUCCCGGAUAAGAUCUCGGACGUCACGAGGAGUUCCGAAAUGGUCCGGAGGUAAAGAUUUAUAUAUGGGAAGUCCUGUUUUGGUCACCGGAAAAGUUUCGGGUACUAUCGGUAACAUACCGAGACCAUUGGGAGGGUCCCGGGGGUCCACCAGGUGGGGCCACCGGCCCCAGAGGACUGCAUGGGCCAAGAGUUGGAGGGGACCAGCCCCAGGUGGGCUGGUGCACCCCCCACCAAGGCCCAAGGCGCCUAGGGCUUGGGGGAAACCCUAAAGGGGGGCGCCCCCCUUGCCUUGGGGGGCAAGGCAACCCCCUGGCCGCCGCCCCCUCCUCAGAUUGGAUUUGAGGGGGCCGGCCCCCCUCUCCUUUGCCCCUAUAUAUAUGUGGGGGGUGGGAGGGUAGCCGCACCCCAGGUUCUGGCGCAGCCCUCCCCCUCUCCCAAGUACUCCUCCUCUCCCGCGGUGCUUGGCGAAGCCCUGCAGGAUUGCCACGCUCCUCCACCACCACCACGCCGCCGUGCUGCUGUUGGACGGAGUCUUCCCCAACCUCUCCCUCUCUCCUUGCUGGAUCAAGGCAUGGGAGACGUCACUGGGCUGUACGUGUGUUGAAUGCGGAGGUGUCGUCCGUUCGACACUAGGAUCUCCGGUGAUUUGGAUCACGACGAGUACGACUCCUUCAACCCCGUUCUCUUGAACGCUUCCGCUUAGCGAUCUACAAGGGUAUGUAGAUGCACUCUCCUUCCCCUCGUUGCUGGUUUCUCCAUAGAUAGAUCUUGGUGACACGUAGGAAAUUUUUGAAUUUCUGCUACGUUCCCCAACAAUCCUAGUGAAAUUAGUAGCACAAGCAAUUCCAUCAUAUGCUAUGUCUGUUUUUAAAUUGCCAAAGGGAGUUUGCAAGGCUAUCACAUAUGAAGUUUCUAGUUUUUGGUGGGGAGACAAUGAGGAGAAAAGAAAAAUGCAUUGGUUUGCAUGGUGGAAGUUGUGCAAUCCAAAGAAAAAGGGGGGAUUGGGCUUUAGGGACCUUCACAGCUUUAAUCUUGCUAUGUUAGCAAAGCAAUGUUGGCGACUAAUCCAGAACCCUGAUUCUUUGUGCGCGUAAGUUCUGAGUGCAAAGUAUAAUCCUCAUGGUGAUGUUUUAAAAGCAGGUCCUAAGAAGGGCUCGUCCUAUACGUGGCAAAGUAUUGUUGCAGGCAUACAAACCUUUCAGAGGGGGUGUAUUUCACGUAUUGGAACGGGUUCCAAAGUGAACAUUUGGCAAGAUCCAUGGAUUCCUUCAAGUCCAUCACGACGAGUUAUCUCUCUGAGAGGAGGAACCAUGUUGUCAAAAGUUGAAGACUUCAUUGAUCCGCAUACUGGACAGUGGGAUGAGAAUUUAUACGUGAUGUGUUCUCUCCUGUGGAUGUUGAAAGAAUUCUUAGAAUACCACUAAAUGUUCAGAUGGGCGAGGAUUUCAUCGGUUGGAACUAUACCCGGUCAGGUACUUUCUCUGUGAGAUCGACAUACCACAGAGAGUUUGAGCAUCAAUUCAGCUCUAAAUGGACAAGAGCAGAUGGGCAAGGCAGUGUUCAUAUCAACCUUGUUUGGAAGGAUGUGUGGCGGCUACGGAUUCCAAGGAAAGUGAAGCACUUUGUAUGGAAGGUAUUACAUGGCGUUCUUUCCUGUUUUUGUGUGCUUGCUGGACGUCAUAUCCCCUGUUCACCUCAAUGCCCAGUGUGUUUAGUGGGGGUUGAGGAUAUACAACACUGUUUGUUUCAUUGUCAUCGAGUGAAAGAAAUUUGGAUGCAGCUUGGCCUAAAGGAAGCAAUACAGAGGGCAGUAGUUGAUGAUAGAUCCGGAUCAAUUACCAUGGAAAUGCUGAUGAAAUUACCGGAUGGAUCAGCUGAAAUCCCAAAUGCCGAGUUGGUAGCCGUCGCUGCAUGGUACAUCUGGUGGCAACGCCCUCAACGUGUAAAGGGUAUUGAGGUUCAAACACUAGAAAGGACAGCUUUGUCGAUCAGGGUCCUAGCGACUAAUUAUAUGAGGUCGGUAUCACCUAAAAUGCCAAGCAGAAAGGAUGGUUGCAUGUGGAAGAAGCCAAGUCACGGUGUGGUAAAAACAAAUGUGGACGCAUCGUUUCAUGGAGAUACUUUGUCAGGUGCUUCUGAAGCUAUAGCUCGUGAUGAUAAAGGAUAUUUUAUUGCUGCUGCAAAUUGGUUUAUCCCACAUAUACAAGACGUUGAUGUUGCUGAACUUACUGCUAUCAGGAACGGUCUUUUUCUAGCGGCUAGCGUCGGGUGCAAUUUAGUCAAAGUUGAACCAGAUUGCUUAUUUGCUGUGGACACCUUGAACUCCAUGGAUUAUUUGGGUCCUCAUGUGGCAAUAGUGGUUGAUUGCAAUCAGCUAGCGAUGGAGUUCAGAGGCAUUUCUUUCAAGCAUUUGCUACCGUGAGGCAAAUCAAGUGGCGGAUGAGUUAGCCAAGAAUUCUUUUGUUAGUAGAUCCUCUAAUUCUUGGGAAUCUGUGAUUCCAGGUUUUAUUUCUCAUUCUCUUGUAAAUGACAUGUCUAUUAUUUGAGAAGUAAAGUGUUUUACCCGUAAAAAAAAGCCUCAUCUAACUUCUACACUAUUUGAUUAACCAAAUAAAAAAUAAAAUAAAAAUGUUUUUUUAUACCUUCAGUUUUUUUUCUGUCUAUCUUUUUCAUGUUUCUGGCCAUCGGCCUCUUCUCCAAUCAAUGAAAUCUUAGCAGCUCUCCUGCUGAUUUUUUUUUAAAAAGGAAAAAGAUGACAACAAAACUGAGCUGUCAAAAAUGUCCGCGGAUAUUUUCAAAAAAAAAUGUCCGCGGAUCCGCGUGACCCAGCCGAGCCCUACGGCCCGCCCGACCCAACGUCCGACACCCGCCGCCGGGAACGCGCAUGCGCAUCCGCCGCCCGUUCUCCGCUGACCGCGCCCACCUUCCCCGCCGGCCGAGUCAACCCACCCGCCCAGCACGAAACCAUCCCAAUUCCCCUCCAUUUCCGCCCAAAAUCGUCCGGCAACAGCAAGGCUCACCAGAAUGCGGCCUCUCCUCAGCGCCGCCGCCGCCGCCCUCCUCCUCCUCCUCCUCCCCCUCGCGGCCGGCCAGCGACUCCGCGGCUUCUCCUACCAACUCGACUGCGGCGCCGCGAGCUCCUCCACCGACAGCCGCGGCCUCCGCUGGGACCCCGACGGCCCCUACGUCUCCGCCGGCUCCGCCCGCCCGCUCUCGGCCCAGGGCCUCCUCGACCCCACCCUCGCCUCCCUCCGCGUAUUCCCGUACCGCCCCGCCGCUAAGUUCUGCUACGCGCUCCCCGUCGACCCCAAUCGCCACUACCUGCUCCGCCCCACCUUCUUCUACGGCCCCACCUCGACGGCCCCGCCCGUGUUCGACCUCAUCGUCGACGGCACCUUCUGGACCGCCGUCGACACCGCCGAUGACAUCCUGGCCGGCAGCGCCUCGCACUACGAGGCCGUGUUCCCGGCCAGGGGCAGGAACUUGACCUUCUGCAUCGGCGUCAACCCCGACUACACCAACUCCGGCCCGUUCAUCAACGCGCUGCAGGUCAUCCAGCUCCAUGAUUCGGUGUACAACGCCACCGAUUUCACGGGCAGCGCCAUGGGCCUCAUUGCGCGCACCAAGUUUGGCUCGACUGGCGACGUCGAGAGGUGAGUGCCGACUUCUCUGGCCUUGAUUUCAGUGCCCUUUUAGUGAUGAAGUGCUAGAUGUUCUGUGAUUUCCCAUAAUUUGAGUAGGUUUAGGAAUUAGGACUGCAGAACUGACUCAUUGUCGAUAUGGCUGAGAAUGCUGUCGAUCAGGCAUAUACAGUACCAGUUUUUAUCUUAAGAUAGUACCAGUUGGGUCAGUUCUUUGUGAAGUGAAUAGCUCUAGGUUUCAGCUGUUUCUGAUCUGAGGUUUAGUUUGUCAUGUAAAGUAACUCUGGAUGUGGUUCACAACAUUUAUUCAGUAGAUGUAGGUUGAUUUGGUAGUUUUCUUUCUUUAGAACUCUUCUAAUUUUUAUGGUCAUGUUGCGGCUGUUGCUUCUUUGGCUCCUAUAGCAUGUUGAGCAAUGAACAUGAUCCCCCAAUAUCAAAGAAGCAGAAUUCACCAUAUCGAAUCCCUAAUUCUUAAGCAAAAAUACCAAAAGUUCCUGAACCUCUUUCUCGUUACUUUUUUGAGGAAACAUGUGCAUGCACUAGUGAUUAGAACUUUACAAGUGUAUUCCAAGGAACAAAUAGGUACUUGUUAAAAAGAUGCUCACUAAAUGAAGUACAAAAAGGAAAGAAGCGUGUCGGCCUAUAUCAUAUAUGUUUUUAUUUUCUUUCGUUCUCCCUUUUCUAGAGGACUACAAAUUACAAGCUUUAUGUAGAUUUUCUUGUGAGGAAGUUCUGUAGAUCCCUGACUUCAUUUUCUUCAUUACAUUCAAACUUAGGUACCCUGAUGACAGUUUUGACCGCUAUUGGCAGCCAUUUCCAGACAGCAAACAUGCAGUCAGUAGUACCCACAACGUUACAUCAGCCGAUUUCUGGAAUCUUCCUCCUCCUGACGUAUUUAAUACAGCUUUGGUAGCAGAACAAAAUGCACCCUUGGUGUUGCAAUGGCCGCCGAUAUCUCUUCAGAAUGGCAGCUAUUAUGUUUCUCUUUAUUUUGCUGAUACAUUGGCUAAUAGUUCGAGGACCUUGGAUGUGAAUAUUAAUGAUUACCAGUUUUACCAAGGGACUGUAACAUCAGCUGGUCUUUCUGUCUUUGCAACUCAAUGGAUUCUCUCAGGCCUAACCAGAGUUAUAUUGACUUCUAAGUCUGUUCUUCCACCACUUAUCAAUGCUGGCGAAGUCUUUGGAAUUUUUCCCAUCGGAAGACUGACAAUUACACGUGAUGGUACAUCAUUUGCUGCAUUUAUUCCUUUAUUAUCAAUUGUUUCCCCCUGAGUUGACAGUGCAUGCAAACAGGCAAUGAAACAUUUCCUGUUCAGCCUGAUGCAAUGCACAUUAUGUAUGUAAAUGUGUAAUGAUUCUGGUAGCACUGAUUCAAUUAUUUGUAUGGUAGGUUGUAUGUUUAUGUACUGUGUUAGCAACAUGUCAUCAAAAUGUGCCUUGGGUGAAUUUGCGUAUACAUGACCAUUUGACAUCUCUCCCAAUUUUAGCAUCACGUUGAGUCGUACUUGUAUUGUUCAGAUAUUUUAUCAAGUGUGCACAUUGACUUUAGGUUGUGUGAGUGUCCUUUAAAUAUUGUUGUGGGCGUAUUACAUGAUGUUCUUGCAAUGCAGCAAGUUGCUCUAACUUGCGCCUGUCUCUUUUAUGAAAUUGACCUAGUACUUUCAUUUCUUUACAGCGCUUGCUAUGGAGAGUAUGAAGAGAAGCCUCCAAAACAUACCUGAUGAUUGGAUUGGAGAUCCAUGUAUGCCUCAUGGAUAUGCUUGGACUGGAGUUACAUGUCAGGAAGGACAAAAUGAAAAUAUACGUGUCAUUUCAUUGUGAGUUCAACUCAUGAUCCUUCCAUCUAUACGAUGCAAUUCUUUUAUCCUUUGCAAGUUUGCAGUAACAAUUCUUUGUAUUGGUCCACACCAGGAACUUUUCAGGUAUGGGUAUCUCCGGAUCUCUGUCGCCUGACAUUGCAAAUCUGACUGCUCUUAUUGAUAUGUAAGUUCUAUUUAUAACCGAUCAAAGGGAAUGAAAAUAUAAGCUAGCAAAAUGACACUAUUACCAUUGGCAGAUCUUUUGCAAACAAUAGCUUGUCUGGAACUAUUCCUGAUCUCAUCAAUCUGGGACAACUCCAACGACUGUAAGCUAACCCUUCGGCUUUUGUAAUUUAGUUCAAAAAUUGUUUAUACAAUCAUACUAUUUAUACGUUACUGCGAAAAUUGGUUUGUCUUUACUCUUUAGGCACCUGAAUGAUAACAAGUUGAAUGGAACAAUAGCUGAGACGUUGGGGACAAUUCAGCCCUUGCGUGAACUGUGAGUUGAUUUGUGUCAAUAUUUUUACUUACUGGUUAUUGUUCCAGUUUCAGAAUAUUUGCCUGCAUUACUUCUCAUGUCGGAGUAUUCAAAGAACAGAAAGCAUAAAACACGAAAAGCAUAGCAACCAUUUUAGAAACAUUUGCCAGGCCCCCGGGUUGCCCUUUCAGGCAGCACUUAGAUCAUAGGACUGACGGCAGCAUGGCUUCUUCCCGCUCGUCCAUUGCCAAUGGUGUUGGAGGAGGAUGGUUACUAUGCGCUGUUCAGAUCUUUCCAGUCGUGUUCGGUUCCAGAGAUGCUUUGCUCGAUUGACGCAGUGGCUGUGAUGGUAAAUGUGGCAGCUCUGGCGGUCAUGGAGGCUCAGAUCUGGAAGCUGAAGCGGCUCCUUGGCCAUAAGUGAAACUGAUCCCUUAUGCACAGUAUUUUGCCAUGAGUGCAACUGGUAGGACUAGGGUUCCUACCGGCUCUACUCCGUAGGUUAUACGGGCAGAACAGCGAGGGUUGGGGGCGAGGGCGGGGGCUCCGGCGUGUUGGCGCCGUCGCGAGGGAGAAGAAGGGCGGCGACGGCUAGGGCAAGGUGCGGCUAGGGUUUCCGGCUCCUCUGGAGUCGGGCAAUAUGAUAGAACUAUCUUUAUUGCUUGAUCUCAAACGAUGUCUUACAACUAGUAUUUAUAACUUUAGCCUAAGAUAACUUGCCUAAACUAACUUGCCUAAGAUAACUUGUGGGUCAAGCCCCUAAUACUAAUGCCCGGUGGGCCUCUUCCUUGUAUAGACCAAACCGGUCAUAACAUCUCUCCCCGCCUGCGCAAACAACCCGUCCUCGAGCUGAAAGUCUGGAUAGUGUUGGCGGAAUUCUUCACGCUGCUCCCAAGUAGCCUCCUCCUCCGGAAGGUCUGCCCACUGAACGAGGAUGAACCAGACGCCACGACGGAGCUGCGCCUGCAAUACCUUUGCCGGCUCUGGAAGAAUGCGACCAUUGGCGAUGGGAGGAAGCGCCGGUGGAGCCGCCGGUGGCUCGCCACGGAAAGGCUUGAGCAGCCCCACAUGGAAAACGUCGUGGAUGCGAGUGCGGGCUGGAAGCUGAAGACGAUAGGCCACCUUUCCAAUGCGCUCCAAGAUAGGGAAGGGCCCGGCGUAGCGAGGACCGAGCUUGCGCUUCGCGCGCGGGUCGAGGGACUGCGUAGAGCGAUGGAGAAGACGCAGCCACACCCAAUCACCCACCGCGAACUCCGCCUCGCGAUGAUGAUCGUCGUAGUAGUGCUUGGCCAGCUGCUGGGCCUGAAGGAGACGCUGACGAACCUCAGCAAGCAUCUCGUCACGAGUGCGGAUGAGGUCACCCGCAACCUCCGUCCGAGCUAUCUCCGGAUCCACUGGAAGUAUAGGCGGGGGUGGUCGACCAUAGACCACCUCAAAUGGCGUAGCGCGCAGGGCGGAGUGAUAAGAGGUGUUGUAGCAGUACUCCGCCCAAGAGAGCCAGUCCACCCAAGCGCGAGGCCGAUCACCUGUCACACAACGCAAAUACAUGGCAAUGACCUUGUUAACCACCUCGGACUGACCGUCCGUCUGAGGAUGGAACGCCGUACUCAGGCGGAGCUGGACACCCGCCAUCCUGAAGAGGUCGCGCCAGACAUGGCCCGUGAACACGGGGUCUCGAUCACUGACGAUCGAAGCAGGGAACCCGUGUAGACGGACGAUGCCGUCGAAGAAGGCCCGGGCCACGGACGCCGCCGUGUAUGGAUGGCCGAGCGCUAUGAAGUGGCCGUACUUGGAGAAGCGGUCGACCAUCGUGAGGAUGACCGACUUGCCGCCCACCUUGGGAAGGCCCUCAAUGAAGUCCAUGGAGAUGUCCGCCCAGACCUGAGAUGGCACCUCCAAGGGCUGGAGUAACCCGGCCGGCCUGAGAGUCUCUGUCUUGUUGCGCUGGCAUGUCUGACAAGACCGAACCCAGUCGCGGACCAGGGCGCGAUCGCCAGGGAUGUAGAAGUCGGCGCGAAGACGAUGGAGGGUUUUCUGCAUACCCUCAUGACCUGCCGAGUGGGCGAGCUGUAACACCUGGUGACGGAGAUCAUCCUGCGCCGGAACAAAGACCCGGCGCCCAUGGAGGAGCAGUCCGUCAGAAAAGCGCCAUGGCUCCUCCAGGUCGUCGGCCGUGAGCUGCUGCUGAAGAUGGACGGCAUCGUCGGCCGUCGCAGUGGCGCGGCGAAUGUCGGCGAAGAGGCCGAAUGUCGGCCCGGAGCGGAUGCACAGGGCCGCCCCGGCGGACUUGUCAGCGGAGGAAGCGAGGUCGGAGUCGCGACGGGACAGCGUCGGCCACGGUGUUAAGGCGGCCCGGCCGAUACUCGACGGAGAAGUCGAAGCCGAAGAGCUUGCUGAUCCACUGGUGCUGCGGCACGGUCGACAGCCGUUGGUCCAGCAAAAACUUCAGCUGUAGUGGUCGGUGCGAAUCUGGAAGGACCGUCCCCACAAGUACGGCCGCCAAUGACGAACAGCCUGUACAAGGCCAAUGAGCUCCCGCUCAUAUGCUGCCAGCUUAAGAUGACGCGGAGCGAAAGGCCGGCUGAAGAAGGCGAGGGGCCCAUUGCCCUGAUGAAGCACGGCGCCGAACCCUGCGCCCGAGGCGUCACAGUCCACCACAAACGGGCGGUCGAAGUCGGGCAUCUGGAGGACGGGGCCCGUCGUGAGGGCCCCCUUGAGGGCCUCGAACGCCGUCGUCGCCUCGUCGUCCCAGGCGAAAGCGUUGCGGCAAAGCAACCGCGUGAGGGUCGCCGCGAUAAGCCCGAACUCCCGGAUAAAUUUCCGGUAGUAGCCGGCGAGGCCGAGGAACCCGCGGAGAGCCCGCGGCGAGUGAGGGGUCGGCCAUGCGGAGACGGCUGCCACCUUGUCGGCGUCCAUAGCCACCCCGUCGGCUGAGAUGACGUGGCCCAAGUAGGCCACCGAAGGUGUCCCGAACGAGCACUUCGAGCGCUUAAGGUGGAGGUGGUGCGCUCGAAGCUCGUUGAAGACGAUGGCGAUGUGCUGGAGGUGCUCGGCCCAAGACGCACUGUAGAUUAGAAUAUCAUCAAAGAAAACGAGCACAAACCGGCGUAAGUAGGGCCUGAGGACGUCGUUCAUCAAAGCCUGGAAGGUCGCCGGGGCAUUGGUGAGGCCAAAGGGCAUCACCAAGAACUCGAAGUGGCCGUGAUGAGUCCGAAACGCCGUCUUAGCGAUGUCAUCCGGGUGCAUGCGCACCUGGUGGUACCCCGACCGGAGGUCAAGUUUGGUGAAGAAGCGCGCCCCGUGGAGCUCAUUGAGGAGCUCGUCGACCACCGGAAUAGGGAACUUGUCCUUAAGUGUGACAGCAUUAAGGGCAUGGUAGUCGAUGCAGAAACGCCAUGUGCCGUCUGACUUGCGGACGAGAAGCACCGGCGCGGUAAAUGGCGAAGUGGAGAGCCGGAUGAUGCCUGCCGCGAGCAUGAGCGCACACUGCCGCUCCAACUCAUCCUUCUGCAACUGUGGGUAGCGGUAAGGCCGUACCGCCACCGGCGCGGAGCCUGGCAGAAGAUGUAUACGGUGAUCGUACGUGCGGGCGGGCGGCAGCCCCUGUGGCUCGGUGAAGAUGUCCGCGUCCUGCUGGAGGAGGCUCUCCAAUAGUGGGUGCUCGGCCGUGGCGGUGGUCGCGGCCAGCUGGAGUGGAGUGGUUGGGGCGACACCUCCAAUGCCGUCCCACUGAAUGCGGCGGCCCAACAGCCAGAAGGUCAUCGUCAGCGCGUCGAAAUCCCAUAGAAUAGGACCAAGAGUGCGCAGGAAGUCGACGCCGAGGAUGAAGUCGAAGCAGCCCAAGUCGAUGCCGGCGCAGGUGAUGGUGAAGUGCUCGUUGCCGAUAGUGAUGGGCACGUCGCGGGCGAGCCCGUGGCAGCGGAGACGGUCGCCAUUAGCGACGGUGACUCGCAACUGCUCACCGCCGGUUGGCUGUAAUGCAAGGCGCCGCAUGGUGGUCUCCGGCAGAAAGUUAUGCGUGGACCCUGUAUCCACUAGGGCCACCAAGCGCUCGCCCUGGAUCAUGACCGGUAAGAGCAUCGUCCGUUCAUCACGGAUGCCGGCCAGCGCGUGUAGGGACACCACGAGGGCGGUGGCCGGGGUGGGCGCGGGUGCCGCUGCGGGCUCCGCAAGGGCUGGAGCGCCGAGGCCAUCCUCCAGUGUCUCCUCCUCAGACUCGUCUGUCGUCUCCAGGUAGAAGAGGCGGGGACAGACAUGGCCCAGUGCAUAGGGCGCAUCACAGUUGAAACACAAGCCCAGGCGCCGGCGUUCCAGCUGUUCCGCCUGAGUGAGGCGCCUGAAUGGCCGCGUCGGUGCCGGGGUGGGUGCCGGGGCGGCUGUGGACGACGCCAGUGCUGCCGGAGACGGCCGGGGAAGCUGUCGGCCCCCACGUGGCGCGGAUGGACGCGUUAAGGCCUGGGCGCGCUGCUCGAACGCCCGGGCAUAGUACAUGGCCGUCUGAAGGUCUUGGGGCCCCUUCAUCUCGACAUCCACGCGGAUGUGGUCGGGAAGGCCGCCGAUGAAAAGCUCCGCCUGCUGUAAGGCCGUCACACCGGGCGCGUGGCACGCCAGGGCCUGGAAGCGGUCGGCGAAGUCCUGCACCGUGGAGGUGAACGGCAAGCGGCCCAACUCGGCCAAGCGGCUCCCGCGGACCGGUGGCCUGAAAUGAAGAAGGCACAGCUCUCGGAAACGAUCCCACGGGGGCAUGCCGCCCUCGUCCUGCUCGAGGGCGUAGUACCAUGUCUGGGCGGCCCCGCGGAGAUGGUAGGAAGCCAGCCAAGUACGCUCCGACGCGGGUGUGCGCUGUCCGCGGAAGAACUGGUCAUACUGGUUGAGCCAGUUAAGAGGGUCGUCGGAGCCGUCGUAUGUGGCGAAGUCGAUCUUGGCGAACCGGGGCGGCUGCUGGUGUGGCGCUGGCCCACUGCCUCGGCGGUGCGUAGGGCGGAUGACGGUGCGCGGUCCAUGGUGGAAGGCCUGGCGUAGUUCCCGGUGGCGCCCGACGCCUCGGGCUGCAACGGGAAACAGGACGGCGGACGGGCCCUCGGGUAGGCCGAUGGCGGCCCGUGAAGCCAGUCGGGGAGUAGUGAUGGCGAUGACGAAAAGCGGACCUCCUGGAUCGGAAGCCCGCUCGGCGACGACCGGCCCAAGUUAGGGCUGGGAUGGGGCGGUGGAGGACCCUGUUCCGUGGCUGCUGGAAGUGAUGGCGCGGCGGGAGACGGCGCGGAUGGCGCGGUCCAGGUGGGCCACUGCUGCCCUGUGGUGGCGGCGAGUGGCGUGGUUGCCGUCGCGAGCGGCGGCGGCCACUGUGGCCACGGCGGCGGUGCGGCCGCCGGGGCGGGGAGCGCCGGGUAGCCUCCGGUGAUGGCCCCCGGUACCGAGUACCACGGCAGCGCCUGCGAACCCGCGGCCAUGGCGGGAUGUAGUGGUGGAGGCGGCCCGUACGGACUUGCCAGGUAGAGGCGGAUGNNNNNNNNNNNNNNNNNNNNNNNNNNNNNNNNNNNNNNNNNNNNNNNNNNNNNNNNNNNNNNNNNNNNNNNNNNNNNNNNNNNNNNNNNNNNNNNNNNNNNNNNNNNNNNNNNNNNNNNNNNNNNNNNNNNNNNNNNNNNNNNNNNNNNNNNNNNNNNNNNNNNNNNNNNNNNNNNNNNNNNNNNNNNNNNNNNNNNNNNNNNNNNNNNNNNNNNNNNNNNNNNNNNNNNNNNNNNNNNNNNNNNNNNNNNNNNNNNNNNNNNNNNNNNNNNNNNNNNNNNNNNNNNNNNNNNNNNNNNNNNNNNNNNNNNNNNNNNNNNNNNNNNNNNNNNNNNNNNNNNNNNNNNNNNNNNNNNNNNNNNNNNNNNNNNNNNNNNNNNNNNNNNNNNNNNNNNNNNNNNNNNNNNNNNNNNNNNNNNNNNNNNNNNNNNNNNNNNNNNNNNNNNNNNNNNNNNNNNNNNNNNNNNNNNNNNNNNNNNNNNNNNNNNNNNNNNNNNNNNNNNNNNNNNNNNCGAGGCCGUGACGCCCGGCGCGGAAGCGGCGGCGGUGGAGGAGUUGGCGGCAGCGGCGGUGGUGGAGUUGAUGGGCAGCGGCGGCGGCGGCGGCGGCGGAAUUGGAGGUGGCGAAGACAUGGUCGAAACCCGGGUACCUGAUACCAAAUUGGUAGGACUAGGGUUCCUACCGGCUCUACUCCGUAGGUUAUACGGGCAGAACAGCGAGGGUUGGGGGCGAGGGCGGGGGCUCCGGCGUGUUGGCGCCGUCGCGAGGGAGAAGAAGGGCGGCGGCGGCUAGGUGCGGCUAGGGUUUCCGGCUCCUCUGGAGCCGGGCAAUAUGAUAGAACUAUCUUUAUUGCUUGAUCUCAAACGAUGUCUUACAACUAGUAUUUAUAACUUUAGCCUAAGAUAACUUGCCUAAAAUAACUUGCCUAAGAUAACUUGUGGGUCAAGCUCCUAAUACUAAUGCCCGGUGGGCCUCUUCCUUGUAUAGACCAAACCGGUCAUAACAGCAACACCUCAAACCUGGGGGACUCUAUUUUAUUCUCAUUGCAAGUUCCCUAGAUUGGUGUUGUUAAUUCACGUGGGAUGAAACUUCCUCUCAAAUUCCCACUCCUGAUUCCCGCCAAACACCAAACGUGGGUUUGGGGACUAAUAAUCAACUUCCCAAGCCUAAUCCCGCAAUAAACCCCCACCUGUAAAUUCCCGUCCCCUUUCCCGAAAAUAGCCAUACACGCUGAGAGUAUUCAAGCCACAAACUUUUUUCUAUGUCGAUCUACAGUAGUUCAUUUUUAUUCUGAAGAUGUAAUUAUUCCUUGGCCAAUAUUCGGUAUCUGCAUGGUGUGCUUAUUUCUGUUGUUGGCAAUUUUACCCAUUGGAUAUAUUUGAUUAACCCCUGAGUAGCCAAUUGCAUCUCCUUUAGUGCAUUUUGUGAGUUUUUGCAGUUGGCAUUUUGUUAGAAAAAAUGACUGGUCAUUUGUAAAUAGACUGUACUUAGUAAACGAGAAUAUUUAGGCAAUGCGCCACACCUGGGGCGGCCCUCGUGUUACGUAUAUAUAGGAGUACAAGGGAGUUACAUGCCUUGGAGGCCAAGAGAGAUCACAACCAUAUCAUACAAAAUCAGGUAGGUUGAGAUAUUCCUAUACAUAAGAGAUACAAGGAGAUAUACUCUAACAUCCCCCCUCAGUUUGUGCGUCAGCUGGUAAGAGGCACAAACUGGACCGGAACUCCGAGAAGAGCUGCGAGGGUAAGCCUUUCGUCAUAAUGUCAGCAUACUGGCGAGAUGAUGGCACAUGAAGCACACGAACCUGACCAAGGGACACCUUCUCGCGAACAAAGUGAAUGUCGAUCUCGAUGUGUUUGGUACGGCGGUGUUGCACUGGGUUGGAGGCCAUGUACACUGAGCUGACAUUAUCGCAAAAAACGACCGUUGCAGUAGUCAAGGGAUGAUGGAGCUCUGUAAGAAGCUGACGGAUCCAGCAGCACUCUGGCAAUAGCGUGAGCGACAGCACGAUACUCCGCCUCAGCACUCGAUCUGGAAACCGUGGUCUGGCGCUUGGAGGACCAAGAGACCAGGGUGUCACCAAGAUAUACACAGUAACCUGAGGUAGACCGCCGAGUGUCAGGGCAACCGGCCCAGUCAGCGUCGGAGUAGGCCGUGAGAGAUAAGGUCGACGUCUGAGGAAUGUGCAAGCGGAGAUCCAGUGUACCCUUGAUGUAGCGAAGAAUACGCUUGACCAAGUGUAGAUGCGGCUCACGGGGAGCAUGCAUAUAAAGGCAGGCUUGCUGCACAGCAUAGGCGAUGUCCGGACGGGUGAGGGUGAGAUACUGUAAUGCACCAGCAUAACUCCGAUAGGUAGUAGCAUCAUCAAGCAAAGCACCAUCAGUGGCUGAGAGUUUGACCUUGACAUCAACAGGAGUAGGCGAGGGAUGACAGUCGGCCAUGCCCGCACGUUGAAGAAGAUCCAGGGCGUACUGUCGCUGAGAGAGAACCAGUCCAUGAGCGUCCCGAGUAACCGAGAUGCCGAGGAAAAAUGAGAGGUCUCCAAGAUCUGUCAUGGCAAACUCCGAGUGUAGCUGCUGCGUCAAAUGUUGAAGGAGUGCAAAUGUAGAAGCGGUGAUCACAAUAUCAUCAACGUACAGGAGGAUGUACGCGAGUUGAUCUCCAUGGCGGUAGAUGAACAGAGAGACGUCCGAUUUCGACGCAACAAAACCGAGGCGAUGAGCGUAGAGAGCGAACCGCUGGUACCAUGCACGGGGCGCCUGUUUGAGCCCAUAGAGCGACUUGUGAAGGCGGCACACAGAGUCGGGGCGACGGGCAUCAACAAAACCAGGCGGCUGCUGGCAAUAAACCUCCUCGUCAAGAUUGCCGUUGAGGAAGGCAUUCUUGACAUCAAGCUGGUGGAUCGGCCACGCACGGGAGACCGCAAUGGUGAGGACGAUGCGGAUGGUGGCCGGUUUGACAACCGGGCUGAACGUCUCGUCGAAGUCGAUGCCCGGCUGUUGGGAGUAGCCGCGGACCACCCACCGAGCCUUAUACCGAGCAAGCCGCCCAUCCGAAUGGAAUUUAUGCUUGAAGAUCCACUUCCCUGAAACAACAUGAGCAUGAGGUGGGCGUGGAACAAGUGACCACGUCCGGUUAGUGACAAGCGCCUCGAACUCAUCAUGCAUGGCACGACGCCAGUGUGGGUCGUUGAGAGCACCCCGGUGUGUUUUGGGAAGAGGAGAGACGGAGGAGUCGGAAGCCAUAAGGUUCAUGUGAUCGAUGGGCUGGAAGAGACCGCGCUUGGCGUGAGUCAGCAUCGUGUGGGUGUUGCUAGGGGAGGGUGGACGGUGUACGACAACAGGAGGAGAGGAUGUGCUUGGAGGAGACCCAGGGGAGGCGGGUGCGCUCGGCGGGUCAGCUACAGCGGGAGAGCGAGUAGGCGGGCUCGACGGCCCAGUGGGACUAGGCGGCGGGCUCGGUGGCCCAGCGUGGCUGGGUGCGUGGGCGGGCGAUCGGACAGAAGGGGGAGGGGAAGGUGGAGGGUCAGCAUGCAUAACGGGUGCAUGCAUAGCGGGUUGAACCGCAGGAGAUGGGGCAGGUGUGGUGUCGGUGGCGAUGAGGUGGAGGAGAAAAUCCAACGACGCAAGAGGGUUAGACGGGCGAUCCGGAGAGGAGGAGAAGGGAAAUAUCGUCUCGUCGAAGACGACAUGGUGAGAUAUGAUGACGCGACGUGUUUGAGGAUCUAGACACCGAUACCCUUUGUGGUUGGAGGGAUAACCUAAGAAUAUGCACGCGACGGAACGGGGCGCUAGCUUAUGUUUGGCGACGGAGGAUUGGUUAGGGUAGCAGAGACAUCCAAAGACACGGAGCAUGCUAUAGUGGAGACGGAUAUAGGGGAUGGCGAAUUCGAUGGACUGAGAGGGGCGUAUGUUGAUGAGAUGGGUGGCGGUGGCCAAGGCUUCCGCCCAAUAGGACGGUGGCAUCGAGGACUGAAAAAGGAGUGUGCGUGUAACAUCGUUGAGGGUGCGGAUGGCACGUUCGGCCUUGCCGUUUUGAGGGGAGGUGUAAGGGCAUGAAAGCCGAAGAUGAAUGCCGUGAGAGGCAAAGAAGGUGGUGACCGUGGAGUUGAGGAACUCGGUGCCGUUGUCGGACUGCAUUGCUACUAGUGGACGGGAGAAUUGUGUGCGGGCGUAGGCGACAAAAUUAAUAAGUGUGGUGGCGGUGUCGGAUUUGUUGCGAAGGGGAAACGUCCAUAGAUAAUGCGAGAAGUCGUCCACAAUAACAAGAUAGUACUUAAAACCAGAGUUGCUCAAAACAGGAGAUGUCCAAAGAUCACAAUGCACUAACUGAAACGGUUCGACAAAAUGCGAUGUAGACCUACUGAACGGCAAGCGCACAUGUUUGCCAAGUUGGCAAGCAUGGCAAACGUGUGGUGCCGGUUUAUUACAAGGAAUAGACGACUGUUUAUGAAGAUGCGACAUAGCGUCGCGACCUGGAUGUCCUAGACGACGAUGCCAAAGCUCGGUGGAGGUGGUGGCGAUGAGUCCUCGGGCGUGAUGGUUGAUGACCGAGGAGGGGAACACGUAGAGAUCUCCAUGGCUAUUGCAGCGAAGGAUCACGGCCUUGGUGCGAAGGUCCUUCACAGAGAAGCCGAAGGGGUCAAACUCAAUGGAACAUAAGUUGUCAGUAGUAAAACGACGAACAGAAAGUAAGUUUUUAACAAUGUGAGGUACGAGAAGAACAUUGUGAAGAAGAAGUGUGCGAGCGGAAGUAGGAAUAGAGGCGUCACCGGUGUGGGACACGGGUAAUGUGGAGCCAUUGCCAACAGUGACAGAGGAGUAGGAGGAGGCAGGAAGGAGAUGGCGAAGCAUACCGGGGUCGGAGGCCAUGUGGGAGGUGGCUCCGGAGUCCAUGACCCACUCACCGACGUUGGAGGCCGAUGCAGCGUUGUUCAAGGCGGCCAUCAGCGCGGCGCAGUCCCACUGAGGAGCCGGGUUGUAGCCAGGGACCGGGGGGGGGGCGUUGGUGCCGAAGGCCUGGCCGUGAAGGGGAGCCAGGGAGGUGAAAGCCUGGGCGGGUGGCAGCACCGGGGGACGCGGGCCUAGCAGGCCGGCGCCAUCGGUCGGUCGUGGCGUGGGAGCGCCCUGGGGCUGCAGCGGCUGGCCCGUGUAUGGGUUGAAGCAGAUCCACGGGCCUACCGCAGGCUGACCGCCUGCACCGACGCGGGAGCCGCCGGAGUUGCUGCCGCCGGAGCCGCCGCCUUGCCGCUUCUUGCGCCAGUUCCUGCCGUUGCGGUUGCCGCCACCACCGGAGUUGCCGCCACCACGGUUGCCGUCGCCGCGGUUAGAGUUGGCGCUGCCAAGGCCGGAGCCCUGGGAAGAGUGACCGCCGUACAGGGCGAUCUGGUUGGCCACGGCGGAGGUGUUGGCGAGCUGAGUCUCGCGGAGAACCAGCAGAGAGCGCGUCUGCCCGAAUGUCGGAAGCAGGUUCUGCAUGGUCACGAUCGUGGUGAUGUCGGCGAACCGCGGGUUGAGCCCGCGAAGGCAGUUGAGGACGAGGGUUUGGCCGUGACCGGAGUGUCGACGUCGGCAAGGGCGUCGGAGAGGGCCUUCAGGCGGUGGCAGUACGCGGUGACCGAGAGAUCGCCUUGGACGAGGCCGCGGAACUCGGCCUCGAGGUAGACCGCGUGCGUCAUCCGGUUGUCCAGGAAAAGGUUGGAGAUGAGAUUCCAAGCCUCAUGCGCCGUCUGAUCUUCCGCCAUGAUCAGAUCAAGAAUCUCGUCGGAGAUAGAGCCGUACAGCCAGGACCGGACGACGUAGUCCUCGCGGGUCCAGUCCGGCGUGCGGUCCGCCGCGGGCGUGACGGUGGUGAUGUGGGACAGCAGGUCGUACUUGCCGAGGAGGACGCGGAUGAGCAUCCGCCACUUGACGAAGUUGGAGGUGUUGAGAUCCAACAUGACGGGCACGUGGGUGCGCACACUGGCGACUUGCACAGCCGGCAAGGCGAAGGCGGGCAUGGUGGAGUUGAUGAGGGCGCCGGCGGUGGUGGAGUGGGAGGCGGGUAGGGAGGGAGAGGUGAGGGAGGAGGUGAUGGAGGCGCCGGUGCCAGACAUGGCGAGGGGACGGCGAUCGGGAGGGGGCUGGCGGCGGCGUGGUAGGGUUUAGGAGGAGGGGAUCGAUCUAUCUGAUACCAAGUAAACGAGAAUAUUUAGGCAAUGCGCCACACCUGGGGCGGCCCUCGUGUUACGUAUAUAUAGGAGUACAAGGGAGUUACAUGCCUUGGAGGCCAAGAGAGAUCACAACCAUAUCAUACAAAAUCAGGUAGGUUGAGAUAUUCCUAUACAUAAGAGAUACACGGAGAUAUACUCUAACAUACUUGCAUGGACUCCGUGCAAUGUUUAACAAAAAAUAUCCGCAUGUAAAUUUGUACUCCCUCGGUUCCAAAAUAAGUGUCGUGGUUUUAGUUCAAAUUUGAACUAAAAGUCUAAAACAAGGACACUUAUUUUGGAACGGAGGGAGUAAGCUCUAAGUUGUCAAUAUCGUUGAGAUUCUUGCUUGUACCAUCUUAUUCCUUGGUGCAUCACAAGUUUUGAAUGUUCUUACAAUCUACUUAUUUUCAUCUCCAAAUUAGCUGCACUUUAUUUGCUUUUGCACAAGUCAUAACAAAUCACUUGCGAACUUGCUUACUGUUUUUAUUCAUGUAUACAGAUUCUUGCAAGACAAUGAGCUGGGUGGAGCAGUUCCACAGAACUUGCUGAACAAAACAGGGUUGACUAGCAAGUAAGUUUCAUCUAAGGCUUUCCAGGAAAUCUUGAUCACUAACGAUUUCCCAUGUUCAUUGGACAUCUCGUAAUUGUAUUUCAUUUGAUUGUAGGUUUUGUCCGGGCAACCAGUUCACACAACCACAGUGCUGACUGACAGUCAAACACUUUGUUGAAUACAGUAGGAUGGUGUGUUUGUUCUUUUAGGAUGGCUAGAGCAAGAUUUUGUAACCAGUCAAAUGUAUGUACAGUAAAAUGAUUGGAAUCCAGUGAAACGAGUUGGCGGAAGCAGGUGAAGAUAAACAAUCCUGAUUGUACAGUGCCAAUUCUGUAGUUUACAUUGUCAGUGUGUAAUGCAAGGAGAAAAUGAAGCACUGUUGAAUUCUCUCAAACGAGCUUUGGACUGCGCCCCAACGAAACAUUACACCUUUUCUGCCCCGUCUCGUCUUCCCAGCCCCCACUACCAUGCAAAUUUUUGGGCGACCAGAGGGGAAAGCGGUCAGCUUCAAGAGCAACUGGUGAAGAAAAGAUAAAAGCGGAACAUGGAGCAUUUGAUCCCGAGCUCAUAUGCUCUCGCAUAAACAGUAAAAUCCAAAAAAAAAAAGAUUCAAAAAUUCUGAAUUUCUUUUGUGAUGAACAUUGAUAAUUUUUCUAACUGCAUGCAAAAUUUGAGGUUGAAAUGACAUUCGUGGAGGUCUGGGAAAAAAAAUUCCAUGGUUCAAAAUGACUAUUGUUGGAAGCAUUUUGCAGCAUCGAUUUUUCUUUUUUGCCCAGACCUCCAUGAAUGUCAUUUUGACCUGAAAUUUUGCAUGCAGUUAGAACAUUCAUCAAUGUUUAUCAUAAAAAAAAUCAUUUUUUUUUGAAAUUUUUACUAUGCGCUCAGGAUCAAAAGAGCACUUUCGAAAAGGCAAUCCUUUUGAUACCUCUGUGAAACUUUACAGUCUCGCAAACUUUCUUUUCGUUGAGAAGAAACCCCCACCGGCAUAUCUGACAAACGUCAAGAAACACACUGAAGACUCGAGCAAGAAAUAGAAAAUAUACCGUAGUCCCCAAAGUCGUUCCAAGUCAAUCUUUUUAGCCAGCCCAUGAAGAACGCUCUUGACCUUACCACCGAAGAAGAUUUUGCUUGUCAGAAAGAAGCGGUUGCAAAAAAAUGGCACCAGAAUCUCUAGCAACCACACACGCCACCUUGAGACAAGAACCUUGCCGAAUUAGAGGAAAAACCCUAUAGCUGCCUUGUUAUGGGACAAGAGAAGAACAGGGGAACUAAAAUGGCGGAUGCUUCGUUUUAGCCUCACAUACUUGGAUGAUUCGAAGGCACCAAGUGUAAAGUAAAUAGACAAGGAAUGCACGGCAGCACCAAACAGUAUAUUACGGCAAGUUGGAGCAACUCCUCAAUACAUAUAUCCAGGCACACCGGAUGAAAAGGCUACCAAACAAAACAGAAAACUCCACAAUGUGCUCAAAGCCCACCCACCUGGAAAUCUCUUCCAUUUGUUCACAGCUACUCAAAGACACACUCGGCAGUUUUCAAUGAGAAAACAAUUUAUUCGAGACGCAAAGCCGACCUUCAG
rnacentral:lncRNA from 1 species